rnacentral:lncRNA from 1 species
AAAAAGGAUGGCAAGUGAAUCUGAAGGGGCAAAAGGAGAAAACCAAGUAAUCUGUUGCUUCCUUUGGGAAUUUAUUAUAUUGGGAUAGAAACUAACUGUACAAAGUUCUGUAGAGCUGUAUUUGUACAUAAUUUAGACUUUAAAUUAAACAACCUUUAUCAACUGAAUUUUUAGAGUUCUAUUUCUUAACUGGCUACUCUACAGCUUUGUGAUUUGAUUAAUUCAAAACAGUUUUGAAGGUUGUUUAACAUUUUAAAGAGAAGAGAAAAAACUAAAUGUUACCUUAAUAAAUCUUACUCUGUAGUUACUUACAGCAAUGUCCCCUGGUUCAUAUUUUUUGCCAGCAUUAAUCAGAUAUUUUUACAUUUAAGUGUUUAAUGACCAUUCAUAUGUGGAUUAUAUAAAUCUUUGCUGAGUAAGAACAAAAUUAAUAAAGUACCCAAGAGGGGUGCCUGAGUGGCUGGGUCGGUUGAGCGUCCAACUCUUGAUUUCGGCUCAGGUCAUGAUCUCAUGGUUUGUGAUCUCCACACUGACAGUGCAGAGCCUGCUUGGAUUCUCUCUCUCUCUCUCUCUCUCUCUCUGCCAUUUGCCUGCUUGCGCUGUCUCUCUCCCUCUCUCAAAAAUAAAUACAUAAACUUAAAAAAAAAGUACCCAAUCUUCCUUUUUGAUCAUAGGCCUGCCCAACAAUUCAUAUUUAUGGGAAUCCAGCUCACAGAAGGUUACAAAAAAAUUAAUCUUGAUUCUUUCUCCUAGCCAUAGUCUACUAAAGAGAUAAAACAUUAUGUGAAAGCAUACAUAAUAAUAUACAUCACCAUAUUUCAUGUGGGGAAUUAACUAUUCAGGUUAAUAGGUGCAUAGGACUUUAGAGAAGGAAAAGUAUUAACUUGGUUAAAUGAGUGAAUGAUUAAAUAAAAUAGUCGAUGAAUAAAUUAUAUAUUAGGGUAAAAUUGGCCUAAUGUGAGCCAUCAUUUCUUUUUUAAAAAUUCUUAUUUAAUUUACAUCUAAGUUAGUUAGCAUAUAGUGCAACAAUGAUUUCAGGAGUAGAUUCCUUAGUGCCUGUUACCCAUUUAGCCCAUUCGCCCUCCCACAACCACUCCAGUAACCCUCUGUCUGUUCUUCAUAUUUAAGAGUCUCUUAUGUUUUUGUCCUCUCCCUGUUUUUAUAUUAUUUUUGCUUCCCUUCCCUUAUGUUCAUCUGUUUUGUAUCUUAAAGUCCUCAUAUGAGUGAAGUCAUAUGACAUUUGUCUUUCUCUGACUAAUUUCACUUAGCAUAAUACCCUCUAGUUCCAUCCAAGUAGUUGCAGAUGGCAAGAUUUCAUUCUUUUUUUUUUUUUUUUUUUCAACGUUUAUUUAUUUUUGGGACAGAGAGAGACAGAGCAUGAACGGGGGAGGGGCAGAGAGAGAGGGAGACACAGAAUCGGAAACAGGCUCCAGGCUCCGAGCCGUCAGCCCAGAGCCUGACGCGGGGCUCGAACUCACGGACCGCGAGAUCGUGACCUGGUUGAAGUCGGACGCUUAACCGACUGCGCCACCCAGGCGCCCCAAGAUUUCAUUCUUUUUGAUUGUCAAGUAAUACUUCAUUGUAUAUAUCACAUCUUCUUUAUCCAUUCAUCCAUCAGUGGACAUUUGGGCGUCUUCCAUACUUUGGCUAUUGUUGACAGUGUUGCUAUAAACAUUGGGGUGCAUGUGCCCCUUCAAAACAGCAUACUUGUAUCCCUUGGAUAAAUACCUAGUAGUGAAAUUGCUGAGUCGUAGGGUAGUUCUAUUUUUAAUUUUUUGAGGAAUCUCCAUACUGCUUCCCAGAGUGGCUGUACCAGUUUGCUUUCUCACCAGCAGUGCAAAAGAGAUCUCUUUCUCCGCAUCCUCGUGUUGGCCAUCAUUUCUAAUGAUUACUUAUUAUUAUUACUUAUCUAUACCCCUCAAAAUUGUGACAUAUAUGUUCUGAAAUGACAGGUAAGGACUCAAUUUUCAGGCCUGUAAUUUCCUUUUCAUUUAUUAUGAAAGCAAUUUUCAAACGAUUAAAUUGACUUCUCACACAUAUCAUUGAAGAAAAUAAAUGAUUCUAGCCUAUAGGUCUACAAACCAAUAAAUAAAACUUUUUCUUGUCCCUCCCAUCUUUCUAGUAAGCCUUCUAUCCUGUCUUUCUUUACCACUAGAUUUCUACAAAAUUGGUAUCUCCUACCACAUAUUUCCUCUUUUACUAUCCAUAUGUCAUCCAAGUUAAAAAAUGAACUUCAUACAGUUUCGUAUUCAUAAGGUCCUUUGCUCAUAAUCAAAUAAUCACAGAGUGGUGGUAAGAGAGCUCACUUUAUUCCAGCAGUACUACAAAAUAUGAAUGAUUGCCAGACUAGAUUAUAUACUUAUAAAUCCAUUAAUUAUCUUAGCUAUAUAUAGUUAUAUUUAUUAUAUAAAAAUAACAUUCAUCAUCCCAGCCUCCAUAUGGAAAAUUGGCAGGAUAAAGUGUAAUAUAUACUUCUUCCAAGGAGGAGUAAUAAAGUCCUAGAUCUAAAUAUAUAUCAUACCAAGGUUUUAAAGGUUAAGGUAGCAGAAUAAAAACCAACAAGAGCCUAUGGAAAAUUUUUCCCACAUAAGAGAAAAGCAGUAAUCCCAUAUGGGUUAUCUCCAUUCCUUAAAUAUAUUGAGCAAAUACAGUCUUCAUGCACUUGUAUGAGCUUUUGCUGGAGUUGUCUUCCCCUGGAAAUUCUCAUGGCUAGCUAUGUUUGUCAUUUGACGUUCAACUUAAAUAUCACUAAUAAACUAAAUAGAUAAACCUGAAUAAACAUUAUUUUAAAGCCAGUUCAACAGCUGUAACAUCCACAACAAAGUAUGUGUGUGCCUCCAGGUGCCUUCAUUUAUCAUCCAGAAGCUGGAGAAUCUUACUAGGAACUCUCUCUACUUUCCUUUAUUUGUAAUAUUUUAGAUUGGGAACAGUUUAAGUAACUAAUAAUAAGGGAAUAGCUCAAUAUGUUAUAGAAUGGAUGUGAUAGAGUAUUAUACAGUCAUUAAAAGCUGUUCAUAGAAUUUUUAGUAGCAUGCAUUAAAUUCUUAUGUUAACUGGGAAAAAAGCAGUAUAUUAAGAAAGAUAUUGGGGUGCCUGGGUGGCGCAGUCGGUUAAGCGUCCGACUUCAGCCAGGUCACGAUCUCGCGGUGCCUGAGUUCGAGCCCCGCGUCAGGCUCUGGGCUGAUGGCUCAGAGCCUGGAGCCUGUUUCCGAUUCUGUGUCUCCCUCUCUCUCUGCCCCUCCCCCGUUCAUGCUCUGUCUCUCUCUGUCCCAAAAAAUAAAUAAACGUUGAAAAAAAAAAAUUAAAAAAAAAAAAAAAAAGAAAGAUAUUACAUAUUAAAAUGUAUUCUUGAAUAAGAAGUAUUUGAAGAGAAAUAAAUGUUGUAAAUGUUAACCAAUGAUUGUAUUAAGGUGGGUGGUGGGUUUAUAGAGAAAUGGUUUUUAAAAUAUUUUCUGCAUUUUCUCUUCUCUAGUGUGGGAGGGAAAGCAUGUCCUACUUUGUAAACUUGAACAUUAAAUACUGUAUAAACAUGUAGAAGAAAAAUGGACAUGCUUGGACUAUGGCAUAAAUAAGUGUUUCUCAAAUUUUUGGUUCGGUCUUAGGAGCCCUUUGUACUUUUAUAAUUAUUGAGGAUCCUAAGUAAAGUUUAGUAGAUUAUAUUUAUUGAUAUUCACUAUUUUAGAAACUAAAACUAAGAAAUUUUUUGUUAUCAAUGAAUUGAAAAUAAUAAUAAUAUACCCAUUUUGUGUUAACACAAAUAGUGUAUUAUUAUGAAAAUAGCUAUACUUAACAGAACAACAAGCUAAUGAAAAGAGUGGCACUAUUUUACAUUUUUGCAAAUCUCUUUAUAUUCAGGCUUAAAAGCAAACAGCAUUAUUCUCAUAUUUACAUCUGAUUUCAAUCUGUUGCCAUUUGUUGUAAUGGUUAAAGUAUAUGAAAAAAUCUGGCCUCAUUUAUAUAUGUACUUGGAAAAGGGAAAACUUCACAGACUCACCGGUAAUACCCAAAAAAAGAAGAUCUUAUGAGCACCCAGGAAUGCUUAGACCUUCUGAAGUAGGGAUGAACUGGAAGUCAGAUCUGGGUUUUAGUCCUGCAUCCUUUACUUACUAGUUGUUUAACUUUUGCAUGUCAUUUAACCCUACUGCACUUAAUAUUAAUUACCUAUAAAAUGAGAUUCUUAUCCCACUAGAUGUUUGAGAAAAUUCAAUGGGGUGUAGUUGUGAAAGUCCUUUGCAGUAUCAAAACAAAGAUCUGGGAAUCCACACAGGUCAUUUUUGUGUUUUCUCUAUGUAACCAAAUAAAAUCUCUUAUAGAUAGUUGUGUUUGAAACUCUCAUAGUCAUAGAUAGUAAAGGAAUAAUAUUUCGUUAUGUACAUUACUUUUAGGCAAAUGGAAAGUCUGGUUUUUUUUUUCAGGAGGAUAUCAGACACUUUCAUUAUUCUUUCCCAUCUUUUCUCUACAAGCACUCUCCUUUUAGUUCAUUCUAUUUGAUCAGCGCUCAGAUGGAAGUUCUUUCUGAGUUCAGGCAGUCUGAAGGGAACCCUGCCAAACUAAGGGAUUGCUCACUUGUCUUGUCCUUUUACCCACUGAAAAUAUGUUUUUAAUGGCUAAAAAUAACUGCAGGAUCCCACACUGUCCAUUAUUAAGCAAAGAAUUGAAUAAGGUUCUUCUCAAACAGUCUGCUUGUAAGAAUAAUGAUAGCUUAUAUUUCAUUAAUUUUUAGAAUUUAUAAAACUCAUUCAUGAAUGGUUCCUGUAGUAAUACUUUGGAAUAUGAAGGGGCUUUCACUUGCUCAUUUCCCAAACAAGGAACUGGGCUUUGCUGAUGUAUGGAGCUCUCCUUAGGUCAAGUGGUUAGUCAGAGGCUGCCCCAGGACCAGAGCACAUAUUUCCCAUGGCCCAGUAUUGCCAGAGAGAAUAUUCGGUAGAACAGUCCUUUCAGAGAAAUCACACUUCAAAUUCUUAAUGAAAAUAAAGGAGUUUUUGUUAGGUUCCUUUUUUUUUUUAACCUAAAAUUAGUUAGAUUAUACUUGCAAUUCAUUCCCUUUCUUCAGGAUUUGGAAUUUGGAAUGGUAUUUAUCUCUCUAAAUACUUUAAAGGGCUAGUAACACUCACAGACUUGCAUCAGAGAGGGACUUAAAGAUACGUUUUCCAUUUCUCUUUUCUGUGUUGACUCUCAGGCUGCUGAAAAACCACUUUGGAGUGAACCUAGGAAAGGAGAUGAGGUUGCUAUGUGAAAAACAGAAUUCAAAUCUAUGUAUGGUUACUGAUUCAUGCACAUUUUUUCUUGAGCUAUGUCUUCUUUUGGAAGCAGAGAUAUGGGUGUGGUUCUACAAGGAAACCACACAGAAUAUUAGAAAUACAUUUUUUUUUCUACAAGAAUAAAGAUGUAGGCAUGUUAUUGAUGUCUUUCUGCACCUCUCUAUUGACAGAGGGUUCUGGAGAAUAUAGUCCAGUAGUAUAUUAGUUUAGUGAAAUCAUUUAAAAAAAACCAUAGUACCUUGAAAUAGAAUAAUUAGCAUAGAUAUUAUCUUGAAAUACUGACUAGGCUAUUAAAAGAUGAAAGUAUUAUUAAAGUUGGGAUUUAUUGUAAUUGGCUUUUAAAUAUUUCCUGGCCCCUCUUCCCACCUCCUUUACUGUAAAUACUUUAAGCUUUUAAAAUAUUGUGUUUUACUUAAGAAGAUUUUAAGUAUUAAAAUAUAAAAUAUAAAUAUGCUUUUUAAAAUAUUGUUUUAUUCCCCCACUUUGUACUAUUGAGUGACCCAUGACUUAACUCUGCUAGGCUACUAACAAUUUCUUUAAGCCAUUUGAAUGUUUUCCUCUCUGUCUUUGCUAAGUUCCCUUCAGCUGAUCUUUGUUGGAGUGCCAUCUAUUCUUUGAAGGUCUGCUUAAAGUCUACCACAUCCAUAAGCUCUUUUCAGAUUCCUUAUGACUCUAUGUCCUUUUACCCUACCCUGUUUAUCUGUUGUUGUGUGCAUUUCUAUAAUAGAACUCAUCCUGGUAUUAUGUGGAUUUUAGAUAUCAGUGCUUGUAUCUAUUACCACCAAAUCAGGUGAGCCCUUGGAGGGCAAUGACUAUGUCUUAUAUACGUUUGCAUCCUGGGAGUAAUAUCUCAGUAAAUGUGCAUUGUGUUGGAUUGCAUAUAACUUUUGAAACCAGAAUCCUCACUUCCUUAAGUAGGUAGGAUGGAUAUAUUAGGAUGAGCCAAGUACAUUUGAAACAAGGGUGCAGUGGCCAAUGCUCGUGCCUGAGGAGCACAAUAACUUCUUAAUUCUUUCUUUAACAGAUGAUUUUCAUGUCCCAAAUAAUUGAAAUAAUUUGGAGAGUGUUUAAUAGAUUCAUUAAAAAAUGAACAGAAUCCAGAACAAAUUUAGUAAAUUAAGUGCACCGUAGCUUCUGGAGCCAACUAAUGGGCCUUAGAGAUCGAUUAUAAGAUGCAAAUUAAUAAAGAAUCUCUUUUUAUAAUUAAAUGUGUAUACAUUUAAUUGUAGUUAAGGUAACAGGGAGAGAAAUUGCCAAAGUUUUAAGUGUCCCUUGAUUGUUUUAGCUAGGUAUAAUAUUUGUGGAAAAAGAGAUUACAGAUGUUCCAGGGAUAAUUCUCCAGAUUCCUCUCAUUCCAAAAUCAUGGAAGUGGAGAUGAUGCUGAAAGGGAAGACAAGGCACAUUUAUAAAAUCUCACUCAUCGAAUAAUAUCUUAUGCUUGCAAUUAUUCCAGAGAAAACAAAAGUAAGUCUGUGUAAAACAAGGAAAUGAGGUCCAUGUGUUGUUCCAAAUCUCAGGAGACGAUAUCAUUCACAUACUUAAAAAAAAAUUAAAAUAAUAUACUCUCCAACUAGUGAGUGAAGCCUGUGUUAGUAUUUUCUAUGCAUUAGGAAUAAUGACCCAAUUUUUGUAGUAAGUUUUCACAGGAGGCUUUGAUUUUCCCAUCUUUAGGUGCCAAGGAGGACUCAGAUUUAUAUGAGUGUAGUAACUUCAUAUCAUACGCAAAAUGAAAUUUAUAAGUUGACUUUUCACCAACUCUCUUUGUAUGGGUGUAUAUUUUUAUGUAUGAAUAUGUACAUAUUUUACUUAAAUAGUAAUUAUGGCAAUAUGAUCUAAAUGUACAGGAUGUUUCUGAUUUCAAAGCAGUAUAAUCAAUGAGCCAUGGGGUACUUGUGGUGUUUAGAACAUUGGAAAGAGCCCAAAUAUCCUUCAACUUAUGAAUGAAUAAAGAAGAUGUGGUAUAUAAUGGAAUAUUACUCAGCCAUCUAAAAGAAUGAAAUCUUGCCAUUUGUUAGAGUGUAUCAUGCUAAGUGAAAUAAGUCAGUCAGAGAACACAAAUACCAUAUGAUUUCACUGAUAUGUGGAAUUUAAGCAAUGGAACAUGAAUAUAAGGGAAAAAAAGAGAUGGAGGCAUUCCAUAAGAGACUCUUCACUAUAGAGAACAAAGUGAGGAUUGCUGGAGGGGAGGUGGGUGGGGAGAUGGGCUAGAUGGGUGAUGGAUUAAGGAGGGCACUUGUUGUAUUGAGCACUGGGUGUUAUGUGUAAGUGAUGAAUCACUAAAUUCUACUCCUGAAACUAUAUGUUAACUAACUAAAUUUUAACUGACUAAACUAAAAUUUAAAUAAAAAAUUGUAACAGGAAAUAAAAGAACAUUGAAAAACUUGGAUACAUAGUGACACAUUUUUAAUAUUUAAUUAAGACUUCAAUUACUGUGGUCAGAGCUUAUCUGAAUUCAUAAUUAUAUACAGUAAAACAUUGGUUUGUGAGCAUAAUUAAUUCCAGAAACAUGCUUGUAAUCCAAAGCACUUGUAUAUCAAAGUUAAUUUCCACAUAAGAAAUAGUGGAAACUCAAAUGAUUCUUUCCACAACCCAAAAAUAUUUAUAGGAAAAUGAUUACAAUACUAUAAUACAAUACAAAGUAACAAAGAAAAUACAAAAUGUAAAGAAAAACAAAUUAACCUGCACUUACCUUUGAAAACCUUCCUGGUUUUCACUAUCACUGACAGAAUCACUGCUAUCUAUUGACUCAAUGGAAUCUUUUCCUGCAUGGGGGCCAUUGUAUAUGUUCGCACAGAUGUUGACUACAGUGCAGUAUUAGUAAACUCUUGUCAUAAACCAUAUUUAAUGUAACUGGCAAUAAGGCAGCAGAGGAAAGGAUCUAUAUCUGUAGGCAGCCUGACCUAGAAUGAAACAAAGCAUUCCCAAACUUACUUUUGAAUGGAAAAGCAAAGGACUGUAUUUUUUGAAGUGACAAAAAAUACACUAGUGCCACUUGUGGGCACCUUCCAAGUUUCAGAAAAAUCACUGAUUUCUGCCAAACACCAUGGUCUGAGACUGAGUAUUCGGGCAGGGGAGAUGAUCACCCACAAUCCUGCAGUGAGAGAGAGAGAGAGAGAGAGAGAGGGAGGAACCAUUGGCUCAAAUGUGAUCAUGUGACAUUCAGCAUCACAUACUACUUGUAUGUAUUGCAACACAUCGCUUAUUUAUCAAGUUAAAAUUUAUUAGAAAUGUUGGCUCGUUUUGCAGAACACUCACAAGAAUAAGUUAACCCAAUUCAAGGUUUUACUGUAUUUACACAAAAAUGAGCUCACUGUUACUUGAAGAUAUUUAAAUAAAAAUUAUAAUCCAAGUGCAUCAUAUAUUUUUUUUAAAUUUCUUUUAAACAUUUAUUCAUUUUUGAGAGACAGAGACAGAGCGUGAGUGGGGGAGGGGCAAAGAAAGAGGGAAACACACAACCCAAAGCAGGCUCCAGGCUCCGAGCUGUCAGCACAGAGCCCAACUCAGGGCUUGAACCGACGGACUGUGAGAUCAUGACCUGAUCUGAAGUCGGACGCCCACCAAACUGAGCCACCCAGGCGCCCCUAUAUUUUUUAUUCAAUAAUGUCAUCUUAUCUUAUUAAUGAUUAUUAAAGUACUUGCAUACUAUAAAUAAUUUUGAUAGUAGGGAUUGUGAAAUUCCUGCUUUUCAACAUUGAUUUAAGACUUACUACUGAUGGUCAUUUCCCAUUUGAUGUAUCUACACUGGGGAGAGAGAGAUGGGAUGAAUUUUUUUAUUACUCACAGAUUAUCUAAAAAAGUAUUUAAAAAAUCAUUUUGAGGGGCCCCUGGGUGGUUCAGUCAGUUGAGCAUCUGACUUUUCAUUAGUUUGAGUCCUGCAUCCGGCUCACUGCUGUCAGCACAGAACCCACUUCAGAUCUUCUGUCUCCCUCACUAUCUGCCCCUCCCCGGCUUGUGCUCGCUCUGUCAAAAAUAAAUACUUAAAAGAUAUUGGUUGGAAUGCUUCUGACAUAUUGAUAACUGGUAUAUUUUUUUUAUUCAAACACUGGACACAAAUAUGAAAUGUAAAACAAAACUACAGCAUAAAUGAACUUCAAAUGGCAAUUUUAUAUAGAAUGCUAUUCUUUCCUAAGAGCCAAUUUACAAAAACUUCUUGCAUAUUUUCUCAAAGGCAGAGAACUCCACAGCUCAGCAGAUAGCACUGAAUUUACUAAAGGGGCUGAAGUAGUAGUUUGCCCCAAUACACAGGAAAAUUUUAAAUAUUAAACAAAGUGCUGAUGGACUUGGGAAAGGUGAUAAAAUAUGUUACAUUAAUUUCCUUGCCCUCUACUUCCCUCUCCAUCCCAAGGACACAAUUCCCAGACCUCUGACGGCCAGAUAAUUGUCAACUGAACAAUGUAAGAACUGAGUCUGAUGGACUGAAUGACUCCUUAUUUUGUUGAGAAGCAACUUGACUCUGAGGCUUUUAAUUUUUUAAAAGGAGUAUAUGGAACAUAACAAGCUCAUUUGGUAUAAAUGGCCUUUGGUGUCAUUGAGUUUCUGGACAAUUUCUCCUUUGUAGCCUGUACCUAGCCCUGCCAUCUAAAAAGUUUCCCUCAGGGGAAGCCCUGACUCAUGGACUCUCAUUUUAGCUACAGAGAAUUGUCUAUUCCAAUACAAACAAUUAUCCAUGUUUUAGGAUUUAUUAGGCUUAGUAAACAAUGGAUUAAUGGUUAAGAAUGAAGGAAUAAACUUAAAAAUAUAAACAUAGAAAUUUAAGAAAAGGAAUGAACAGCUGAUACAUGCUAAGCAUGGAUGAAAUCACAGAACCAGACAAAAAAGGCUACCCACUGUGUAAUUUCAUUUAUAUAAUAUUCUGGAAAGUCAAAGCUAUAGGGACGGAAAUCAGAUCAGUGGUUCCCAGAUGCGGAUGGGAAAAGAUUGACUCCAAAUGGAAGGACUUUUGGGGGUAAUAAAAUAUCCUCUAGAUUGUGAAGAUGGUUACAUGAUUGUAUGCAUUUGUCAAAACUCAAGGAAAUGUACACCUAAAAAGGUGAAUCUUGCUCUAUUUAAAGCAUGCCUUGGGGCACCUGGCUGGCUCAAUAGAGCAUGUGACUCUUAAUCUUGGGAUUGUGGGUUCAAACCCCACGUUGGGUGUAGAGAUACUUAAAAAUAAAAAAUCUUUAAAAAAUUUUAAAAAUUUUAAAAAAUAAAUCAUGCCUUAAUAAACAUAAUAUAAAAGAAAAAAAGAAUGAGGAUUGAAUUAGUGGAGCAUACUGUUGUGGAUAAUUAAACUUCCUUCUAUUUACCUUAGGUUUUCAUCUUUAUAUAAAUGUUAACAAUUAAGUGUUAUUUUAUCAAGAAUUUUUAAAAUGUUUAUUUAUUUUUAGAGAGAGAGAGAGAGAGAGAGAGAGAGAGAGCUAGUAGGGAGGGGCAGAUAAAGAAGGAGAGAGAAAAUCCCAAGUAGGCUCUGUGCUUAGCACAGAGCCUGAUGCGGGCUCAAUCAAGAGUUGGAUGCUUAAUUGACUAAGUCACCCAGGUGCCCCUGUUUUUGUUUUUUUUUUCAGAUUCCACAUGUAAGUGAAAUGAUAUGGUCUUUGUCUUUCUCUGUCUGACUUAUUUCACUUAGCAUAGUAUCUUCGAGUUCUAUCCAUGCUGUCCUAAAUGACAAGAUUUCAUUUUUUAUGGUUGAGUAAUAUUCCAUUAUAUAUAUAUUAACAGUUAAAUUUUAUUAAAAAAAUUUUUUUAACACUUAUUUAGUUUUGAGACAGAGAUAGAGACAGACAGAGCACGAGUGGGGAAGGGGCAGAGAGAGAGAGGGAGACACAGAAUAUGAAGCAGGCUCCAGGCUUUGACCUGUCAGCACAGAGCCCGAGGCGGGGCUCAAACCCCUGGACCAUGAGAUCGUGACCUGAGCUGAAGUAGGAUGCUCAACUGACUGAGCCAUCCAGGCUCCCCAAUAGUUAAAUUUUAAACUAUUGUAAUGAGAAAUUAAAUGAGAAUAGAAUGAGAAAUUAUGCGUGUUUUUUUUUAAAGAAGCACUAAUGAGGUUAUGUGUUUUUAUUUAACUGGCACUUAGAUAUUACUUUUAUGCCAGACAUUAUCUAAGCUUUACAAAUAUCAACUAUUUAAUCCUCCUAACAACCCAGUGAGGUAGGCAAUAUUAUAUUUUCAUUAUGCAGACAAGGAAACUAUGCAGAGAAGAUAUGCAAUGUUUUCAUGGUCACCUAGCCGGUAAGUAGUGGGCCAGGAUUUGGACACCGUCAGUCCAGCUUCAGAGUCUGUGCUCAUAACCACUACACUUCUGCAGAAUUUAUUGUUACUACUGUUAUUAUUUUAUAUAACAAAAUAUAUUAUAUAUUUUUUACCUUUAUUGAAGUAUAAGUGAUAAAAUUAUGUAUCUUUAAGGUGUAGAAAGUGAUGAUUAUAUAUAUAUAUAUAUACACAUAUAUGUAUAUAUAUAUACACACACAUUGUGAAAUAACAACUAUAAUCAAGUUAAUUAACACAUCCAUCAUCUCAUAUAAUUAUCUUUUUGUGUGUGUGGUGAGAACAUUUAAGACCUACUCUUUUAGCAAAUUUCAAGUAUACAUAGUCACUAUGCUGUACAUCAGAUCUCAUUUCUGCAGACUUUUUUGAUACUGCCUUUCCAGUUAGUAAAAAUCUGAAUUAUAGUUUAAUUAUCAUGAGGUACAAUGGAUAGAGUGCUAGGACUCGGAAGCCUAUGUUUGAGACUGUUUGCAUUGUGUAACUUCUGAAAAGUCACUAAUCUCUCUGAAUCCCAGUAUAAAAUGUGAUUACCCUGACCAUAUUACUUUACUGGGUUAUUGUGAGUCUCAAAGAAUAUGUAUGUACUCAAAUGGUAUGUAAAGAGUAGGAUGCCACACAAGCCAACAUUAUUUAUCAGGUCACUUACAAUUUUGGCACACAGAACGCUCCAUAACUUCUAAAUGUGACUAUUGAUUGCCUCAGGAGAUAAGACUGUAUUUUGGAAUGUAAAAUUGCAAACUUUUCUCAAAAUAUGACUUACUCUGAAACAUAUUUACAUAAAAAUGAAAGUUCAUAACAUAAGAAGUUAACAAUUUCCAAUACAAAAAAAUUAUUUCUAAUUAUGCCUAGGUGUAGGAAGAUGUAUUUUUAUUACAAAUACUCAGCUAGAGGUAACCUAUAUUUAUAAAGUUUGGAUACGGAUAGCAUUCGUGACUAAAUACGUUGGUUCAUAUAUUUGUUUACUUGGAAAAAUGUGGUGCUAAAUACAUUUCAAGGGAUUCUCCCAGUGUUGUCAUUUGUUUAAAAAAAAAUCAGUGAUGGAGUUUAAGCUAAGGAAAUAAACAUCAUAUAAUGUCUUUGAACCUCAGCUCCUUAUUAUGAAAAGACUGUGCAGCCAGAGUUCUACACCUGGAUCUGGUAAUUUCUUGAUGUAUGACACGCCAUGAGUUAUUUAGUUUCUAUGAGCCUCAGUUUCCUUUCUUCAUAUGUAAAACAGGGAAAAUAAUAGCACUUACCCCAUAGCAUUGAUUUAAGGAUUAAGUUAAUACGUAUAAAAUGCUUACAUAGUUUUUGCAACAAGUACUUAAUACAUUUUACCAUUAUUACUAUUGUUAUGGUUAUUAUUUUCAGUGACUUUCUGCCAGAAAGAGAGUAUAUUCAUAAUAUGCAGGCUUUUUCUGUUCAGAAAUUAUGGUUAUGGUAUUUCAUAGCAUAUAUGUGCAGAGAUCCACCUAAUCAGUUCUGUGCCGUUCUUCUACUUUGUUACCCAUUGCUCUUCCUAGCUGAGCUAUUCCUUUCACCAGGACCAUCAUUUUCCUAGUGCUCUGUGUUGACAUCUUAGAAUCAUUUUCAUUUGUUUCACUGCCACUUCUGUCAUGGCCUUUCAAUCAUCAAGUUCUACUGAUUGUUUACCAAACAAUAUGGGUUCAACAAAUAAUCAUUGGGCAAAUAUAAAUAACCAAACAAUAUCUAUAAUAUCAGGGAGCUUUCAAUUUGAUAGGGGAAACAGACAUGUAAAUAUAAUGUGGUGUUAGAGUAGUCUGUACAGAACAUGGUGGCCAGUUCUAUGAAGGAACAGGCUGGUUUGUCCGCGCGGAGGGAGGUGGUAAAAUUUGAGCUUUGCCGGCUCUAUCAUCCUCUUCGUUGGCAGAGGUGUCCUUUCAACUUUCUUUAUCUAAUUUCUCAGUGAUUUUAUUUCCAAAAUACAUCUUGAAUCCCUCUGCUUCUUUCUAUUUUCACUGCAUUUCCCUAGUCCAAGAAACCAUCAUGUUUCAUUUGGUGUAAAAGUACUUCCUAACUUGUGUCCUCACUUCCAUUCUCGACUUGCUAAAAUAUAUUUCUCAUAAGUCAUUUAGAUUUAAAAAAAAAAAAACAGUACUAAUACUAGAGCACGUUAUUCCUCUGUUUAAAACUCUUUAAUAGGGGUGCCUGGGUGGCUCAGUCGGUUGACUGUCUGGCUUUGGCUCAGGUCAUGAUCUCACAGUUUGUGGGUUUGAGCCCCGCAUUGGGCUCUGUGCUGACAGCUUAGAGCCUGGAGCCUGCUUCAAAUUUUGUGUCUCCUCUCUCUCUCUGCUCCUCCCCCGCUCAUGCUCUGUCUCUCUCUCUCCUUCAAAAGUAAAUAAAAACAUUAAAAAAAAUUAAAAAAAAAAAAACCUCUUUAAUAGAUUCUCAUUGCAUUUAGAAAAAAAUCUAAACUCCUCUUCAUGACCUGUGAGACUUUACCAACAGACUAUAGCCAUAAAGGCUUUCUUUUUAUUUUUGCAUAUUCAAAGUUUAUUCCUAUGUUUGAUAGGAGCAAUAAUGGCCUUCCAAAGAUGUCCAUGUCUUAAUCUCCAGAAGCUGUGAAUAUGUUACCUUUCAUGUCAAAAGGACUUUGCAGAUGUGAUUAAGGAUCUUAAGAUGGGAGAAAUUAUCCUGGAUGAUAUAGGUGGAAACAGUAUAGUCACAUGUGUCCUAAGAGCCAGAGAACCUUUCUUGCCUGUGGUCAGAGAAAAAUGUGGUCACAAAAAUAGUGUCAGAGUGAUGCUAUGUUGCUGGCUUUGAAGAUGGAGGAAGAGGCUGUGGGAACGUGAGUGACCCCUAGAAUGUUGAAAAGGCAAGGAAAUGGAUUCUCUGCCAGAACCUCUAAAAAGGAAUGCAGGCCUGCUGACACCUUGAUUUUGGCCCAAUGAGACCCAGACUUCUGACCUACAGAACUAUAAGAUGGUACAUUGUAUUGUUUUAAGCCACUAAGUUUGUGAUAAUUUUUAUGGCAGCCAUAGAAAAUUAAUAUAUAAUUCCAAGCCACAUACACCUGCUGUUACCUCUGUUUAGAAUGCCAUUUUCCCCCCCGUUCCCUAGUGAUAGAGCCUUUUUCAAAUUUUAGGUCUCAGAUUCCCUGUUACUUCUUUCAGAUGGCCCUAAUCUUCAGCAUUCUUCCCACCACCACCUCCUGAACAACUCUAAAACAACACACUCUUUAUUUCCUUCAUGGCAUAUCAUUGUCUGGAAUUACCUAUUUUCAUAUUUACUCAUUUAUUAUUGUUUUUCCACUCAAGGUUGUAAGCUCUCCAGCAUCAGGGACUUUGUUUGUGUUGUUCACAGAUAUAUCCUCAGUUCCUGGAGUAGAACCUGGCAAAUAAUAGGUAUUCAACAAAUAUUUGUUGAAUGAGGGAAUGAACUAGACAAGGGAAAUGGUUAUUUCAGGCAAAGGUCAGAGCCUGAGCAAAAUUCUGAGGUGUGAAACUGCUUAUGUGCCUGGGAAAAUUUAUGUUUCCAAUGGCUGAAGCCAAAAGAGGAAAACAGAAAGAGAUGGGAACCAAGAAGUAGGCAUUUUCCUCCUCCCUGUGCCCUCCUUUCUCCCCUCCUCCUCCUUCCCUCUUCUUUUAAAAUAUUAUGUCACUAUAUCUUGUAAGUACUUGGGAGUUAAUGUAGUUUAGGGUUUUUUUGUGUGUUUUUUUUUUUUGUUUGUUUUUUUUAGAAGGGGGAAAUAAUUGAGUGAAGAAACAUGUAAUAAAGCCAACAAGACUUGGCAAUCAAUUGGAUGUAUGUUGAGGGAGAAGGAAGGGUGUCUUCCUAUGUUCCUGAUCUUUGGGACUAUAAUAAUGGUGGCAGUGUUAAUGGGUACAAAGAACAAUGAGAGAUAAUGGUUUCAUUUUGGACUCUUUGAGCUUGGUGAACUUGUUCACAGGAAGAUGUUCAGUGCAGACACUUAGAAAUACAAGUCUGCAAGAGCACCUGGUUGGCUCAAUAGGUUGAGCAUCAGACUUUGGCUCAGGUCAUGAUCUCAUUGUUUAUGAGUUCAAGGCCCACAUAGGGCUCACUGCUGUCAGCGAUGAGCCCCUUCGGAUCCUCUGUCUUCCUCUCUCUGCCCCUACCCCCACUUGUGUAUGCAGCACCAUCUUAAAAUAAAAAAUAAAAAUUAAAAAAAAGAAAUACAAGUCUGCAGAUCUGUAAUUCAGGAAGAAAGCCUUGACUGGAAGUUGUUAGCAUGUAAAUGAAAAUGAACUCCAGGGAGCUAAUAAUUAAUAUAGCCCAAGAGAAUGGGCAGCAUGGGUAACAUGCUGAUGGGACAUUGUUGGAAAAACACAAUAACUCUCUGAAAGGAAUUAGAAAAAGAUGUUUGACCAGAAAAGCAAGGAAUAUAAGAGGAGUAUGUAGGACCAGGGAGUCUUGAGAGGAAGGAGUUUCAGUAAGAAGGGAAUAGUCAGAGUAUCAAAUACUAUAGGGAAGGAAGAUGAAAAGUCUUUGGGUUUAUCAAUAGAGAUAUGGAUGUCUCUGGUACUGCUGGCGAUGAUAUUCUAAUGCAAAGGGUGAAGUAUGACUGAAGGGUGAGGGAGUAGAAGGGGAAAAAAGAGACUACACAAGAUGAGUACUUAAGGGAAAUCUUUGGGGUUUUUUGUUUCCUUUUUGAGGAUAGAGAUGACACAGAAAAAUGUCCUGCAGGAGAUGUGAAGGGAUGGGAUAAAGAGGACCAAGGGAGGGGUGCCUGGGUGGCUCAGUUGGUUAAGUGUCUGACACUUGGUUUUGGCUCAGGUCAUGAUCUCACAAUUUGUGAGUUCAAGCUGAACUGUACUGAAGGCAUGGAGCCUGCUUGGGAUUCUCUCUCUUUUCUUCUCUUCCUGUCCCUCCCCCUGCUCAUGCUUUCUCUUGCUGUCUCUCUCCCUCUCUUUCUCAAAAUAAGUAAACUAAAAAAAAAAGGAGUGUCAAGGGAAUGAUCAACUGUGAGGGUGCUGAGACAUCUUUUCUCUGGAGACUGGAAAUAUUGGUGUCAGGCAGAUCUAAGAUGUAGGAAGAAAUAAACAUACUCACUUGGGAGUCAGGCAUCUCUGAUAUAGAACCCUAAACCCUAAAUCUACCACUUAGUAGCUGAGCAAACUUGAGCAGGUAAAUUUCUUUGAAUCAUAAUUCCUUAUAUAUGAUUUGAGAAAAAUAAUAACUUUCAGGGUUGCUGUGGAAAUUGAAUUGGUAAAUGCUUACUCAAGAGGUGUGUAUUAUUAUCAUGUGUAUACUUGGGAAGGGCUUCACUGAAAUUGAGAUGGAUUUAUGAGCUCCCCACGUAAGCACUGAGGCCUAGAAUCAGUUCUUCAAGAACUAAGAAAUGGUUGAGUCCUCUAUCCUGAAUGCAACCACAUCUAUAAAACAGACACACCUGGUGAACACCUGUGUACAUUUUACUCUUGCAAAUUGUAAUGUAGGAUCCUAAUAGAUGAUAGAGGAAAAGCCUGAGUCACAAAGCUCCCAGAGAUGAGCUAAUUUAUCACAGCUGUCCUGAGAAUAUUUGCUGUGUCCCCAUCAUACCAUGUGCUUUUGGUUUGAUAGGAAGAAGAGGCUGAAGCUGGAGGGAACCGUGAGAGGCUGAAUUGCGUUUUUAAUCUUUCUUGUAAAAGUGAAAAAUUAAACUGAGACAUCCAGGGCUCAAGGUGCUUGGAGAGUUGAGCCCCUCUGGAAUAUUUCUCCAGAGAUUCUACCUCCCAGCUAAAAUUCAAAGGUUCUUGGAUUUCUUCUAUUAAAAGUGAUCAUGUAUUACUUAACUAAUUGCACUCUAUAAUCUGUCCUUUCUCUGAAUUUCUACUGGCCUUAAUGCACUCCCCAAUGUAUUUAUAUGCUCUGGCUUAUGUUUCUUUGUUUCAUGUAAAUUUAUCUUUUUUAGCAUCUACUUGUGUUCCUUGAUGACAAUGGGACAAGGCCUUCAGUUAUUUCGUGUCGUUUUCUCCCUCAGUGCUUCGUAUGGUGCAAGGUACCUGAUCACUGCGUAGUUACUAUAAGCAGUUGACUCACCUGUAUUGUAUAGGACAGCCAUUCUGGGUCUAGGUGUACUCAAGGCAGUGAAUGUAUUAGAUCAUGUACAACACUCAGAGAUCAUUAAGAUCUUGGCAAGCAAGAGGGGUGGCACAAAAAUUCGUGAAUAUCGCUCUUAAAGGGCAUAUGUAACUGGGACUACCACAGUCCCUGAAAGACUGGUGUAGGAAUAAUAACUCCACCAUCGACUCUUAUGUAGCUCUUUGCAAUUUGGAACUUAGUUAAUAAUACACUACUCAUUUUAGUGUCCCUAAACCUUAAACACUGGUCAAGGCAGUGCCCUUUUCUCAAAUGAGAAAAUGGGAGUGCCCAGAGAUAAAGGACUUUGUGUUUACGAAAUUGGUAAGUGGCAGAGCUGUUGUUGAAAAUGAGACUUGCUGGAUCCAAAUGCAGUAUACUUCCCAUUCCUCUACACUAACAUAGUCGACUAGUUUUCUACAUAAUAAAACUUUCUGGGCCAAGAGGGGUCUGCAGAUGUGUUCCACUAAACAAGAGAUGUGGAGAAAUGCGGAGAUCAUCUUAAUUCAAAGUAGGAUGCAUCACAAAUUCAUUCGUCUCAAGCAGCUUCCUUCACCUGAAGCUUACCUGGGCACAGUUUUAAUAGUCCCCUUCCAGAAUCUGGGAAAAGAAACUGAAUCUGGAAAAAGAAACACAGUCUGUCAAGGAGACAAGAAUACUUCCUCUUCAGUGAAAAGAAAGGGUUAAAAUUUGAUCCUUUGAAAGUUUAAGGUAGACAAGAGUCCUGAAUUAUCUAGACACCAAAGAGUAGGCAAAAAGGCUGUGUAGCUUAUAGGGAAAAAAGUGAAGGGGUGUGUGUCUGGGGGAAGGAUUAGGGAGGGGAGAAUAGGACUAUUUCCUUCUAACAGGCUUUCUGUUAAAAAACAAAAGAAAGAAAGAAAGAGAAAGAGAAAUAAACAUUUGUUCCUGUGAUUAAGCCCUCAUUUGUGUUUAAAACAUAAGUGAAGUAGGGACAGUUCAAGGCACAGAGGCGCGUGUUCUGAUUUGGUUGUUUACCAUCAAUCAGACCGUUGCUUGGCAGACACUGGAUGGUUAUGAGCCUGAACAAGCUGAAAAGGGGCAGGAAAAGAAGUGGAGGCAGCAUUCUUCCUAUUUAAAGCUGCAUCGCUUGAAAAAAGUUUUCUCAGACUGUGCUGGAGCUGGUGCUGAAAAAGGGGGUUUGCAAAGGCUGCCCUGGGGCUGGUGCUAAAAGAGCCCGCAGCUGACUUCAUGGUGCUACAAUAACCUUAGAAUCUACUUUUCACUCCCAGGAGGACCCACAUGUCUAAUAUUUAGACAUGAUGGCAAACUGGGUGGAAGCAAGACCUCUCCUCAUUCUUACUGUUUUAUUAGGGCAGUUUGUCUCAAUAAAAGCCCAGGAAGAAGGCGAGGAUGGUGAGUUUGCUGUUUGCUUUGCUUGUGGUGUUUACUGCACGGUUUGGGAAAUAGGUGGAAUGUUAAGCCUCGGGAAGGAAGAGCGUGAAGAGGAAGUUCUGGUUUGAAGUUGAGAAGGGGGCUGACAGAUUUGCACCUGGGAAACGGCUCUCUCUCGGAAGACAAUCAGGAUAUUUGUAAAUGCGGAGCUUCUCCAUCUGCCGUUGGGCUGCAUGUUUCUGGGAAACCCUAGGAGAAGUCCUUUUGCCUGAAUGUGGACAGUGGGAACUUUAAAAGAAAUGGAGAGUGCUUAAAACGGAGCACUAAAGGCACUUUUAGCCAGAGGAGUUCUGUUCUGUGGGCUGGAGUUUUCAGAGCAAGGAAAAGUCGCAGCAGGAGCUGGGUAGGGUGGAGUCUUUUUUGUACGGAACUUCAGCUGCUUCAUACAAUUCUUUGUUUAGAAAAACCUCUGCAGCCACUCUGAUAACUGAUUUUUCUUUGUCUUUGGCUCCUUAUUCUUUUCUCUUUACAGGCUUUUACUUCUUUCCCAUUUUCAUUUGUGAUCUUAAACCACUUUUGCUUACUGAGAGACAGUCUCGUUUACUUGUCCGUGACAGAGGCUGAUAGAAGCCAGAUUUCUUAAACAGUGGUAUUUUCCCACCCUACUGACUUGAUUAUCAGGACAGUGGUGGCUCCCUGCUGGAUGGCGGAAGGCUGCAAAUCGGCAUGCCUUAUAUAUAAUGUAUUUAUCAUGGAGUAUUUGCAUGGGCAUUAUCCUUUAGACACAAGUUUCAUUUCUUUUUAAUGAUUUAAGGCAAAUCUUGCCUGGUUACCGAUUUUUUUUUCCUAUGCAAUUUGCUCAUGGUUAGAGUUGGGUGGCAUGGUAUGGUUAAGCAAAAACGCAUGGCUGCUAUAGAAUAUAAGAAAACAUUUAAAUUGGUUCCACUGGUUAUUAAAUCCUUAUUCUCCAGACAUGUUUUUUUUCAUAAUAGACCAUAUACAUUUUCAUAACUAUUUAACAUCAAACUCAAGCUUUUAAAACUUAGCACAUUUAAACUUUUCUGUUAUUGUCUUUUAUAUAUAUUUUGAGUGUAUAUAUAUAUAUAUAUAUACAGAUAUAUGCAUAUGUGUGUGUAUAUUUUUUAAUACCUGCUUCUGUGUAUUUUUGCUCUGAAGAUGUUCAUAAAAUUAAUCUACAGGCCACAAGGUCUAAAAAUCAUUUAAAGAGUGAAAAUAAGAAUGUGAGAUGAAUACUCAACAAUCUGUCCAGAGUCCCAUAGAGGGGGCACUUUCUAAAAUCUUGUAACUUUUUACGUUACUUUUUAUGUUUUAAAAAACGAGGCAAUUCAUAAAAGGUAAAACUGUUGAGUUUCUUUGAAAUGGUGUGAAAAACAUUAGUUGUUUGGAGGGGAGGUGAAAAUAAUUGAAUAGGUACUAGGAGUCAGGAAAGGGGAGGAAAAAAUAUGGAAAAAUUACAAUAGAAAUAGCAAAUUUAAUUAUAAAAGGAACAGUUCACUCCCCUCCCCCACCAAAACAAUCAACAACUUUAGUUUAAAACUUAAUUAACACAAUUUUCCAUGUCAAUAUACUUUAAAAUAAACAACUUACUUUUAUAAAGUGUGGAAAUAAUUGAUCAUGUGAAUAAACGAAAAGAGUGUUUCAUAAGGUAUAUGGAAUAGGCAUAUGUUAAAAGACUUUCCCAAAUAAUUGUAAUUACUCUGUAGGUGUUAUUGAAAAAUAAGGAGAGUUUAAUGUUUUCUAAUAUUAAUUUACCUAAAUUUUAGAAAUUUUAUAUUUGGUGCAAAUCAGUCUCCAUCUCCAUACCAACCCCUCUUCCCCCUAUAUAACCAAACAGCACAGCAAUCGGAAUCCCAAACAUCAGAUUUUACAGAAAAAGUAUAAUUCCGUACAUACACAUGGUAAAACUUAAAUUCCUCUGUUUUAUUACUCAACCCAGGAGAAAAUAUGUGAUAAAAAUUCAAUAGCAAUAGAAAGUUGUAUGGCCCAAAUUAAAGGUAAUAUACACAAGAAUUCCAGAAUCUAGUAUAUUCAGAGUUUUGUAACUUGUAUUGUACUUACUUACUGUUCAUAUUUUGGUUUCAGUUAUAUUGAAUGGAUACUUGGCAAUACUUUAUUCCCCCUGUUCAGGCUUGACACAAGCUUAAUAAAAGUGUCAGAAUUUUGAAACUCCAUGUGAUUUUAAGUUUGGGGAAGAGUAAGUUCAAGUAAAUGCUUUAAACUAAAGAAAUAGCUAAGGUUCACAGGCAAAACAAGUAUAUUUUUCAAAUUUUGGCUAUAACUAAGUGAUAUAAUGUGGUAGUGAUUUUGUGUAAAAAUAUGUCCCCUUUGAAAUGUAGACACGUGUUAUCACAGGUAACUACAUGUUUACAAGCUUUUAUAGUUUUCAAGACUUCAAGGUAUAUUUUUUAUCUGUUUGACUGUGUUUAUUUACCAGAAAUGUCAACAUAAGCACAAUGUCUGCCUGAUAGAAAUACUUAUGAAUGAUGAGAUAAGAGUAAAUAAAUAAAGUUUUGGGACAUAUAGGCCCAGAUAAUUACUACCUAUCAAAAAUAUAAGAACUGAAUUCAUUUUUCACAUUCCUAAGAACUGAAGGGAAGUUGGGCUAACUUUGGUUGACACUAUUCAGUAACAAGAAGCAGAGUUAAGAAGACAAAAUCAGCUUUUCAUGAUUUUUGGGGUAUAUGUGUUUGUGAUGGUGGUGGUGGGAUGCUUUAAAAGGUUCCCCAUUUGUUUUUUCUAGGAGAAAAUACUAUGAAUUUAUAGUAAUUUUUAUACUCCUAAACAAAGGUCUAACACCUAUUGAGUUAUGCACAUUUUUGUUAUUAGAAAUGGACAGACUUAAUCUGAGAAUAUAAUCUUUGAUAUGAAUUGUUGAUUUCAACAACAGAGAAAGAAUGGGGAGAAGGAAAGGUGCAACAUUGUACCAUUUAUUUCCAGAGACCAGGUAGGUGACAUAAACAGGUGAAGCAAGUGAGUGUUUGUAUAUCAACAGGGGAUGAUGGGCCUGUGGAGAACUGAAGAUGCAUAUGCCCACUUUAAGGCAUUCAAAACCAGUGUUUUCCAGAAAGCAUUGCAUAAGCCAAAUACAAUAUCUCUGAGUGCCAAGUCUGGCUCAUGGACCAUAAAUUUGCAACCCUCUUGUUGCAACCCUACACUGAUAUCCUGGACCCAAGCCAGCUUCUGAUUACUAAGAGAUGAAGGGCUCAGAGUCCUUUUUAUAUCAUGGUUUCUUCCAUUUUUAUGUCACAUCUACCAUUUAUCUCAUUAUUAUAAUACAAACUUGAAGACACAAGUGCUCAUUACUUAGUACUACUUGGCCCAGAUCGUUUUAAAUGGUACUGAGUACAUUACUAAGUAGUACUUGGAUUGAAUCAUUUUAUAGGAAGUAGAGAAUAUGAAUACAUAGCUUAAGAUACUUGAAAACUCAUAAAUUGUUUUAAACUCAUUACUAUUGAAAUAGAUACUUUGGAUUAUGUAGGACAUACAACCUUUUCUUUCAUAGUGGAUGUUUUAAUCUAGAUUCAGCUGCAUAUACCAGAAUGCAAUUGUUUAAAUUUUUUUUAAAGUGCUUUUUUUUUUUUUUUAAUAAAAGAAAGUUUUAGUUAGGUAGUGAAAGGCUGGUAUAUUAGCUCUACAAAGUCAUCAAAGACCCCGUCUCUUUCUAGUUCUCUACUCUCAUAUUCCUGGGGUAUAAUCCUUGAUGUUGUGGUCUUAGAUGGCUGCUGAAUUUCCAGCCGUUACAUUUACUUUCCAGGCAUCUGGAUAGAGGAUGAGAGACGAAGGCUGUGAUUCUCUCUUUAUUCAUGGAGACUAUUAAGUCUUCAUCCCAUUUCAACUUACUUGUGGCCAGAAUUCGGUCAUAUGGUCACACAAAGCUACAAGGGUGGCUGGGAAAUGCAGUCUUUUAGGUGAGUAGCACUAGCAGUAUACUCUACUGAAUAGAAUUAUGUUACGAAAGAAAUAAAAGAGAGAAUAGCUGUUAGGAGGCAAAUAUAGUCCCAACCGCAAUGAGUGUAACUGUCACCCACUUUCAUUGGAAUAGAUCUAGUUUCACUGGGCAGGAUAUAGUUGUGUGACCAGAUGUACCCUUGUUAUUGGUCACUUCCAAGUAGUCCAUGAAGCCAAGAACAUUGGAUGGCACUUAAAUUAGACUGCAGCUUUUUGCUUUCUAAUUCUUUUAAAAUACAUUUAGAAGUACCUAUAACUUUUAUCCAAACUAAAGUGAGGCUUUAUUUUGAAGACUAUAUCUCUCUCUAUAGAUGUAGACUGGUAGAUUGAUAGAUACAGAUAAGUUUUUAUAUUGACAGAACAACAUGUGCUUUGACCAUGACUCUUUAGGUUAGUGGGUAAGCAAUCCACAGAUCCACGUUGAGCUGGCUGAAUAAUCAUCUGAAGAGCUUGUUACUCAUAUAGAUUCUAGGCUUCCCUCUUUUCCAGAUAUCUUGAUGUAGAUGGUUUGGAUGGGAUUUGGGAAUUCUCUAGGUGAUUCUGAUUCCUGUUGGUUAACCACUAUACUGCAUCUCUGCCUAACAUCCUUUUGAUAUUGACGUGGACCAGUUGGCUUCUUGUUCCAAGACUACACAACUGUGGUGUAGAAAUAACUUGCUAUUCUACUUAUUCCUUUCACUUACAAAGUUGCCUAAUUAAAGUUUGCAGAGAAACUGUGGCAAAUUCACCAUCAUUUCUGGAAAAAUAACUCAAUGCCCAAAUCUUCUUCACGGCAGUUAGGUAAAUCAUUCUACUAUGCAAUGAGUACAUCUUAUUAAAAUAUAUUUCCAGGUGGUUAUAUAAUUUUCAUUUUCUCUCUUGCUUCCUGUCUUCACAUUUUUAGCACACUUUUUCACCACAGGUCUAAAAUUCAUUGUAUUGGUCAGUCUAGAAAUGCACAUAAUGCUGACUGUGAGGUAAAAACACAAAGAGAAAUCUUUGUUUUGAGUAGCUGGGACUUACAAGUUUGGAAUAAUGUUAAUCUAUGGCCACAGAAAAAAAUCUUUUUUAAACAAUGUUCUCCUACUUGAAGGACAAUCCAUACAUCAUCAGUGGCCUUUUAUCACAUUCAUAAAAUGUUUAAAAAUCAGUCAUUUUUUGACCUACUAUGUUUUGUUUUGAAUCACAACAUUCAAAAAUUUAGAUUUACAUAUGAAAGAUGUAGUAAUGAUAGAGGAAAAGACUAAAAUUAUUAGUUAUUAAUUGAUUUUAUUAUAUAAAUUUGGGCAAGUUGUACAAGUUUGUAUAAAACAAUGGAGUUGGGAAGAUAUUGACAAUUCAGUUUUCCUCCUAAUUUCUUUCCAUGUAAAUUUUACAUGUAUUUCAUCUAAAUUUCCUUUAGGACUGUUGAGCUGUUAUAAUCAAUAUUUUUAAAACAAUAUUUUUAAUCUACUCUUGCAUUUGCUUGACGAGAGGAGCAGACUGUCUUAUGGAAUAUUUUGCCUUAAAAUUGUGGCCACAUUGGCAGCUUUGAUGUUUUUAUUAUAUUUUAUUGAUGUUCAAAACUAAGCCCUUCCAAAGAAAUCAAGUUGUUUUCAUCUUAUACAUAAUAUAUUCUCUAAGGAACAGUGUAUAAGAUAAAUCACAAUAAUGCAAGAUUUUUCUUAUCCCCAUGUUGCCUUCUACAGAGAAGGUAGUGAUAUUAACAAUAUUAAUAAAUUAAGAUUAAUGAAUUAAUGGAAACUUGUCCCUAUAGCUCUAUGGUAUAAUGUUCAAACUCGAAAAUGUUUGCAUCCUUUUUUUUUUUUUAAGUUUCUCCUAGGAAGGAGAAAAGACAGUCUCACAGUUCUCUCUCUCUCUCUCUCUCUUUUUUUUCUUUUUUUUUUUUUUCUUUUUUGGGUGUCUGCUCAAUCAGAGUUAUAAACCCAGUUUCAAGAGGCAACAAAUAUAUUUUCAGUGGAAAUGUUGCUUGCAACAUAAGCGUCAUAGACUUAUUGCAGUCUGCAUACUGUAGUAAGGAAAGGAAGCCCAGUCCAACAAUCACUGGGAAAACACAUGGGUUCUGGUCCAUCUCUGCUAUUUAGCUGUUUUGCAACCUGCAGAGAGUCCUUUAGUCUCACCAAGCCUUUGAGUCCUCAUCUAAAAUCAGGGAUAAUGUACACACCCCUGUCAAUCUGAUGGGACUCCUAGGCAGAUCAUUUGGGAAAAUUACCUGAAGGUAAUUUUAGAGCACUUAAAUGAGACACAGAGAGUGAUAUUACAAUCUGAUUUCAGUCAUCACCGAUACAAACCUUAGUGGUAUAUUUUUUACUUUACCUAAUCUUUGAAUUUAUUUUGAGAAAACUUCUGGAUUUGUUCCUCUUCUGUACUUUCUUUAUUCUCCAUUUCCCAGAGGAACUUGCUCCAUCAAUCAUGUUCUCUUUUCUAUAACUACAACCACUCUCUUUCUUUGGUGCUUUUCCCGCUAUCUUAUAAACAAUCUCAGCUCUCUCCCAGGGCCCCUGUGUGGCUCCCACCCUUUCUUAAUUCUUACCCUGCCUGCUUUAAAAGAGUAAUAUAGUUUUCUGUCUCUCCUUCCAUGCCCUCACUCAUCCCUAUGUACUCUGACUUUUGCCUGCUCCCUGCCCCAUUCCAGUGAAGCUAGUGGAGUAAGAUGAAGACGAAAAUGGCGAUGUUUCCAGUGGGCUCCUUUUACCUGUCUUAUCAGGUUUCGCCUUUAUUUGAUACAAUUAACCACUCCAGCUUUCCUGAAAGACUACUCUCUGAAAGCCCUUCCUCUAGCUACCUUACCUUUUCUUCUCAGCAUGGGCUCCUUCUCUCCUUUUUUCCCUUAGCACUUUGUUUUCUCAGAGGAUUUAGUUCACUGGUCUUCCCUGUAUAUUCUCUUCCUAGAUCCAUCUAGGAAUCAAUCACUCUCAGGGUUUUGCUUAACAACUAACUGCUGAUAAUUCUCAAAUCUCUUUCCAAUCCUGAACUUCUACAUGAACUUCAGAAUUCUCCACUGAUGGGCCAUAACCACUUCAAGUUCAGUGUAUCUAAAACUCAACUCAUUAUCUUUCCCCUAAGACAAGAUCAUUUUUCCUGUGUAUUCCUUAUAUCAGUUAAUGGCAACAUCAUCUUACCUGGUCACUCCAGCAAAAUUCCAAUCAGUUACUAAAUUCUUCCGUUUUAUCCACUAAAUAUUUCCUCAAUAUACCUCUUCUCCCUGCCUUCUCCAAACACCUCAGUUCAGGCCUACAUUAUAUCCCUGGAUAAUUGCAGUAGCAUUUAAAUUCCCUGCCUUGCCUCCUGUGUGGCCACUUCCCACUUGCAUGUGUAUAGACCUCUUCUGUUGCCACUGUGAUAUAAAAAUCUAAAUCAAAAAACCUAAAAUCUGAUCACAUCAUUACCUUCCCUAUAACCUUCCAUUGACUCCAAUAAUUUGGAGAAAGAAUAAUGUUCAAGCUCCUAAGCAUGGCACACAAGACCUUCUAAGAUCUGGCCUGUUUCUAGAAUGUGAGUCAGAUCAGCUGUAACUCCAUGUCUCAAAAUAAGAAAUUGCUUGUAGUUUUGACCUCCCACUGCACAUACACACAUGCACUUUUCCUUUUUUUACCUCUGCUUUUCAGAUUCCACUCCAUGUUAUGAAUUCAUUUUAUGUAUUAGGUACAUGAUAGUUAUUCCAUUAUUAAUUUAAUGGAAUAUUAAUUUUUAAAAUCUAAAAAAAAUUCCCACCAUUUAUUUUAUUUUACUUUAUGUUUAUUUUAUUUUUGAGAGAGAAAGAGAGAGAGAGAGACAGAGCACGAGCAGGGGAAGGGGCAGGGAGAGAGGGACACAUAGGAUCCGAAGCAGGCUUCAGGCUCUACACUGUCAGCAUAGAGCCUGAUGCGGGGCUCGAAGUCACCAACUGUGAGAUUAUCACCUGAGCCAAAGUCGGUGCUGAACCCACUGAGCCAUCCAGGUGCCCUUCUUUUUUUUUUUCCCCUUGCCAUUUAUUCAAGUAUCAGUGCACUUAUUUCAAACUCAGGUUUUGCAAAUUUGCAUAUUCUUGAGCAAUUUUUUUUAUUUCUCUGUCUUAGUUUAUUUAUGUAUACAAUUAGAAUGAUAAUGUUUACCUCAAAUAAUUAUUAUGAACACUAUCCCACAUAUAAACCACCUAUAUAGUAUGGCUCCUAGCAAAUAGCAGGAGCUCAUUAAAUGAUAGUUGAUAUUAUUAUUCCAUUACUACUUAAUAACAUAGAAAUAAUAAUAAAUGCUUAUUGGGUGAUUAUGACGAUGAAACUGUUAGUAUGGAAAAAUAAACAACUUUUGUUCUCAAAGAGAUGAACGUCUAGUGUAAAACUUAAAAUGCAAAUUUUACCUACCAUUGUAUUAUGGUCAUUUUGAUAAUACAUCGAUGUAUUUACCUGAUUUCUAAUUGGGCUAUAUUUUAAACCUAUUUAAAAUUUUUAUUCUUCAAACAGUAGAGUUUUACUGUAUUGGCUCCUUAUAUAGGUUUACUAUGGGAAAAAACAAAAGAAACAAAAACAUCUUUCCACUGGAGACUGGAGACUGUCUCAUGGCCAUGUGGUCUGAAGCAUCACCCCCCACUUCCUGUUUCACACCCCCCCACACACACAUUUCAUUCUGUGCAAUGGUUUCCAGUGUGUGAGCAAGCCAAGCACGAUUCAUUCCAUGCCCCAGUGCUACCUCAUGCCUGUCUACCAGCUAUGUCUAUUUCAGAGUUUAUUCCCUGAAAAUAUGAGAGUCAUAAAAAUCUCUAUUAAAAAUUGGAAGCUUAUUUUCCAAACUGCAUUGCUCUGGGUUGCAUUUGCAAUGAGAGGAAUUGCUUCACUGCACAGGGAUUUACAAGGCAGCUUCCAGGACUAUUUGGAUACAGAAGUGGGGUGACCCAUCUUUUCCCAGACUUCGCAGCAAGUCUCUUCAUUUUCCAAAGGUUGCUGGUUUCUUCACUCCUACUCCCAGGAGAUUUUUGUGAAGUUUACUCCAGAAAGCAGAAACUGUGUAGGAAGUAGGCACAUUAUUCACACUCAUGCUUUCCCUAGUUUGCUGCACUUUUCAUUCUUCCCAGUUUUUCACACUUUAAUAAAAUGAUGGUUUUGACUUAGAGGGAGGCGCACUUAUGGAAUUUUACCAGAUAAUUUGUAGCUAUGAAUUUCUUUAACUAAAUCUUUAUUAUCCAGUAUGGUUGUUCUGUGGCCAUCAGCUUUAGAUUUUUUUUUUUCAUUAUGGAAUUCUAAAAAUAUGGAUGGUUUCCAUAGCAAAUAAAUUCAUUUAUAGAGCUUUAAUCUUUUUAUUUAUCUUAAAUAGUAGUUGUAUGCUUAUUGCUCCUGAGGUAGAGGAACCUAUCCGAUUCAUUUAUGCUAGUUUGAAAUUAUUUUUUUAAUGUUUAUUUAUUUUUGAAAGAGAGACAGAACAUGAGUGGGGGAGGGGCAGAGAGAGAGGGAGACACAGAAUCAGAAGCAGGCUUCAGGCUCUGAGGUGUCAGCACAGAGCCCGAUGCGGGGCUCGAACUCAGGAACCACUAGAUCAUGAGCCAAAGUCGGACGCUUAACUGACUAAGUCACCCAGAUGCCCCUAGUUUGAAAUUACUUUUAAGACAUUUCUGUCUCAUUCUUUGCAGAGCUUUAUAUUGAAGAAAUGAUUAAGUUACAGUUUAAUUCAGAACACCAUGUUUUUCAUGUUAGUGCUAAUUUUUGAACUAGAAUUUCUGAUAGGAUGGGCUGGUGGACAGUGAAGUUAAUUGAUUGUCAUAGUAGAUGAACUGCAAAAAACCUGCCUAGUUUUCAGGUCUUUGGCUAUAAACACUAAAUCUCUGAAGCUUUAAAAACAAGCCUUAUACUUUAUUUUGAGAAGGCAGAAGGGUACUGGUCAUUCCAAGGUAAAUGAGUGAUUCUGAUAUAAGAACUUUCUUUUACACAAGUUUAUACUGGUAAAAAAAAAUAACCUUGGGCCCUUGAAGGAGGAACAACUGAACACUUCAUCAGAGUUCUUGUGUUCAGACCUUCAGGUGCUAUAAGUGUUAUGUCUUUCUGAGUAUUCAUACAAAAUGUCACUUCUUUCUCCAACCAUUUCCCAUAUCCCCUCAAGUCGUGGUGUCCACUGAUGAGAUUAGGCAAGGGUUUGUGCUUUUAUUUUUCUCCCUCAAGCAUCGUAAAACUGAACUGGAUUUUGCUGAGAAACAACUAAUAAAUUCCCGAACAAAUGGAAUUCUCAUUAGCCUGGGAAGAAUUCAGUCUUCUUGCAAUCUGCUUAUUUUAUUUUUUAAAAAAGUGGGGUAAUUCCUUUAUGUAGAGAAAGAGACAAAACUGAAACAGAAUUAGUGCUAUAGAGAUUAAUCAGUGAAUGCAUUUGAAGUUCCAUUGGCAAGGCUCGUGAUGGUUUGGUACACAGAGGAUGAUAAAAUAUUGAUAAUUAAACUUGUACUUUUAAAUGUUAUUUUGGCAUUUGCAGCAUAUAGAUAAGUAUGUUCCAUAAACUUGCCAAAGGAACACUUACCUGAGCUACCUUGUCUUCUUUCCACAUCUGUUCUAUGGAGGCAAUGUUGCAAAGUCCUAGAGGAAAGAGCAGGUUCAGUUCUAGAAAAACAACUUGGAAAUAGAUGACUUUUAUUUUAUUUUGCUUUGUUUUGUUUUAGGAAAAUAUGCUCUCAGCCUCCUUUCUGUUUGAAGGGAAAGCAUUCAGAAUUCUGCAUGAAAAUCAGGGUCUCACUGCAACUCCACCUGGAUGUCACCUUCCCAAAUUUUGCCUUAAAUUACAGACUUUUCCUUGGAGCCUGUUCUCCUAUCAGAACUUACUGUUUGUUGUCCUUUUCUUUCCUACUCCAUAGGAAACUAAUAUAUAAUACAUGCUCCCCUAGUUACUAUUCUUUUUUUUUUUUUAAUUUUUUUUUCAACGUUUAUUUAUUUUUGGGACAGAGAGAGACAGAGCAUGAACGGGCGAGGGGCAGAGAGAGAGGGAGACACAGAAUCGGAAACAGGCUCCAGGCUCUGAGCCAUCAGCCCAGAGCCCGACGCGGGGCUCGAACUCACAGACCGCGAGAUCGUGACCUGGCUGAAGUCGGACGCUUAACCGACUGCGCCACCCAGGUGCCCCCCUAGUUACUAUUCUAAUGCAUAGUGUUAGUAAUAUUACUCCCUUAUAAUGAGAGCCAUUAUAUGGUAAUUUGCCUUUUGCAACCUUUUUUUUCACUAUUCUCUGGCCAUCAGAAUCAGUGGACAUCAUGGCUGUGGAUGAAAACUCCAGUAUCAUCAGAUGGACUCUGAGACUCACGCUUUAGGUGGAUGAAACAUGGCUGUCCUGGACAUUCUGUACUUGCCCAUGGAAGGUUCCACAAUCAAGACAUUAAAAUCACUUCAGAUCCAUUCUAAUAGAAACUAAAAGUUGCCUUAGUAUAAUCAAAAUGGAAAUUUGCCCACCAGAUUCCCUUUGUUUCUGAAGAGGAACUUUGAGUUUCUUCAGGAUAGAACCCUAUGAUAGUGCAUCCUAUGGAAGGCAUAAAAGCAUGGAAGGAUGGGUUCUCUGUGGUUAUGUAAGGGUGCGAAUUAACUUCAUUGUAAUACACUGAAGUGUCAGGCACCAAGCUAACAUGAGACUUCAUGAUUGUAUCAUGUCUUGUGAGAUUUAUUUAGAAUUUUAAAGAGGUUGGGGAAGUUUGUGAUAUCUCUUAAUUUCUGUUCUUUAAUUCCUCUAUUUUUUUACUCUAUGUUCCUCAAAUGUAGCCAUUUUAGAAUAAAAUAAAUAAACACUACCACAAUACUAUAUCUAUUUUUUUUUUUUUUUUAGCCAAUAGCAUAUAUACUAUCAAACAAGCCUAUGGACAAAAAGGAAUAGGUCAUUGUUUCAUAGUGAGAUUUUUUUUGAUUCUGUGAAAUUCCCUCAAUUCCCGCGUAUUGCCAUUUUUCAAUACUUAGGGUUUUUAACAGUUAACAAUUUCUAUGCUUCGAAUUUCUCCUUUUCCACUCACUUUCAAUAAGCAGUUAAUAGGGCAUGGGUCUUUGGAGUCUGACAUUUGAGUCCUGACUUUGCCUGGUAACCUUGUGAACUUUAGCAGGUUGCUCAUCUUUGAGAUUCAGUUUUUUUCAUUUGCAUAUUGAAGAAUUGAGUUAAAAUUCAUGGCACUUUAUAGGCACUGAAGAAAAACAGAUAUUAUUAAUACUUUGGAUAGAUUCCCUGAUUAGGCCAUUGCAGACUGCCUUCUCCAUAACUGAAAUAAUUUCCAUCAAUCUGUUCCCAGUUACUAGGUUUGAUAGGAAAAAGUUUGGGGGGUGCAGGGGCAGAAGAGGUGGUUAGGAGGGAGAGGUAUAACUGGGAGGCUUGCAAGGGCAAUAAAGAAUUUUUAUUUAUCUCGUGUUUUUCCCUUGAGACAGGACUGUGCCCAACUCUUGAUUAUUCACAAAGCAAGUUAGGAAAAGCAAAGCAGUAAAAACCCUGAAAGUUAUACUUUGGUAUCAGGAUGCAUUUCACAAACUUGGCAGUAUACAUACUCAUUUAAUUUUAUUCUUUUUUUUCUAAUAUAAUGAUUUUGGCAACUGUUUGCAGAUUUGGUUCAGGUAGAGUUGUUCAAGAAAAGUGAAACUAUCCUUAAUAUAUAACAAUUCUGUUUACUUUCCUCAAAUUUUACUGAUGUCAAGACAUACUUAUUUGAACACUGGGCAAUGUUUUUGUGAGAGAAAGCAGGCGCCUCCACCUGGGUGGCCACUGAAGGGUAAGGAAGGCGCUGUGUGUGUGUCACUCAGCUUCUACUAACUCAACAUGGCAGUGGGACCUAGAGAGCUCUAGCCCUGAGCUGGAUGACUGGAAUAAAGUCCUGACUCUUUGCUUAUAAAUUUCUUAUAAAUACAACGUUUGGAGCCUUAAUUUCCUCAUUUAUAAAGCAGGAAUAAUAUUUUUUAUUUUAUCACUUCUCAGGUUCAAAAUAAAGAAUUCAUAGUAUGUGUGGAAAUUCUAUGGUUAGCUAGAAAGGCCAAUGUAAGGGUAGUGUUAUUAUCUUAGCAUGCCUUUGCUGUGAUGAACAGUUAGCUGAAUGCAGACUAAAUGUUUUCUUUUAAGCAAAUGAUCAUGUUAAUGCUCCAAAGGAAUAUAAGACUCUCCAUAGAAAUGAAAGAAAGCAAAGUUAGUGUUUUUUCUUUUUUUAAAUCUCGAAUUGAGGAAAGUGAAAUACCUGCUUAUGUAACUAUCUAGGAACCUCCCAAAGCCCCAGAAAAGGAGAAAAUAAGAACAGAGGCUUUGAUGUGAGGGUAAACAGAUCAGAUGGAAAAAAAAACCCACCAUGAUUCUUGUAAUAUAAUUGGACUGUAGUCUCUCUACAAGCAAAAAUGUAGCUUCCUGGCAGAAAGCUGAUUCCACUAUUAUCAUUACUUUUCCCCUAUUCAUCUCUCAUCAGGAAGCCUGUCUCAAAAUCAAAGUUAAGCUCUAAGGGCCUGUUUGUAGCAUGGUAUCUCUUUUCCCUAGGUCAGAAGGUGACUUUGAACUAAAAGUUUAAACUGGUGACAAAUAUCCACAACAAUCUGAGCCAAGUGUUUAGACAAAGGUUCCAUCAGCCCUCAGGCCUGUCUACUUUCUGGUAUAUUUUAAGACUCUCUACUUGUACAGAGAGAAACAUGCAGUUAAAGAGAUGAGGGCCUCAACUAAAUAGACUGUUACUUUCUUUCAUGAAUAAAUUGUUGAAGUAAUUUUAAAGAAAAGCUUCUAGAUUAAGACUGGAGCAGGACAGGAAACCUCAUUCUAAUUGCAGCUCUAUCAUGAACUAACUUGGUGAUUUUGUGGAAGUGACGUAAAUUCUCUGGGCCUCAGUUUCCUUCUUUGUAAAACCUGUGAUAUAUUACCCAGAGACACUUCCUGCCCUGAAAAUCUGUGACUGUAGAAGGUUUACAUAAAGUUACUUCACAUAGGUCAGGUUUGUGCUCUACUGUGAGGACUCUUGUGCAUUCUUUGGGUAGAUUGAGAUAUCACGCAUAGUCUCUGUAAACGAUGUGUUGCUGUACUUUUAAAUUAAGAUUUGAUAGUUCUUAUCCAGGUUUCUGGUUAUUCACCUAACUAUGGGUUCAUCUCAGGAGUACAACUUCCAAUUUAUAACUUUGGAAAAUGGUAUGCUUUUUAGUGAAUGGCUUUACAACAAAGUUUCUAGAGAAGUGUCUAAAAGCAAAGUUUCUAGGCAAAAUUUCUAAAAGGAGCUUAUGGAAAAAAAUUAUGGUACUAUGGCCUCAAAUUGUGUGGGUUUCGUAUAAUUUUGAGCUUUCCAACGACAGAGAAAAUAUGUAAAUGUGUCAUGCAUUGUAUUACACCAUUACAACCGUUAAGACUCCAUGUUCUUUAGAUAUUUUUUUGGCGGAAUAGGCGGUCAAAGUUAAGCAGCAUCGUAUACUCUCAAUCUCAUAACUGAUGGAUUUGUCUUUGUAGCGGGAAUGUUGUCUACUUUUCCUGACAAUUGAACCUACUAAAAUGCUAUUCUUUCCAGACUUUAAAAAAAACGAAAAAAAGGAGAAGAAGAAUUAAGAGGCUAUGGGAUUUCACCUGAGGAGUAGAUCAUGGGGUAGUCAUGCUUGUUCUUGAGUCCAUAUUUUAAACUUAUUCUGGAGUCCUUAUUAUUUUUUUGCAAUUAUGUUUGUUGGGAGAUAUGUACAUGUUUAGUUUGAAUAUCUAGAAGAUUUGAUUUGUCCCAUUGAUAUUUCUUACACACAGGACUUUUGGAACAUGCUGCAUGUCCUUUUUUUUCAGGGAAAACGAGACUCCAUUCCUAUGCUUCUUUUCCCAGUUUCCUUCCUUCAACAACACUGACUGAGUCUUGUAAACAUUUAUGUCCCCAAGUCCUGCUAGAAUUUUGCUCCCAGAUAUCCUAGGGGUAGAAAACAGCCCUUUUAAAAUUGUCUCUAUAAGAAGUAUGUGUCUAAUUCAGGUGCAUGAAAAAUUUAGGUUAAAAAUCUGAAAAGAUUAAAAUACUCACAAAUGCUCACCUCCAUGUUCAAAUCACAGAGGCCAGUGGGAAAGAACUGUCAGGUUCUAGAUGAAUGUACUCUUCGAUAAGUGAGAUCCACUUGGUCAUCUUAUAGCACUUGUCAUAAUUUACUUUUGGGGGGAAUAUAAAUCCCCCUCAAAGGCUAUUAUAAGUGUGUUAGUGACAUUAGAAUUUAAUUCAGAUGAUUCUGAAAUUUUUGACUUUUUUUAAAAAACAAAUAAUGCUGCUGGUGGUUUUGACUUGCUUUUCUCUACAGAAGAUAUUCUCACCACACACCGAUGAGGCAGUUACUUGCAUUCCUUCAUUUAUUUAUUAUUCAGUGAACAUUUACUGAGUACCUAUUGUUUACCAGACACUUUUCUGAAUGAUGCAGAAACAAAUAUUUAAUCUUUGUCCCCAGGGAGCUAAUCAUCUAAUGGGCACAAGGGAAAUAAAGGACAAUAUCAUGUGGUCUGUGCUGAGACAGAGAUAGACAGAGGAUACUAGGGGCACCAGGAAGACACCCCUACUAUUCAAUACCUCAGAGGUGGAGGGCUGGGAUGGGAGGUCAGGGAAGAUUUGAGAGGAGGGAACACCGGAGCAGAGUCAUUCCCCUGUGUUUCUUCCAUUAUCUCCUUCAUCUGCAUUCCAUCCUGUUUGUCAUACACACAAAUCCUUCAAAUCCUAAUCAGGUCUGAUGUGCAUUCUCUUAAAAACCUUUUUUUUAAAUAUUUAUUUAUUUUUGAGAGACAGAGAGAGACAGAGCAUGAGCAUGGGAAGGGCGGAGAGAGAGGGAGACACAGAAUCCGAAGCAGGCUCCAGGCUCUGAGCUGUCAGCACAGAGCCCGACGUGGGGCUCGAACUCACAAACCUUGAGAUCCUGACCUGAGCUGAAGUCGGAUGCUUAACCAACUGAGCCACCCAGGUGCCCCAUUGAAAACCUUUUUGAUUAUCCGAGAUAUCUUUGUUCUUUUUGUCUAAAUGACAGUAGUCAGCACUUCCCCUUUCUAUGACACCUUUAGCAUUCAAAAGAAACUUUUCUGUGUUGUCCAUUGUUUUAGUUUCAUUUAUCAAUAGAUGUUAUUGAUCUUUAGUUUUAUCAUCUGCUCCUUGAGAAUAAAGAUGGGUAUUAAGGAGGGCACUUGUUUUGAUGAGCAGCAGGUGUUGUAUGUAAAUAUUGAAUCACUAAAUUGUACACCUGAAUCUGAUACUACGCUGUGCAUUAACUAACUGGAAUUUAAAUAAAAACUUAAAAAAAAAAAAAAAAGAAGAAGAAGACAAUCUCUCAAAUCCCAGAAAGUUAAAUACAUUUUUUAUUAUUUUUUAAAGUUUUAUUUAUUUAUUUAUUUAUUUAUUGACUCUUAAUUAAUUAAUUAAUUUUUCAAUAUAUGAAAUUUAUUGUCAAAUUGGUUUCCAUACAAUACCCAGUGCUCAUCCCAAAAGAUGCCCUCUUCAAUACCCAUCACCUACCCCCCCCUCCCUCCCACCCCCCAUCAACCCUCAGUUUGUUCUCAGUUUUUAAGAGUCUCUUACGCUUUGGCUCUCUCCCACUCUAACCUCUUUAAAAGUUAAAUACAUUUCCAGUACUAUGCAUAUUGUAGAUACUCAAUAAAUAUUUGUGGUUAAUAAGUUAAGCAAAAUAGGGGCACCUUGGUGGCUCAGUCGGUUGAGUGUUCAAUUCUUGAUUUUGGCUCAGGUCAUGAUCCCAGAGUCUUGGGAUCUGGCUCUACACUGAAUGUGGAGCCCGCUUAAGAUUUUCUCUUUCUUGCUGUCUCCCUCCCUUCCCCACUGCCCCUCUCCCCAGCUCACAUGCUCUCUCUUUCUCUCCCUAAAAAAAAAUUAAAAAAAUAAUUCAAGCAAAAUAUAUUUUUUGAUGGUUCAAAAUCAAGUGGCUUCUCUCAGUUAAUUAUCAGAUUGUUUUCUAAUUAUAUUACUCAAUCUUGCCUAAGCUGUUAUAUAAAUAGUAAACUUAGGUGGAAUCAGCUUUUAUGUAUAGGUUAGCUAUCUUUGGUGGCUUUUUGUCUGAAGCCUCAUAUAAAUACAUACUUCAAAGCCUACAUAUUGUGUACAAAAUAGAAACAAAAGUUAAUUUUAUAAUUUAUCUAUUUAUAGUGACUUUAGUCAGGCUUUAGGGACACAAAGAUGAUUUAACACACUAGCUGGUAUUUAAGGAACAUCCAUGAUGAGGAGAAUCAACAUAUGAACAAAAAAGUGAAACAGAAUGUAAUAAAUUUGGUGAAAAAGAAUGGCAUAGAGGUAUCUACUCUAAUAUAGCAAGGGUUGGUUUCCUGGAGGAGAGAGACCCCAAACAUAAAUGAUGGAUGUGUGCUAACCAGCAGAAUGGAGACAAGAGAGGAGCAAGAGGGUGCAUCUAGUUGGGGAAAAAAGACAUGAAGAAAUACUAAGAAGUAUUAAUCAGCAUUUCUUUGCAGGAAAACUGCAGAAAACUGCAGCUACUUUCCUGUCUUGGUGCAUAGAAUGGAAGGCGUAAUCAUCUCAUUCAUUAUUAGAAAUAUGAUUUUGAGGCGGGGCACCUGGGUGCUUUAAUCGGUUAAGCAUCUGACUCUUGGUUUCAGCUCAGGUCAUGAUCUUAUGGUUUGUGAGAUCGAACCCCUGUGCUGACAGCAUGGAGCCUGCUUGGGAUUCUCACUUUCUCCCUCUCUCUCUACCCCUUUCCCACUCGUUCUCUCUCUCUCCCUCCCUCUCUCUCAAUAAAUAAAUAAACUUAAAAAAAAAGAAAUGUGAUUUUUUUAGACAAUUUAUUGAUUGAUUAUUUAUAAAUUCUGUAUUUAAUAGUAGUAGAGAUAACAGAUAAAGAUUAUUAUUUUUUUCCUUUAGCCAUUAAAAAGCUGACUUGUGGGCGCCUGGGUGGCGCAGUCGGUUAAGCGUCCGACUUCAGCCAGGUCACGAUCUCGCGGUCCAUGGGUUCGAGCCCCGCGUCAGGCUCUGGGCUGAUGGCUCAGAGCCUGGAGCCUGUUUCCGAUUCUGUGUGUGUCUCUCUCUCUCUGCCCCUCCCCCGUUCAUGCUCUGUCUCUCUCUGUCCCAAAAAUAAAUAAAAAACGUUGAAAAAAAAAUAAAAAAAUAAAAAAAAAGCUGACUUGUGAAGUGAUGAAGAAACAUAGAACCAUCGUUGAGAUAGGAGGUAGAGUCAAGUGAGGAUGUUUGUGUUAUUUUAUUUUCAAAUGACAGAAUGGGAUGUUUAUAGCCUGAAAGAAAGUGUCCCAGGGACAGAGAGAUCUUGAAAAUACAGAAAGAAAGGGCAAUGGUGAUUGACCAGCAUAUAGAAAGGCACAGUUUUGGUGUAAAGGUAGAGAUUAGCCUCGAAGAGAUGAGGGGAUAUUACAUCUUUGACACUAGAUGCAAGGAUGCAAAGAUACAGAUGUAACUUCAGGUGAAAGCAGUCUGUUGAGGGUCCCAGAGGUGGGAGUGGAAGGUUGGGAUAGUUCAUGCUUGAUACAUCAACUAUUUUUAUUGCCUCAAUUAUUUUAUUUUUUAAAUAUUUAUUUUUGAGAAAGAGAGAGACAAAGCAUGAGUGGGGGAGGGUCAGAGAGAGAGGUAGACAGAAUCUGAAACAGGCUCCAGGCUCUGAGCUGUCAGCACAGAGCCUGACGCAGGGCUUGAACCCACAAACCACAAGAUCAUGACCUGAGCCCAAGUAGGGCUCUCAAACAACUGAGCUGCCCAGGCGCCCCUAUUGCCUACAUUAUUUUAAUGCUUAGUUACUUGAAUGCAUCAAUGUAAUUCAAUACAAAAUUAAUUUAAUGUAAUGUAAUUAAUUAAAUUACAUAUCUUGGACUGUCCCUCGAGACUAUUCUAACUGUUGCUCUGUUUGUGCUAACAUGAUGAAGAUUAAAUUAUCAGUAAAUUAUUUGUUUUGAGAACGUUGGUUCAAUGUCAGAGAGUUGCUCAAAAUGCUUCUGCAUGAUGAUGCAUAAUGUUUCUUUUCCCAACUGGGUGACGUGCUGUUCUUUUGGGUAGUCAGCUUCAACUUUCUGUCAGUCCCUAACUACCCCUACCUGCCCUCACUGCAUGUUACUAGAUCCCAAUGAUAAAAGAGAUUCACUUUCUCAGAGGUAAGGCUAGGGUUUUCUGUACUGGCCAGUGAUCUAUAUUCAGUUGACAUUUGUUUGUAGAGUUUUCUGCUUCUAUAAGUAAUAUCACACUAUAGGUAGGACUGUACAGUUCACAAAGUACAUUUACUCAUUUGAUGCACACAUAAAACCCAAGUACCUUCGCUUGCAGAUGAGAAAACUGAGACUCACAACAGAUAACAGAUAAAUAAUGCAGUGGAUUUUGGACAGGGCUAUAGAACUUAGGUUUUCUCACUCCUGAUCCAUGGCUCUUUCAAUUGUAUCUUAUAGAAAGGAGAAAAGGAAGGGAGUGAGACAGCUUUAGUCAACAAGAAAAGCACCCCACCCUAUAUGGAAAUCAUUUUUGUUUAGUGCUGGAUUCUUAGAGACCUCAGUGAGACCAAACCUGUGGCAGGCAAUGAUUAGGGGAAGUAUUAUUCGAUCUUGAAGAAGUUUAGAUUUUUUUUUUUUUUUUUUUUUAGAUUUUAUUUUUUUCAGACAUGGAAGUUGGGGAUUUUCAUGGAGACCUAUAAUGAGGAAAUAACCAAGCGACUUUUAAUUUACCCAACUAAAAAUGUUACUUGAGAUGAAAUAGGAAACCUUGUAAGCAGGAGUCUGCAUAGAGAUGAAAACAGAUGUAAUCACAAGAUGUGCUAUCGGGUAAGAGCCAAAAAUGACUUUUGGAAAGAAAAAAAAUAUGCGGGUUUAGCACUCAGUGAGACACCUCUAAUUAUUAGGCUUUCUGUCCUGGCUUUAUAUACUCCAUUUAUUAUAAAAUUAAUUUUAAAAAGUCACUGGCCAGAUAUUAUUGUGUGCUCACUCCCUCAGAGUCUGGAUUCUAAGCGCCAGGUCAGACACUAGAAGUAGAAAGAAAAAUAAGAAAUGGUCUUCUUACUUACAGAGUCCCAAUAUGGGAGAUACAACCAGCUGUAAAACUUUGUAAAGAGAACUGAUAGAUAGGUAACAGCAUGCAUGCAUAUCUGCCUACGCUGGUAUAUAAAUUAGUUAAAAUCUAUAAAAACCAGACAUCUGCUAGGGGAGCUUGGGUAGCUCAGUCAGUUAAGCAUCUGACUUUGGCUCAGGUCUUGAUCUAACUGUUUGUGAGUUUGAGCACUACAUUGGGCUCUCCACUCUCAGUGUAGAGCCCGCUUUGGAUCUUUUGUCUCUCUCUCUCCCUGCCCCUAUGCUGCUCUCUCUCUCUCUCUCUGUCAAAAUAAAAACAAAGCAGAAUUUGCACCAAACGUUUUCGGUAGAAGGAUCUCCAGUGAAAAUGUUUAUUUGCUAAGAAAAUGUUUUCCUCCUUCUGGGUUGCCUAGGUGGCGUCUGGGUGGUGUCUGGGUGGCGUCUGACUCUUGAUUUUAGCUCAGGUCAUGAUCUCCUGGUUGUGAGAUUAACCACCUCCCCCCCCCCCCCCGCCACUCCCCAGUCUGGCUCUGUGCUGACAGUGAGGGAUUCUCUCUUUCCCUCUCUCUCUGCCACUCCCCACUCACACUCUCUCAGUCUCUCUCUCAAAAUAAAUAAAUAAACAUUAAAAAAGAAAGAAUUUGAAAAAUAAAGUUACUCAUGAGAGAUUUAGCAAUAAAAACUUGAUUUCUCCUUUAAAAAAAUGAAAAUAUUUUCUUCCUUCUGUAGUGACAUUUUUUAUCAUAAUAUUUUUUCACCAUUCCAUGAAGGUAGUUACAAAUCAGUUAAAAAUUUAAUCACCUGCAGAAAUGUUUUACAUUUGUGUAAAUGCUGCCCAUUGAUAAUCUAUAAUAACAAAUAUUUGACUUAUGUGUACUAAGCCAUGUACUAUAGUUACUUAAUCUAUGUAUUUAGUAACAAAUUCAGAACUAGAAGUGUAAAUGCUGCCCAUUGAUAAUUAAUCAAACUAUAGUAACAAAUAUUUGAUUUCUGUGUACCAAGUCAUGUGCUAUAUGGUGUACUCAACUUACAUAGUUAGUUAGUAGUAAAUUCAGAACUCGAAGCUGUGGUUCCUAACCUUAGGAAGUUUCUAAUGUAGUUUCAAAGUAAACAUUUGAAAUAAUUAAGCUAAGAAAUAGGAUAUAUAAGCACUGAACACAAAUACAUUAAUUUUUGAAAAUAAGCCUGGAGUAAAUUUAGGAAAGGGAAGUGUUGGCUAGAGCUUUUACAAAAUGAGAGGUUUCAGAGAGGAGGCAGGCAGGAGAAUAGGGUGUUGUGAAAGCCAACAGAAAGGUUCUUAGAGUAACUGUAAUUGUGUCACAGAGGUCCGAGGGAAGGGUGAAGGAAGAAAGGUAGGGAACCAGGCAGUAUGGAGUUUUCUGAUGACCUUUGAGAGAAUAGUUGUCCAAAUAGUUAGGAACCAAAACAAAAUUUGCAGAGGUUAGACUUCUUAUACAUUCUAAUAUAUUGAUUUCUGAACUAAUUUCAUAUAGUAGUUAUUUAAGUCAUAUAUUGAAAUAAAAUUCUAAUCAGCUAAUUUAUUUCUUUACCAUUUUCUUUCUGUUUUUUAAGUUCUAUACUUUUUCUAAAGGACUUACUGGAUAUUAUUAAUGAAAUGAAGUGUCCAGUCUGUUGGUGUUCCCAUAAUGUUAAUAUCUUUAGUGCUAAGAAAUAAUUUGUAGUGCUGAUGAGGUACUGUACAAAAGUAGAGGACUGUGAUCAAUGGGCUAUACUUGAAAAUUACAUAAAAUCCUUCUUGGGUUGAUGAUAUUUAAUCUAUAUGUGAUAAGAAUACUUGUUUUAAACUAACACAAAUUUCCAUAGAUUCGUCAAUAAAGUCAUUACUAUGGAGUAAGUCAAUGCACAUACCUUCAGUAUUACCAUGCAGAUUCUCAGAGAUCCUCCUAUUAAUUACUGACAUGAUUACCUAAAAACUGUGGCUUUCUAAUUAAAGUUCAACAAGCAUUUUGUUGGACAUGUGUUCAGGUAUUGUGCAAGGCUAUGGGAAUACCACAGUUUGAGACACAUUCGUUAUUCUCAUUGAAUUCAUAGUCAAGAGAGAGAGGGAAAACCAGCAUAUAGAAUGUGAAUGUUUUAAAAAUUAAGUUGUCACAAACUUUUUUUCUUAGUUAGAUAAAGAAAUAGUCACAUAUUAUAGUUAAUAUCAGAUGAAAAGUUUAUUAUUUCAGCGAUUUCAUUGAUGGUAGAAUGGUAAGUUGUUUCUUCAAACCAGGAUGUACCAGGGAGAAUAGGGCAUUUUGACCAAAGUCUUGGCAAAGUUUUAUUUCAGACAAGAAUACCACAAAACAUUUAGUUCACUGAAGAAUUAGCCCACAUUUUAUUUUUUGUCAUUAAAAGCACAUUACAUUCCAAAUUUUCUGUUACUGGUACAUGUGAAAUCCACUUUGAAGUAGACAAUAGUCUGGGUUGGGGUUCUAUGUUGCCUGUUCUGCCCAGUCAUUGUUGGCAAAGUGGUACAAGUGUCACUUCUAGUGGGAGAAGAUAGCAGAAUCCUGUGUGAUUAUUGUCCAGGAUGAAUGAUAAAAUUAUAUUUCUGUUCUUUUUGGACCUUUUUUCAAAUGUCUUUAACAUGCUCGAAUUAGUCAAUGAAUAUUUUAAAUUUUUCUGUACCACUGUUGCGGGCUUUUUUCCUUUUGUUUUGGGUUAAAUCUCUAGAUGUGUUAUUAUUUGCAUAUGCUUUGGUAAACACAGAAGAAACAAUUUUUUUUAAGUUACUAAAUUAGUACUGCUUUUAAUGUGAUUUAAUAGUUGUUUGUAUUUACAUCUUUAUAUACACACACUAUAUAUAUAUAUGGAGGAGAGAGAGAGAGAUCUGUAUAUAUUUGUAUAUAAUUUUCAUUAAACGGUACAGAAUGUUUAACUGCUUGCUUCAUUAUAGCCUGAGUGCUGAGUGCUGUCCACUGGGGAGAUGGAUGAAAAAUAUACAAGGUGGUCAGAGCCAUUACAUAGUCAUAUUAACAGUUGCCUCGGCUGAAUUUCCAUUUUGUUACCAGAUGUUAUAUUUUAGCUACCAUGGCAACUAAUCCUCAAUCAUAUUUUCACUAUUUUAUUGCAAAUUAUUAGAGUAACUUAAUAGAGCAUAUGCUUAUUAUAUUCCCUGGUGUAAAUUAAUACUGGAUUUUGUUCUAGCUGUUUUGGAAGUUUCAGAUGAUAAUGUAAUUUUACACUGUCAGUUUAAUGGAAUCUAUUCUUAGAUAACAGAUUGAAAUAUUUGGUACAAAAAUAUAGUUGGGACACAUCAAUAUAUAUCUUGGGAUAUACAAAAAUUACAUUAUUUUUUUCUAUUAAUGCAUCAAUGUGUGAUAACAUUCUGCUUAUUUAAUGCAUAUGUCUCACUGGGGCAGUCUCUAACAAAGCAAAAUAACCAGACUCUUACAGAAUUAAUAUAUGAGGGUGAGGCCAUCAAUACAUCUCAGAAAACUGAGCAUAUUUGAAAGUUCCAAGUCUUGACAAGUCCUUGUGAAAAGGAAAUAUGUUGAAAAGAAGACACAAUAUGUUGGCUUGUUUCCGAUAUAAUAUAUAUUAUAAUUUUAUGGUGUUUUUUAUUCUUUUAAAGUCCUAUGGUCUUCAAAAUCCAUAGCCAAAAAUUGUUUCCCUAAAAAAGGAAAGUUAAAAUUCAUUUAUUUAACAAAUAUUUAUUGAGUGUAAUGUGACAGACACAUUCCUGAGUUCCGGGGAUACAACAGUGAAUAGGCUUCUGACCACAUGGAACAGGAAUUCUCCUGCAGGGUAUGGCUGGCAAAUAAGAGCCGUCCAAAGAUGCCUGAGUUCUAAUCCCUGUAACCCAUGGAUGUGUUACCUCAGACAGCAAGGGAUAAUUAAGUUUACAGAUGGUAUUGUGGAGACUAAUUAGCUGACUUUAAGAGAGAGAGAUUAAGCUGCGUUAACUGGGUGGGCCCAAUGCAAUCAGAAGGAGGCGGAAAAGAUGCAGUUGCAAAAGAUGUGACGAUGAAAGCAGGGAUCAGAGUCAGAGAGAGAGAUUUGAAUAUGCUACUCGGCUGGUUAUGAAAAUUAAGGCUGGGUCCACGUGUCAAGGAAUGCAAGGAGCCUCUGGAAGCAGGAAAAGGCAAAGUGAAUGGAUUCCCUUCUAGGACGUCUAGAGAGAGAGCAGCCGUGAGGACACCUUGAUUUUAGCCCAUUGUAUCUCAUUUCAGACUUCUGACCUCUAGAACUGUAAGAUAACAAAUCUGUGUUGUUUGUCACAACCGCAGUAAGAAACUAAUACAACAUGAAAGAGGAAGAGGGAAUUGGCUGGAAGAACCAGAGAAACAGCAGUGCGAGAUGGACUGCCUAAUGUCACUGGCUUUGAAGCUGGGAUGCGACAAGGAGCCAAGGAAUGUAGGCCACCUCUAGAAGCUGACAAAAGCAAUGCAAUUAAUUACCCCACUAAAGCCCAUGGGAGGAAUGCCAACCCCUUGAUUUUAGCCAGUGAGACUCAUUUGGGACUUUUAACCUCCAGAACUUUAAGAUAAAAAAUCGGUGUUGUCUUUAAGCCACUAAGUCUGUGAUAGUUUGUUAAAAGAAACAAUUGAAAAUCAAGACAACAGGAUAAGACAAUAUAUAAACAAAAUAUUUCUUUAAAAAAUAGAUAAUUUUUGAUAAUAAUUGGCAUAAAGGAGUUAAAACAGAGUAGGGUUCUGGAGUUCUGUGGUCCAGUAUAAUAUAUACUAACCACUUGUAGCUAUUUAAAUUAAAUUAAACUAAAAUUAAUUAAAAUCUAAGGGCUAUCAGUGUGGCUAGUGACUACUGUAUGGGAUAGUGUAGAUGGUAGAACAUUUCCGUCAUCACAGAAGAUUCUCUUGGAUAGUGCUGUUCUGGAGAGUGGCACUACUUUGCAUAAGGCAGAUUCAGUUUGUGUGAAGAUCUGAAUGAUAAGAGGGAAUUGGGCAUGUGAAGGGCCAUGGGAGGGGCACUGCAGGUUGAAGGAGCAAAACGCAAAGCCAUAAGUGCCUGGUCAUUUUGUGGAACUGAUUAACCCGGGCAAAAACACAACUCACAUCAAUGGAAGAAGCGAAAGUAGGAGUCAUGAAUUGUGGUUCACCCAGCAAAUGAGGUUCAUCUCUAGUAAACUUUAAGUCCUGCUACUAAUAAGUCUUGAACUAGAACUUUAUCUUGAUAGUACAUGUUUUUUGUUGUUGCUAUAUAUUCAUUUCACUGUUCUUUUGCAGUUUACAUUAGUGUACUGACUUUCAAUGAUCAUGUCUUAUGUACUAAAAAAGAAAAGAGUUUCUGGGAUGGUUGUUUCCUUUAAGGAAUCCAGAGAAUUUGUGUGUGUGUGUGUGUGUGUGUGUGUGUGUGUGUGUGUGUGUGCGUGCGCGUGUGUGUGUGCUCACGCGUGUGCUUUUUUGAGUGUUUGAUCAUUUGUUUUAAUUUUUUCCUUUUAAACUCUUUUACUUCAGGAUGUUAUAACACUGAUCCAUAAAAUAUGUAAUUAUUAACGUGAUAGAAAGUGCCAGAGUUUGCAGUCAGUGGGUUCCAAUAUAACCAGGGAAUAUUGGAAAGCUGUUACUCAAAGGUAAUGUGGAAUCUCAGGGGGUCUAUAUGGGAACUACCUUUUAAGGCAAAUGCAUCUUACCGGUGAAAGUGAUGGAAGAUGAUUUCCAGAUGUUGAAAUGCUUGUUUUGGCAACUGCUACAGAAAACUGAAGCACGUCUUGCCAGAACAACCAGAAGGGAUGUGAAGCACUGAUGUAAGAGGGAUCAGGCACACAGCAAGCAAAGCAAGCAGAACCCAGAAAGUGUAGAUACAGGGAAGAUAGUUGAGCCAAGAAAACAAGAUCUGGAACUCCAGUUAGUUGCAUGUAGUGAAAGCAUGUUUGCUUCUGUCGUGGGAUCCACACACAUGCUUACCACUGCUAUACACUCCACUUACCCCUUCCUCUACCUUCAUUAUCUUUCCUGUAAAAAUUGAUGUUAAUAUUUUAAUCAGGGAAACUCUUCCCAGCUAAUUUGUUUGUUAGAUAUUAUGGGGUUCGUAAAGCAUGCAUGGCUGGAGUUAAACAUGUUUGUCUUCAAAUCCUGGGUUCAUUAUUUACUGCCAGGGUGACCUUGACUGAAUUGCUUAACCCCUAAACGGUCCAAUUUUUUCAUCUAUAGAAGGGAGGUUAUAAUUUCAUUGCCAAAGUCCUAUUGUGAGAAUCAAAUGAAAUAAUGUAUGUGAAGUACACACAUAAAUAAAUUUCUCCUCCUAUCUGCGCCCGCCCCCCCCACUGGCAACAAACCUCCAGAAUUCACAUGUUUUUGUCCAGUUAGGAAAAACAUUUUCAGAAGACAUCUGAGAAUUGAAUAUAAUGUUGGCAGACUCAUAGAUCAGAUAUUUUUAGCCAGGUUGGCUUUUUCUAAGCUCUUGUAAUAGAAUCACAUAGGCAGCCAGGUAUUCUGUCUACAUAUCAGGCAUUCCUUUGGGAUUGUUUCCUAAAAGGUGAAGAAAAUAGGAAAAUAAACAUCCAUCCUCAUUGGAGUAUUUCCUUUUACACACCAGAUGUCCAUUGUGCUUCUUUUACUCCAAUAUUUUUUUAACCUGUGUGUUGACUUUAAAAAGUAGACUGUUAAUUGUCAUCCCAAACUAGUCAACCAGUUCCAAGCAGUUCAAGAUAAUGAAAUUUGCCAUCUGCCACCAUAUCUUGGUGAGAUCUUGGACUUUCAUUUCUAAAUAAUUUUGAUUUCUCCCCUUCCCUCUAUCACAUUCUCUUCACUAGAUCUUUUCUGAAAUAGAGAUUUUUUUUUUUUCCCAAUCUCUGUGCUAAACCUGGUCCCAGACCAGAAAAGGCCAGAUUCUUCCAAAAGGCCAGCCUCUGCAAGAGUUGGAACCUAAAAACCUAAUUCAUACUCCAACUAUUUUCCCAAGGGGUGGAGUAACGGGAGCCAGGAUAACAGGAAGAGAUCCUGUGGGGAAUUAGCUCAUUCCACACCUGGACAUCUGGCCGUGUUCCACUGUGAAUUUGCUGGGGAAGCUUUGAAGUCUAAAUUUUGAAUUGAGCUACAUUGUGUUUUGAUCUGCUUGCCACUUCAAAUUAGCACAUUAGUUGCCCUGCCCUUUGUCAUCCUAAUUUCUCUGAAGAAGCAUCACAGAGAUACAAUUCAGAAUUUUUGGUAUCAUGACUUCAUCAUAGAAUGCUGACCUUGCCUAUUAUUAUACUUGGAAUUAGAAGUUUUUAGCAUAAAUCCUAGCUCCUCCACCUACUAGUUGCAUGAUCUUCUAUUUUGAAUCAUGCACAUUGACCUCAGGACCUCACAUCUAUAAAACAUAGAGGAUAUAAAAUACUUGUUCUGACUACUUUAUAGUGUAUGACGAUUGAAUGAAUCAUGUGCGUCAAAGUACAUAAAACAGAGUAGAUGACUCUCAUCUCAGUUCUCUGAAGUUUUGAAUUAAUCUGUCCACAUUGCAUUGUAAUUACUUGACUCUCUCUCCUUAGUGACUAAAGGAGAGAUAAUUUUUUUUUCUGUGUAUUUGUGUCAACCCCAAUACCUAGCAUAUGCUUGGUCCAGGAGAGGUAUAUGGAACAUUCUUAUGAGUGGGGUCCCUGAUGUCUUGCUGCAACAAAUCCACAUCUCAGGCUACCUCCUUGUAUGUAAUUUUGAGCAAGACAAUUAACCUUACUAAGUCUUAAUUCCUUCAUCUGUAAAAUGGGAUGAGGGUCACUGCUUACCUAAUUCCUUUAUCAGAGAACACCUAAAGCAUUUAACCCAAUUCAUGGUAUGGAUUAAACUUACAAAAUUUCUUAGCUUUUGUUUAUUUGUUUGCUUGUUUGUUGAGAGAGAGCAUUAGCAGGGCAGGGGCAGAGAGAGAGGGAGAGACAGAAUCUUAAGCAGGUUCCACACUCAAUGUGGAGCCCAACACAGGGCUUGAUCUCUUGACUGUGAGAUCAUGACUUGAGCCAAAAUCAAGAGUCAGGGACUUAACCAACUGAGCUACCCAGGCACCCAGGUUUAUUUUUAUUAUAGGUACUCAAUACUUAAAAAAAAAAUGUGACCAAUGAGAUUUUCUGUAACCUAAUACAAAUUUUCUUCUAUACUAGAUGAUUAUGCUUUUUUUUUCUCCUAGAAGUUUGAAAACAGUUUUAUGCCUUGAAUUAUAAGGUUUUAUCUUUUUAAGGCUCUUCAGUAAACACUGAAUGGCAUUGUUUUCUUUUUAAUGUAAAUACUAGGAUCAUAGACCCAAGGAUACAGUUUUCAGAUGAACUUCAUAGUUGCAUGUUUUUUUAAAAAAACAAAAUGGCUUUUAAAAUAAAAAUGGCUUUUACGUCGUUUCUUACUAGGAUAUAGUUUUAUCAAAGCUAUUAAGAAGCAUGUAAGAUGUGUGCAGUCAGUUGAAAAACUCAGUUAUAGCAGAGCUUUGAAAAUAAUAGUAGAGAAUAAAACUUGAGAAGGUACUCUAGUGGUUUUGAAGUUAAGAACGUAUGAAAAAGGGACACCCGGGUGGCUCAGUCGGUUAAGUGUCCGACUCUUGGUUUUGGCUCGGGUCAUGAUCUCAGGGUUGAUGGGUUCGAGCCCUGAAUUGGGCCUCUGUGCUGAUAGUGUGGAGCCUGCUUGGAAUUCUCUCUCUCUCUCUCUCUCUCUCUCUCUCUCUCUCUCUCUCUCUGCCCCUCCCCUGGCUUCAGCACUCUCUCUCUGUCUCUGUCUCUUUCUCUUUCUCAAAAUGGAUAAAUAAACUUAAAAAAAAGAAUGUAAGGAAAAGUUAUAGAGGAAUAUAUGUUUUUAUGGUCUUUUAAUUUAAUUAAAACACACCUUGAUUUUAAGAUUUUAAUUUAAAUACAUGUUGGCAAUCCAUUGUGGAAGGAGAGUAAGCUAAGUGAUAUGGCAUUUUAUAAAAGCAAUGGCUAUAUGUCAGGUUUUUAUUUAAUUUGCAGGUUAUCUAGACCAUCACUUCUCUUUAAGCAUUUUACAUGCAUUCAUGUCUUUAGUCAUGGAUAUAAUAGAAAAUAAGACAAUCAAAACACAAUUAUUUUCAUUAUUGCUUUUCUUGAGAGGAUCUGUUAUCUAGAUUAUAAGUGUCUUCAGUCUGAAGAUUGCUUCAUUUGUCAUUAUGCCUUUAUUAUAUAUAAACAUAAAAUAAUUUUGGGACUGACUACAAUACCAUUUUCCAUAGAGUUCAUUUUAGUUUAAAGAAAGUAUGUUUUGGAAGUAUGUCCAGGGAAGAAUAUGAUAAUUCUUUUGUAAUUCAAAGGGUGAAGUGAUUGAGUUCAUAUCAGAGAAGAUAAGAAGGGAAGAUAACAAGGUAGGGUCCCUGUUAGUGUGUCUUAUAAAAUAUUUGAAGGGAUCUUCUGUGUAGAAAUGAAUUAGAUUUAUUUCUUAUAACUCUAACAGACCAAGGUAGCUCCGUGUAGUAGAAAGUGUAGGUAGGUCAAUUUUGGCUGCCAGGUAGUGCAUACAAUGUCGAUUAAAUUACAUUAAAGAGGACUCUGCUCAGUAUUUAUAUAUAGAAACCCUCUCUAAAAUGACAUGUGGAAUUCCCUAGGAAGAUCUUGGUAAUGAGUUGACUUAACUAAAAAUAGAAUGGGCUCCAAUCAAGGUGGUAAAUUUUCCAUCUCUGGAAGCAACCAAGCAGAGGCUUUAUAGUAGCUUAGGGAUGCUCAGAAGGAAUUCCUAAGAAAUUGGACUAAGUAACUUCUUGUUCUCUUCUGAUGAUUUGUGUAAAUGAAUUCAUGUUCAAGAAGCCAAAGACAAGCUCCAUAAGUUCAUUCCAGAAAAAAGAAUGGACAAUAGAGUUUUCAACAAAAAUCAUGGAACAUUUAUUAAAUAUAUGAAACUCUUUAUCUUUUAAAGAUUUUUUUUUUAAUGGAAGUGAUGAAAUCCAAGCCUGGUUUAUUUAUUUUUUUUAAUUUUUUUUAACGUUUAUUUUAUUUUUGAGACAGAGGGAGACAGAGCAUGAACGGGGGAGGGUCAGAGAGAGGGAGACACAGAAUCCAAAACAGGCUCCAGGCUCUGAGCUGUCAGCACAGAGCCCGACACGGGGCUUGAACUCACGAACCGCGAGAUCAUGACCUGAGCCGAAGUAGGCCGCUUAACCGACUGAGUCACCCAGGUGCCCCCCCAAGCCUGGUUUAGAUUAAAGUGAAAAAUAAUGGUAAACCACAGAGACAACUUACAUUUCAAAUUAACAUUUUACUCUUUGAAACCUUUUAUUUAUUUAUUUUUUAAUGUUUAUUUAUUUUGAGAGAGAGAGAGAGAGAGAGAGCGCACGAGCAUGAGUGGGGGAGGGACAGAGAGAGAGGGAGACAUAGAAUCUGAAACAGGCUCAGGGCUCUGAGCUGUCAGCAUACAACCCAAUGUGAGGCUUGAACUCACAAACUGUGAGAUCAUGACCUGAGCCAAAGUUGGAUCCUUAGCCAACUGAGCCACCCAGGCACCCCUUAAUCUUUGAGAACUUUUAUGGGUCUUUAAAAUUUGCAUCUUCAAAUAUUGUCCCAAAGAAUUCUAGUUGACUAAAUUUCAAAUAGACACCCCUUCUGUGCACUGUGUCUCAAGGAUUUUUAUAUUGACCUAACAGAAUGAGAUUUGUGUUUGUGGCCUUAUAUGUGACAAUUAGCAUGAACUCUGUUCACUUCCUUUGCUGUUACUUGUCAUCUGAGAACAUUUUGGAUGUAAUUUAUUGCCUGUUAAGCCAUCUCCAAAGUACAAUUGUAAAAUAGGAAACAAUCACAACCGUUUAGUGGCUAAACAAUUGCUUGCUUUCAUUUGACCUUGCUGUGUUCUGUGAGUCUGUUAGUUUGAUUCCUGGAGGCACACAGAUUGUUCAGGAAUGUUUGCCAGUAAUGAGUGAGGGCUAGUUUUCCAUAUUGACCUCAUACAUAAUUACAUAAAUUAAAGCAAACCAUAACAACUGAGGAUACACAUAAAAUAUACUUCACAGAGGGAUUUUAAAGCCCUUGCUUUGCACUAAGCUUGAAAUUACAUAGCCAUAUAGGACAUAUAUCAUUUUUGAAAAGUGUAUGUUUUCAGUUUCUACUAAGACUUUACAAAGAACACUGAAUAAAAGGUUCUAUUUUAAUAAGUGUUACCAUGGAGUUUUUUUCUCUAGAAAAAUUGUUUAUGGAAAAAGAAUAUUGGUAUAGAAGGUCACAUUUUAUUCUGGAGGUUAAUGAUUUGAUAAUGGAAUUUUCUAAUGCUAACCUUCCAAACUAUCUUGAAACCACUAAAUACUUAAGAAGCAAAGGGGAAAUGUAGAGUGUAGAUCUUAACUCACUAAAAAAAUCAGUCAUUUUUAAGCAUUUAUAGUUUCUUCAUUUUCUGCAUUUUCAGAAUAUGUUGAUAUUUAGCCAAGUCUAAUUUAAUUUUGUAAUCAACCUUUAUCAUGUGUAAUUUGGGUUUUGUUUUUUUUUUUUUUUGGUUAAUAGUGUGGUGGAUUAUUAUUUUUUAACAUAAAGUAUUACAUUUGUUUUGAUUCUGUUAGACUUCUGCCAAUGAAAUUGCAUUUCAUGUGGCUAUUAAAAGUAUCAUAGACUUUCAGAAAUAAAUGGAAUUUAGAUCCAAUAUCAAGUAUAUUAGUAAAUAUUUCACAUUAGGGAAAGCCAAAAACUUUAGUAAUCAAUCAAAUAUUGUUACAAGGUUAUUAAUCAGCAAGUAUUACUGCAUUUAUUUCACUUCUAAAACAGUCUUGUUUGAAGUUUGUAGAAAUUUAGUUCUAGUUGUUUUCAUCACUAGCUUCUGAAGAUGUAACGGUGAGAAAAUCUUCACAAAAAUUUAGUAUCAACUUUUCUUUUUGAUAAAAAGAGAGUGAAAUUGCCUUGAUGGAGGGAUAACAUUUUCCAUUAUUUCCAACGUUUAUAGAGUGCAAUCAGUAUUUCUUAUAGAAAACCAUAUCACAAUUAAAAUUAGCUUAAUUAGCAUUCACAUAUCUUUGGUAUUUCAUCUUUGAUUAAGGCCAUGGUCUGUAUGAACUAGUAAUCUGUAUGUAGGAUCAAGUUUGUGCAGUGAAGAUUCUUUGCAAAAAAAUGAAGACUCAGCUAAAUCUAUGAUUCUAGAAUAUGUAAGGGUAAAAGACUUUUAAAAGUAUUCCUAAGUAUCUUACACCUUGUCUACUAUUCCUAGGUUUAGCUAAAUCUUGGUUUUUGCGGUAUUUUAUAAUUUUCUAGCAUCAUAUUGGAGAGUGGUAUGGAUUUUGUUUAAUACCAACUCUAUAAUGUUCUUUUCUUUUUAAUCCUCUAUUUACAUCUUUCCAGUCUCUGUUUACACCCUCCAAGACUUAGUAUAUUUUGCUGGCCUAUCACACUCUUCUUGAUCUCAUCUUCUCAGCCUGGAAGCCCCACAUCUUCUCUGUGGAUUUAUUCAGAUAGCUUACCUGCCUUGGAUCUGUGCCUGUCCCUCACUGGAUUCUUUCUUUAUUGAUAUUUCCUUAGAUGUGACAACCCAAGUCCCAUGACAUAUUCUACGCUCAGCUAUUUAUGACUGUAAAGUAUCAGAUACUACUUUACUUGUAUACUUUUCUCUCUUCACAAAUAUGUUGGCUUUUUAAACUAGCUUCUUGCUGGACUAUCUUAAGGAUGGACUAUGCAGAACUCAGAUUAUUUUUCUGAGUCUUUCCCAUCAUAAUGUAGCUUGUCAUCUAAGGGAAGUUUGGAUCUCCCAGCCCCCACAUGGAUAGAAAUUUAUUUUUGUGCAAAUAUAUUUUCCACAAAGAAGUUCAUUAGUCCUUUAUCUAUCUACCAAGAGCAUCAUGGAACUUUUUUAUGAUAAUCACUCACAAUUUGGUUUUUUAAUUCCUAGAAGAGUUUAGGAUUGUCCAGGAGUGAUUCUAAGGAUUUGUGAUAAAAUGUUCAAGAAAUUUCCUAGCAGCUCAUUUGAUAGAGGAACAGAAAGUACCAGAGAGGAGAUAAAUCUUCUCCUUCUCCUCCCCACUCCUUCCUCUUCUCCUCUCAUUGCCUUACUCAUGAGACAUUGCUGGGGUGCUGGAAUUUUGGGGGAGUCUUAUGGUCAGACUCAAAGGUAAAAAUCUCUCUGAUGUUAUCUAUAAGUCCAGAGAAUUUUGUAGGCACUGCUUUUUCUAGAGAAGUUAUAACACUCUACUCCCUGGAAGGUUCCAACAUUUGAACUUCUCUACGUGAAGAAGUACUUAAUUGGCCCUAUUUUUUGUUUCCUGACUCUAGGCUGACACCUUAUGCAUGUCAAAACAUCUUCCUAAAUCCCAUGGUGACUCAACAUUCAAGUAGUUUUGGUCUGACCUUGUCAGAGAACUUUUGAAAAUAUAAAUAAAUUAUAUUCACCAAUUGUCUUCUGUCUAAAUACUUACUUUGCUUGACAACUCUAAUAGGUUAGUCAAGCAUCAUUUCCUCUUUUAGGACCAUUCCCAGUGAGUUCUGUUGUAUUAAGAACAUAGUUAUCCCCCACUUUAUAACAGAGUCCAUUGAAUUGACUGGGUGAAAUGAGUCUUAGAUUUUCAAGGUCUUCAAUGGAUUCUGGAAUGAGGGUCAUGUUGACAAUUUACCUUUUCUGGCUUGGUGUAAUUUGUUAUUGACAGAUAACAUGCCUUGAUUCCCUAUUCACUUUUAAGUUCUUUCAUAAUUUUUUUUUGUAGAUGCUAUUGCCUCAUAGAUGUUUACCUGGGCCAGAUUUUCUAAGGAAUAAAACAAUGCAUUUUUGGCAAUUUGAAUUCAGUACCUGUGGCAUGCCUACUUCAAUAUACAGUAAAGUUUUGAAAUCUUCAAAUGAAUAAACCAAAAUAGAAAAUAACUAAACAUUAUUUGAGUAUUACUCCAAUGUAUGAUUUUAUAUUUAGGAUUCCUAUGUAUUCUGGACUUGGAUUCCUUCUUCUCUUUGACAUUUUUAAGGAUUCUUUUCAUUAUUGUCCUUGAAUUUUCUUAUAAGAUAGUUUCACAAAUAUUUUUCUGGUCGGCUUAAUUUCUAAUUGUAUCUGAUCUGUCACCUUUAAGAAGUUCCCCUUUUUCCCUUUGAUUUGGAAAUCUUUACAAUUUAUGCCUAUUACUCUCUGUGAAGUCAGCUUUUACUGUAACAUUUUGCUGUGAAAGCAUCUUUUUUUUUUUUUGCAUCUGGCUUGUUUUUAUGAUUCAUGACAAAAAAUUCAUCUUGGGCUUCUAAUGGUGUAUUUUAAAAUAGUCUCCAGAAUUUCUGUGGUUUAUUUUGUUUUAAACUAUUCCUUUUUACUUUUUUAUAAUGACCACAUUUUCCUAAGCUCCCUUUCCUAAAAUUAAAUGAUUUAUAUAGCAUUCCUUCUUUUACCCAAAUGCCAAGUUGAAUUGUUGUAAAUAAUUAGUAGACAGAAAUAAGCACCCAUGAUACAGCCGGCAUCAAUUCCUGCUCAAAUCUGUCUAGAUGCUUAAAAUUCAAUUUUAGCAAGCAGAUGUCUGUAAUGGCCUGUAUUUUUGCAUUCCAGUAUGCAUACCAUCUGCCUUUGAGAUAAUGACAAUAUAAAUCCACAUUUUUAUUACUGUGUUAGAUAUUUCCACUUUCUUAAUUGUUGUAUACUGUUCUGAUUAUUUUUCUUAAAAUGGUUCCCUAUAGCAUUGAAUAAGGUUCAUUUUCUUUAGUUAACAGCCAGGGCCUUUAAUAAUUUGGUUCCUAAUUAUGCUAUCUUCACUUACUGCCCACAUGAAUGCUUUCUUUUCUUUCCCAGCAUAGUUCUUAAGUGGUAUCAUUUCACAAUUUUGUAUCUUCUCCAAGACCUUCCUAGAAUACCUUUACCCAUCUUCUUCAUUGCCCAUACAUAUUCAAAUCAGAUCAAGAUGUCUUCACUAUAAUCAAAAUGUUAGCUGUAGGCCACUUUCCAGUUAAAUUGCAUGUAACUUCCCUAAAUCCAUGAUCCUUUGCCUUCUGUGUAAUUCUACUGUCUUGACACAUGUGAUUCCAGAUGUGAGAGUCAGCACUUCACUCAUACACAAUAAAGGGCAUUCAUGCCAAGCCUGUGAAGAUUUAAUAAUUGAAUUGAAGAUUUAGGGUUCUAGACAAAGAUCACAUUAUUAAGGAAUAAGAUUUCAAUAUUUUCUUUCUCCAUCCUUCCUCACUCUUCUCUCUCUCCCCAUCUCUCUCUCUUUUUUCUCUCUCUGCCUCUAUAUCUCUACUCUCUUUUUUCUUCCUUAUCUUCAUUCUCAGAAAAAAAAACAAAACUUUUCUUUAUCUUAUAUAUUUUUGUAGCUUGAACUCACCUUUCUUACAGAAUUUCUCUGAUAGGCAACUUAGCAAAUAUAUAUUAUAUAUUUACAUAUAUUUAUAUUAUAUAUACAAAAUUUUACUUAUUUUUGAAGAGAGAGAGAGAGAGUCAGAGAGAGGGAGACAGAGAAUCCCAAGCAGGCUCCACACUGUCAGUGCAGAGCCCAAUGCAGGGCUUGAACUCAAAAACCGUGAGAUCAUGACCUGAGCUGAAAUCAACAGUCAGCUGCUUACAGAUUGAGCCACCCAGGCACCCCAGAAAAUAUAUUCUUUUCUUUAAAAUAUUGUACUUUUUCCAUAGAAAUUCUACUGAAUGAAAUCUUCUUUAGCUCAUUUAAUUUUUUAAAUGCCUACAAUGAUCUAGGUAAUGUAGUAGGCACUGAUUAUACAGUAGUGUAAGUGCAGAUAAACAUUUUGCCUUCAUAGAGUUCCUAAUUUAGUAUGUUAUCCAAGAAACUGUACAUAAUUACAAAUUAUUUGAUUUUGAUCCCCAGUUUGAUUUUUAUUUGGAUGCCACUCCUCUGGCUACCACAGCAUCUAGUACAUACUUCUAUUUCACAUGUAACCAUGUACUAUUGUAACUGAUUAUUUGUGAAUUGAUCUCCUCUAUUAGUCUGUAAAUCUCAAAGGAGGGAUGAUGUCUUAAUUCACUUUGUUUUCUUGGAGUUCAGUAUAAAACCUACAUAGUAUGCUAUAAAUAUUCAAUAUAAGUAUUCAAUAAAUAUUUGGGGUUGUAUGAAUGAAUCUUUUGUAUUUUCAGCUUAGUUGCAUGAUUUUAGUGAGCUAUAAUAUAUCUGCAUUACCAUAUUUUUACUAUUAAAUAGGAAACUCAGUGAACACUGCCAUGAACCUAUGGAAAAAUAUUAAACAAGAAAAAGAUGCUCAAGGAAUAAGUUAUUCUUAAUUCCUGAUGUAAGUGAUUUUUUCACAUUAUUUUACUUAUUUAAGUAAGAUAUCUAUUAGAUGUAUGGUACCUGCAUAGUAUUGUAGUAUUUCUUUUUUUCCUUUCCUCUCCUCUCCUCUCCUCUCCUCUCCUCUCCUCUCCUCUUCUCUUCUCUUCUCUUCUCUUCUCUUCUCUUCUCUUCUCUUCUUUUUUCUUCUUUUUUCUUUUCUUUUCUUUUUUUCUGAGAGAGAGAGAAAGCACAAACAGGGGAGGGGCAGAGACAGAGAGAGAGAGAGAGAGAGAGGGAGAGAAUCCCAAGCAGGCUCCAUACUGUUAGUGCAGAGCUCAAAUGCACGAACUGUGAGAUCAUGACCUGAGCCGAAAUCAAGAGUCUGACACCCAACAGAUUGAGCCACUCAGGUGCUCCAAUAGUACCCAUGUAGUAUUUCUAAUGCUUUCUAUAUGCAAAAAUCCUUAUAUCCCCUUAUACACCACUUACUCAGAGUCUGGGGUAAGGAAGCACAUGGCUUCCAGUGUUCCAUAGUGUAGAGAUUUAAAAACAGUUCUACAAUGCUCUGAAGGUAAUGCUGUUUGUGGACUAGCAUUGAACUAGCAUUGAACACUAGCAAUGUGUUCAGCAUUCCAUGAGGUUCCAAACUCAAAGAAGAGCUAGUUCAGUAAGAGUAACAGUAGGGAAAUUGCGUGCUAAUGUACUCCAGGAGAUGAUGAAAUCUCUUAUCUUAUUAUUUUGGCAGUGCAGAGUUCCUCUUAUGUAGAAUGUAAUUUCCUUUCUAAAAGAAGAUGAGGCAUCUGUUCCUACUCAGAACCAAAUGGAGAAUUCUUCAUUCACAUCAGCAAGUCAGGGCUGCUCAGUACUCAAAUUGUACUUACCACUGAGGAUAUUCUACUCAUACAGACUAGAUAGUGUAUCUAGUGUUUCACAUUACUUGGAAUUUUAAGCACUUUCUCAUUUCUUAGGUUCAUUACAAUUAAAAAAAGCCUGAUAAAAAAUGUGUGUAUUUUUAAAAUUUAACAAGACGCCUCAUGGAAUUCAUCCAGUCAGAUUAUCUGAAAAAUGAUCAUAUAUAUUAUGUUUGGUCAUAUAUUUUCAUUUGGUCCCAAUCUUUCAGCACUGUGUAGUUACAACAAGGACAUUGCAGCCUACUGAGUCCUUAUGAAGCUAAGGAUAUAUUUAUAAAAUCACUGUACAGUUUUCUAAUUCAACAUUUAUAAUAAACAAGCACUGAUUAUUUGUUUUCCCUUCCUCUCCAUUAAGAAAACUGUUACUCAAAACAAAGCUUUUGCUGUCCUAACGAGGUGAACGUAAGCAAAUUCCCAACUAGGUACUUGCUUACUGAAACAGAGAUUCCUAUUUUUAAUCUGUAUCACAUUGCAUAUUCUUUAUUUAUCUAUCUUUUGAUUAUUUGAUUUGUUCAGAAAACCCUCAAGUGCUUUUGAGUUUACUGUUUUUAGAGGCUCAAGAGUCUUACAUCACAGCAACAUGCUUCAUACAGAGGAAGAAUGCCUUUGAGAGCCUGCACCCCUUUCCAUAACCAUCUGGUUUGCAGAUGAUAAAUACAAACACUAGGCUUUUUUUCUCUCCCCAAAGAUCUGGGAAACAGAUUGGACCUAAAAUUCUACCCUGUUGAUCCCUAAAAUAUUAAUCUUCAUUAUCAUGUCAAAUUUUUUAAGAAUUAAUUUCUUCAGCUAUAUGUUUUUAAAGAUUGAACACACAAUACAUGUGACAUUCCAUUUGUAGGACAUUUUCCAUGGUGCUGUAAUGUCUUCAUUCUUUUCUAUAGCCUAGCCACAUCUUACUCUAUUUUCAAAGGCUGGUUUAAGACUUGCUUCCCCUGUGAAGUUUUGGAGGGUUAAUCUAAUAUUCAUGCAUCUCUCUUUCAUUGCCUGGAGCACUGGUCUUCACACUGAAAUCAAAAUGUAUGUUGGUUUGAAUGUUUCAUGUGUGUGCUUUGGUUCUCCAAUAAGAGCUUAAGUCGUUUGAUAACAAGAUUUUUUUUUUUUUGUAAAGUAUAAGGCACAUAAUGGAUAUUCAGGCCCUAGUUGUUGAAUAAAGACUGCAUUAAUACCAUCAAAGAAGCCUCACUCUAAUACAGAAUGUGGAAGCGACUAUGUUAGGAAAAAAUUAAGUUAGGAAAAAUUCUACAUUGUGAAAUAUUAACCUCGACUACAGGGCCAAGUCUAGCCUUUACAUAGCUUUUGUAUGAAUUAGAGAAGGCAUCACCUCUCGGUGACCCUAGGCAAGUAGAUAGUAGUACAAGUUGUACAAGUAGUACACCUUGUGUACUACACCUUGCACCUUGUGCAAACAAAAAGGGCUUCCUUCUUCCAGUAGGUGCGGCCUUCAAACUAGGGCUUAUAGCGUGACAAGGGGAGCUUGGAAUGAAUGUCAGCUCCCACUGGCUCCCUCAGUUGGAGACUUUAUGAAGUGUACAAACUGCAAACAAUAUUCAGCAGCUCUCCAAAUAGUGGUACAGAUGAUGCAUGCAAGUAUAGGAAGCUUGGUAGUUUAGGAAGUACUUACUCUGUAUGGCAUACUCCAUGGCACAAAACUAGAGGCUAAGAACCCAGGGAAUAUUAUGGGUCACAAAUUGGGAGAGAGAUGUGAGAAAGAUUUAUGUAAGAAUCUAGGUUUUUAAUUAGCAUACAAAAUAACAUUUAAGAGAAUGAAUAGGCCAAUUCACAGACAGGUAAGGGGACAGCAGAUAAGGUCUGUAAGGUGUGAACAAUGAUCAGAAUGUAGAAAAUGACUCAAUUCUGAAGGUGUGGACAAAUUUGUUACUGGGACAGAGUGCAACUGAGGGCAACUGCUGAGGUUUGAGAAAGGUGACAUGGUUGGAGUGCCACUUAAGAAGACAGUUUUAGUAGCUGCAUUUAAAAUAGAUUUCAGGGUAGCAAUAGUAGAAAGAAAUCUGCCGGAUGUCUGUGAUCUUGAAAGUAGAAAGAAAGGGAAAUGAUCAAGGUGAAGUAUGGAGAGAAAUUUCUGGUUGACUCUAUGUGAGUAUAAAAUCUGAGGAUGAGUGCUCUGAAAGUUGAGGAAAUGGAUUGGAUAAUGAUUUAAGUUAUUAUUCCUUAAUGGAUAUUCAUGAACAUAACAAUUAUUAUUAUUAUUAUUUUGAGACUACAGUUUAUUGAGUUCUUAAUAAUAAGAACUCAAUUAUUAAACCUACAUACAGUGCAUCCUUACAAGUAAAGCAAGUACAUAGUGCUUAGGUGGCAUUCAAAAAUAUGAUCUCCUCAGCAUGGGUUUAAAGUAUUCUUUUUAGGAGCACCUGGGUGGCUCAGUCAGUUAAAGUAUCUGACUCUUGAUUUCAGCUCAGGUCAUGAUCUCAUGGUUCAUGAGUUCGAACCUUGCAUGGGGCUCUGCACUGACAGUGUGGAGCCUGCUUGGGAUUCUCUCUCUGCCUCUCUCUCUCUCUCCCACUCUCUAAAAAUAAAUAAACUUAAAAAGUAUUUUUUUAAUUGUAGGAUGAUUUAUUUUCCCUAAUUUAUAAACCAUUUAUGAUUAUAAGCUAACUUUAAAAAUUACAGUCUAAAGUUCUAUGAUCUAACAUAAGACAUUAGUCUUGAUGGUACAUGAGAUAAUUUUAGGUAGCAUAUAACAUUUUAUAUUUUGCAAGUUUUAUGUUUACAUGUAUAUUAGGAAAAACUAUAUAGUUUGUCAAAUCUCAGGUUUUUUUUAGAACUAAGUUUAAAGUUUUAAAGGUUAAAAAUGGAAGAGUCAACUUAAAAUAGAUUUUUUAAAAUUUUUUUUAUUUAAAAAUUUUUUAAAUGUUUUUAUUUAUUUUUGAGACAGAAAGAGACAGAGCAUGAGCAGGGGAGGGGCAAAGAGAGAAGGAGACACAGAAUCUGAAGCAGGCUCCAGGCUCUGAGCUGUCAGCACAGAGCCUGACACGGGGCUCGAACUCACGCACUGUGAGAUCAUGACCUGAGCUAAAGUCGGAUGCUUAACCGACUGAGCCACCCAGGUGCCCUAAAAUAGAUUUUAAUGGAAAAUACAUAGAAAUAAUGGUAUGUGGUAUGUACUAAUUUAGAAAAAUUAAAAUUAUGGUGAGCUUGCCAUAUGGAAAAUCCUAGUCUACAGUCUACUUGUGGAUUUUAGGCAUUUAUCUCAAAAAUCAGAAAAAAAGGAAUUUGCGAAUUAUAAAUGUUUAGACAUAUUUAGACAUAUUUAGUUGGAAAGUAGUAGAAAUAACUUUACUAUUUUGAAGAGAUUUUUGGUUUAAAGUUAUUUUCAACUAUCAAAAUGUAGUUGUUUUUUUUUUUAAUUUUUUUUAACGUUUAUUUAUUUUUGAGACAGAGAGAGACAGAGCAUGAACAGGGGAGGAGCAGAGAGAGAGGGAGACACAGAAUCGGAAACAGGCUCCAGGCUCUGAGCUGUCAGCACAGAGCCCGACGCGGGGCUCGAACUCACAGAGGGUGAGAUCAUGACCUGAGCCGAAGUCGGACGCUUAACCGACCAAGCCACCCAGGCGCCCCUCAAAAUGUAGUUUUAAUUUAAAUCUUAUAGAAGAGCUGUGGGUGGCUCAGUCGAUUGAGCAUCUGACUCUUUGAUUUUGUCUCAGGUCAUGAUCUCACAGUUUAUGAGUUCAAGUCCCAAGUAGGGCUCUGCAUUAACAGGUGGAGCCUGCUUGGGAUUCUGUCUCCCUCUCUCUCUCUGCCCUUCCCCUGCUCGCUCUCUCUCUCUCUCUCUCUCUCUCAAAAUAAAUAAAUAAACUUAAAAAGAUAAAUCUUUUAGACUAGUCUGCAUCUAUUCCAACUGCAGUUUGCCAAGUCUAUCCAAUGUUUUCAAUAUUUACAUAGGUAAGGGAAAAAUUACAUCAAAUUUAUAUUGUCACUUAGCAUAAGACCUAAGAGACUCCAGAAAAGAGUUCGAUAGUAUCUAUACAAUGAUUAUCCAUAAAACAUCUCAAUUUAUUUCCUUAGUAUCAUGAAGCUUAACUUUUGGUCUUUGAUUCUUGACAUAAACUUCAUUAUGAAAUUAAAUAACUAAAAUAUUACUGGACAACUGGAUCUUUAAAAAGAUUUUAAAAGAGAUAGCUUUACUACUAAAUCCUAUAAUCACUUUGAUCCAAUUAACUGGCCAGUUAACUUUAUUUACAGGUCAAAAUAUACCCUAAGAAUCCAGAAGAAAGUUAGCAGUGCAUUUCAGUCUUUCUCUGCAGCACUGGUAGAUUUCAAAAAUUCAGGGGAAAGUUGAGAGAUGAGAAUUUGUUAACUUUAAAUGUUGCUUUAACCAUGUGACCCAUGUGACUUUAUAAACUUACUUCAUUUAUUGGGCAAGAGGAAAUCUUUAACCAGAGCCACAAAUAAAUCAUCCUAGUCAGAAGGGCACUCUACUGUAUAUUAACAACAUAGCUGUUAGCUAAAGUAAUAUGAAGAACACACCUUCUGCAGUCACGUAAAUAAGGCUUUGAAAAGUGACUCUUUACUACUUUGGGGAAAUCAUAUGCCUCUGUGAGCUGCAGUCCUUCUAUCUACAAUAUGGGAAAAUAGGAAAAUAAUUUCUACCUCAAAUAAAAAUUUGAACACUUAUCAGAUAACAUCUGAAAAAUGCCUUGUAUAACGUAAACACUUAAUAAAUGAUUCUUAUUAUUACUGUGACCUUAUGCAUAUGAAUUAACCAAUGUCUUCAUUGGUCGGUUUCACACUAUAUUUCCAGCUAAUUUCCUUAGCUCAUGUUACUCAACUCCCAUCUCUCUGCCUGUCAAUCCUGCUUUAAUUCGCAAAAUGCCUUACUUCAGCACAUCUCUAUUAAAAGGAAUACACCUGGCUAUUUAAAAGUUCCUUUCAGGGGCGCCUGGGUGGCGCAGUCGGUUAAGCGUCCGACUUCAGCCAGGUCACGAUCUCACGGUCCGUGAGUUCGAGCCCCGCGUCAGGCUCUGGGCUGAUGGCUCGGAGCCUGGAGCCUGUUUCCGAUUCUGUGUCUCCCUCUCUCUCUGCCCCUCCCCCGUUCAUGCUCUGUCUCUCUCUGUCCCAAAAAUAAAUAAACGUUGAAAAAAAAAAUUAAAAAAAAAAAAAGAAAAAAAAAGUUCCUUUCAUAAAUAAUAAUUAUUUAUUAUUAAAAAUAUUUUUAAAUCUCAAAUGGGCAAGGUAUGAUUUUUUAGGACAUUUUAGGAUAGAAUAUUUGAAUUAUAUCAACUAACAAAAUAUUAAAGUAAGUCAUACUUAAUAGUUUACUCUUUUUAAUGUAAAUUAUCUCAUUUUAUUUGAGGUGAGAAUUAGUAAACCUAGUUUUUAAAUUAGAAAAAACUGAGCCUUAGGAAAAGAAAUAACUUACUCAAGGUGUAGUAAUUACUAAGCCUGGCUCUUUUGAUACAAGACACUGUUUUUCCUAGUGUGUACUAAAUUUCUACAGUGAAAAAUAAGACUUACUACAGAAAUCAGAAAGGGUAAAGAUAACAGCCUAAAAGGAAAGGACUAUGAAGAUUUAAAGCUCUGACAAUAUGGCAUUUUACAAUCUGAGCAAAGAUAAACUUCCCCAUUCUCUGUCUUCCUCUCUGUAUAUACAUACAUAUCCAUACAUUUUCUGUAUCCUUAUCAUUAGUUUUGCUGAAAUGCAGUGGUAUCUCUAUGUUUAGCUUUCCGUUCUAUAAACAUAUCUCUGUUUUAUGAUCAAAUGCUAAAUGUGCCUCCUGGCUUAAAAUGUACUGGUGUUCACAAUAGUUCUCUAAUCUAAGACUGAGUAAAGGAAAGAAGGCAACUUGUUCCCCAGGCAAGGGCUCUGGAGUGGGAGUCAGAGGACUGUGUUUAUCUUUGAAGCCUUGGGCAUGUUCUUUGUGUUUUAAUAUACUGGGAAACUUUUGUUUUGUUUUUUAUUCUAUAUAGUGUUGAAUGGAGUAUGUAUAUAUGUUAAAAUGAAUUCUCUUUCUUACUAUAAAUGAUUUUCUUAACUUUGAUGCUUAUUUUCAUUCUUGCUUGUUAUACUUGAUAAUUAUAGAAAUGCUAAACAGUUCUAUUUUGGCAUAAUUUAACUAUGUAUUAAAUGUAUUUUUUAAAAUACAUUUUUAUUUUAGAAGUUUUAGAUUUACAGAAAAAUUGUAGAGAUUCACUCCCGACUCAAUUUCCCCUCUUCUUACGAUCUUACAUUAACACAAAUUACCAAUAUUGACACUUUAUUAUUAACUAAAUUUCAUAUUUAUUCAGGUUUCCUUGGGGUUUACCUAAUGAGCUCUUUCUGUUCCAGGACUAUUCCACCCAGGAUACCAUAUGACAUUUAGUUGUCAUGUCUUCUUAGGCUCCUCUUGGCUGUGAGAGUUUCCUAGACUUACCUUGUUUUCCAGGACCUUGACAGUUUAGAAUGCUUCUUAAUUGGGAUUUGUCUAAGUUUUCUUUCAAUGAUUAGACUGGGGUUGUGGAUUUGGGGGAGGACAUCCUCAGAGGUAAAGUGCCAUUCUCAACCAUCAACAUGACUUGUUCUACUGAUGUUAAACUUCCUUCCCCGGCUGAGGUAGUGUCUGUCAGUUGUCUCUACUGUAAAUUUACUGUUGUUUUGGAAGAGAGUCGCUAUGUGCAGCCCACACCUAAGGAGUGAGAGUUAUGUUCCAUCUCCUUGAGGUGGAGUAUCUCCAUAAAUUAUUUGGAAUUCUGCACAUUCCAUUCACUCAUCCAUUCAUUCAUUUGUUCAUUUAUUUAUAUCAGUGUGUACUCAUGGGUAUUUAUUUUAAACUUUGGGUAAUAAUUUAAUGCUACUUUUCUUUUUUUGUUGUUGGUCAAAUUGUUCCCACUUUGGUCAUUGGGAAUUCUUCCAAGUGGCUGUGGUAUAUCUUUGUUAUACCCCCAUCAUUGUGGGGUUUUUUUCUUUUUUCUUUUGUUAGUGCUUACUUUUUAGCAUUAUAAGAUGCUGUUGGCAUAUAUUGUAUAUUUCCUAUUUCGGUCAUAGAAUCUGUGUUUUCUCCAAAGAGCCUUCUUUUAUUGGAGUAUGGUAUUAAAACCACAGUUUGGGACCUAGAUAUGUUCACUGCUACUGGGGAGUCAUUUUUUGUUUAUACCAUCUCAGUUGACAGAGCAAGGAAAUAUGUGUGUUUAUACAAACAGGUGUAUAUACAUAUACCUAUAAAUAUUUUAAUGAAUUAUGUUUCUAUUCAUUCACAGCAUUCACAGCGUUCCUUCCUAAACUUCCCAUGUGUGGGGUAUCAUAUAAAAUAGAUGCAAAUUAGAACAAAUUAAUGAAUAAUUAAAGGUAGAACUAAGUAAAGUCUGGAAAUAUAUCAUAAAAGUAUACCCUAAAACCAGAGAAUCCUACCUGGAGUUCAUAGGCUGAAUAAGGCCUGCACGUAUGUUUUGUUUCGUGCACACAGUGCUUUUAAAACGUUUUGAAUUACAUAACAUUAAAAAAAGUGAGAGAUGUCAAAAAACAAAAACAAAAAAAAACAAAAAAAAAACCCCAAAUAUUGAUUUCUAGGUUCUCUUUAAAAGUUUAUCAUAUCUGAGAAACUCUAGACCCUCAUUAUUCAUUCACCGAUCGCCUUGCAUUGAACAGCGGCUCAAAUCUUGGUGAGGACUGCACAAGCUGCUGUCCACCCCCACCGUUUUUUCUCCUGGAUACGGAAGAGCCAGCUCAGAUUCCGUCCCACAUGUACUGUUGUUUUUCCCAUGGUGAGGAGGAGAGGAAAAUGUUUUUUUAAUCCAUGGAUAACACAGUGGGAAAAAGAAAGAUAGCCUAUAACAUAUAUAUAUCUAUAGUCUGUAACAUAUAUAGAUACAGGUACAGAUAUAGAUACAUAGAUAUAGACACAGAUAUAGAUAUAGAUAUAGAUUUUUAAGUAAAAUGAGAGAACACAUAUUUCUCUAUGCAAGUAGGAAAUAUCCCUAUUUGCUUAAUAUGCAAAAUGUGACUGUAUCAAAGUAAUACUGCUUAAUAUUCCAAUGCAAAAUGAACCCUAACCAGUAAAUUCGUUCUCCAAUAAGAAUCAGAACAUAAAACUUCCUGCCACUUCACAAAGUGACUUCAUAAAGUAAUAUGAUCCAACACAGAGUUUGGAUUUUGAUGUGGAGUUGAUAUGUAUAUCAUUGUUAUGUGACCUAGUUUUAAAUCUUUAGAAGCCAUCUCUAUGUUCUUAUUUUCUAUGAAAGUUUUUAUAAAUCUUGAACCGCAUUAUUUUAUGUAAAAGGCCAAUAAAAAAUAAUUUACCCAAGAUCUAAAAACGACAUUUUACUGCUAUGUUGAAGUACUGUCUUUGUGAUUUUGUCUGUUCAUUCAGUCCAGUUGGUUUUAUUCAGUUAGUUUUAUUCAGAAGGGACAUGAAUAAAGAAAGAAGUUAUUAUAGAUUUCUAGUAUGCUAAAGAUGUGGAUGGAAUAUGGACUAAGCAUUUUAUUUGACAUUUGUCUUGUUUUCAAAAUGAUGACAUUAUGAGAAAAUAAAAUGUCUGAUCCAUUAGUGGCUAAAUGAAAAUAAAGUCUAGGCUACAAGUGGCUGGAAGCUUGAAGCUUGCCAUGUUUUACUGGUUGUACCAAAUUAAAUGUAUUUAUCAAGAAAGUGAACUUAUGGCAAGAAGGAAAAAAAGGUUAUACUUAUUGGAAUAAAAGUGAAUUUAGGUAGAAUUUUAAGUAUAAAAAUAAAUAUAGUGUAAAAUAAAAUUUAAGAGCGUAAAAAAAUAAACCAAGUUUGACAAUUUGACCACCUCCCUCUCCCCCCAGUAUCAUUGCGUAAUUGUUGGCAUCAUAAGUUUUAUCAUGUUUAUGCAUGUCUAUAUGCAUGUAUGGAUGAAUAUAUAAACACACAAUUUGAUAUUUAUAGAUACGUAAUAUUUUUGUCUAUAUAUGUAUUUAUUUUAAAGAUUUACAAGUGCCUAAUAUGAGGGUAUAUAACCAUUUCUAUAAAAGAAAAUAUCUAUAACCACAACACGUACAUACAAAACUAUAUUUCUUGGGGCGCCUGGGUGGCACAGUCGGUUAAGCGUCCGACUUCAGCCAGGUCACGAUCUCGCGGUCCGUGAGUUCGAGCCCCGCGUCAGGCUCUGGGCUGAUGGCUCAGAGCCUGGAGCCUGUUUCUGAUUCUGUGUCUCCCUCUCUCUCUGCCCCUCCCCCGUUCAUGCUGUGUCUCUCUCUGUCCCAAAAAUAAAUAAACGUUGAAAAAAAAUUCAAAACUAUAUUUCUUAUAUAUGUUUACAUAUAUAACAGUAAUGUUUCAAUUAGACUAUGAUAAUAAACUCAAUGGAAACUUCUGGUAUGCAGAAUAUGUUGAUUUUUCAUAUAAUUUCUUAGGAAUAUUUGCCAUAUAAAUUAACAUUAAAAAAUAAAUUUGAUGAAUACAGCUUGGAUGAAACAUUAAGAUUCUAGACUUUCAGUGCUGAGAAAUCAGAAAUUGAAUCAGGGCUCUGCCUCAGCAGAUUCCAUGCUAACAGUGAUUUUAUUAUAAUAUCUACCUGACCACUUCCCAUCUAGGGAGUGAAUGUGAUUGAUGAAGAAUGGAUGAUUAACAAAAUCUUACUUCUCUGUUGAUCUUCAUUCCUGAUGGAAAAGGUCACACCUACAAAUACUGUCUAGUUUCAGAUCUGGGCCUCUCACUUCUAAAGUGUGGCAAUCUUGACCCAGGACAAGCUGUUUAAUUGCCGUGAGCCACUACUGUCACCUCAUGGGAAUGACACUCUGUUGAAGAUUUCAUGAGAUCAAGUAUAUAAAACUUCUGGACAGUAUUAGCACAUAAAGUACUCAAUUCAAAGCCAUAUUCGAUGGCUACUUCAGCUACCACUACUAUGACAGCUAUCGAGUAAAGAAAGUCCUUUUAGACUGAAUUGUCUUCUAUUUUAAUAACUCUUACAAAAUAAAUUAAAAAAAAAGGCCAAUAUACAACUUCCGAGUCACUAGUUCAUUGUCAUCAGUCUGGAAACCUCCAUAAGUAUGUAGGUAUGGUCAUAAUGUUUGCAACUGUUUGAAAUGGAAACAAUGGAAACAAUUGAAACACUUUAGCCCUGCAGAUUAUCAUUAACAAUAAACUGCCUUUAGCUUUUCAGAUCACUGUUGGUAACCACUAUUUACGACACAAAUGAGUAGGAUUUGUUAGAAAUCAUUGCGUUAUUAUAUUUGCAAGCUUAGGUAGUGUUUCUCUUAGCAGAUAGGUACUCUACGGUUUCAUGGAGCACUGAAAAUGUGUGUGUUACUAUAAAUAACACACAGUUACCUGUGUGGCAAUAUUUGGUCAUAAAAUAUUUUCACUAUAAAUUACAUAUUACAUGUUAUUAUCCAUGUUAUUAUCCAAGAAAAAAAGUUGCUAAGGGGCUGAGAUAAUAAUCUAGAAAUCCAUGACUUGUCUGUGGUAGGUUUUGUUUUUGCUGUUUGGUUGGUUUGAAUGAGAAGUUAGUUGUUUUUAAAUCAAGCUAGUGCUUUUAUUAUUUGACUUCAGCCAUAAACGUAAGCUGAAAUGAAAAACUAAAGUAGAAGGAAAAUUGUGAAAUAAAUUGAAGAUCUAUUAUAUACAUUAUACAUAUUCCAGCUAACCCUAGGUUGUGGACCUGGAGAUAUGGGCAAGAUGGCUUUGAAAAUAAUCCCUCUUAUAACUUCUCAGGUUGUACUAAUUUCAUGUGGUUAAUAAGGCAUGUAGGAGGUAGUGUUUUCACUAAUGAUGGAUUAAUUGGAACUAGGGGGAUUUCAUUUUGUAAAUCUUAAAACUGGUUAUCCACCCCAUCUCCCUCAUUUGACCAGGCUUAAGAGAUAUAAAUAGAACUUUUUGCAUUGCCAUUUAUGAUACAAUUUGCCCUUUAUUUCUUGGUGUUUGGUAACUCCUAAAUUCCAAAAUCUUUUUUUAAGUAGUUUUUUUUUUACUUUAUAGUUCAUCAAAUUUGAAUUUGUUUUAUGUGAGACUGUUGAAAAUGAUGUAAUCCAAUGCAUUCCAGCAAAUUGCCAAGGGAUUGUUAUGUUUAUAUUUUCAGGUACUUUAAUAGAAUAAUUUUCAGGCUCAGGUUAUGAUUACUAUCAACUCUGUAAAAGCUUCCUUGCUGGUGACAGGAAAAGUUGCUACAGUGACUGACAUUGGAACAGAAUGGAGGUCUAGAGGUACUAAAUAACCCUCAGAAUGGCACGGAGAAGAUGUUAGAUCUAGGAAUCGGUCUCACUACAAAAGAACAUUGAUCAGCGUACCAUUUUUGACAUUUGUUUCUUUUUUUAUUGGCAAAAGAAGAGCUUUCUGGAAUGGUGAACCAAUUCUGUAUGGCUAUGUCCUUACUAGUCUGUAAGGUCUGUGAGGGCAAGGCAGUGAUUUCCUGCAUAUCUACCCAGUUGCUUGUUUGGAAAUAGACACCUGAAAGAAAACUGAAAGAAAUUGUCUUUCCACUCUUCAAAGCAGGACAAAUGCUCCAGAAAAUUUCCAUUUUGCAAGAAAUGGAACUUCUGAACUCCUCUGACUUUGUCACCAACAUCAGGCUUCACCUGCCUCUCUAACUUUUUUUCUUUUUUUUUUCCCCUUCUGUCCUUAGGCUGAACCCUCCUUGAUUCAUACUAGGACGAGAAUAAUGACUACUUAUCUGGUUUGCUGCGUGGAAUCUUUCUCUCCUCUAUGAUUCUCCCCACUUACUCUACAAUCUCAGAAGACUCAAUCUUCCUUCUUUCCUUUUGCUGCUCAAUGAAGGGAAAGACUUCAAUGCUAUCACAUUACCAUCAACCCAGUUAAACACAACACUGUUAGUUGGUGUUCAGGAUUUCUAUGAUUGGAGGCAACUGACACUUUCUGGCAUUUCUUCCACUUAUUCCCUAGAUGGAAUACUCAGUAUGAGACAAACCAAAUCUGAGUAUGCUCCCCAAGCACACCCCAUCUCUGAGUAAUUGCUUAAGUAUCUUCCCAGUUGUUAUUGCCAAAGCUCCUAGCCAGACAUUCAAAGGCAGUGAGUGCUCAACUAAUUUGUUUUAUUGAAGUCUGACAAUAAAUUAGAUGGAUAGUUAAAAUUAUACACCUUUUUUUCCUAUACAUUUUGAUUUGGUUAUUUGAAUUUCAUUCACUGUUUUUCAAUUCUAUUAUGCUUUUCUAAAAUUGACUUUGGUUUACAUAGAAGUACUGUCAAAUUAUUGAAAAGUUACGAUAGCUUUUACUAAAUAUUUGAAGCAAGGGCUAAUAAAUUUCUACAACUCCUUUAAGCACACAAAAUUAAUUUUAGUUAUUAACAAAAGCUGUUCUUUUUUUUACAAAGGUUUUUAAUAUAUAAUCAGGUUUGUAACCUUUUCUAAAACAAGUUCUCUUUUUUUUCUCAGAUUUUCUGAAGUUGUUUGUACUAAAAUGAUACUGUUAUUCUGGAAUGUUGAUGUGGUAGGAAACUUCUACUUAUGUCUCUAAAAAGUAGGCUAUGAUUACAUAUCAUAAAAAUAGAUGUAAAACGUGGCUAUUCUGGCCUCUUGAGGUCAGAGAACCUUGCCAUGAGCAUGUUUAAUCACAUGUCUGUACAUCUCAGUGACUUAAUAUUUCAAAUAACAGACAUUUUAAUAUAAGACAAGAAAACAUAAACCUCAGUGGAUGAACUGAUACUUCACAAUCAAAAUCUGUUAUGCUCUGAAUUAAUCAAAACUUCAGUAUUCCUUUUUAAAUUUUAUCAAUUACAUUACAUGGAACUAUUUUUUCAAAAUAGUAAAAUUUAGCAUGAGAAGUAUGUGAUUAUUAACACAUAGAAUUUCUCCUUUUCUUCUCUAAUUUGUACUCUAAUAAGUACAAGAAGUGAGUGUAGCUAAAGGCUACACACACACACACACACACACACACACACAUACACACACACAUAUAUGAUGAAAUACUCUGGAAGGAACAUUUGAAGCAUAGUUGAAUAUUUUUGUCAAUAAUUCAGUUGCUUUUUAAAGUUUUUAUUUUUCAUUUAUUUAAGUAAUCUUUACACCCAACAUGGGGCUCUAACUCAUGACCCUUGGUUCAAGAGCGACAUGUUCUUCUGACUGAGCCAGCCAGGCACCCUAACAAUUCAGUUCUUAAAUUCAUAUUUCAUUAGAGUUGCUAAAUUUUCACCUUUUUGGGCUAAGGAGGGUAUCAUCAUUGCGAUUUCCUGAAGCCAAAUUGCAUGGAGGAUCAUCAUAUAUUUUCCUUUCUCCAGGUCCAAAUAGGCUGAGUGUCUCAUCCGUGAGUUCCGAACCUAGUUGCUCACUGUUUCUGCCCAACAGAAACCCACUGGUCAUGAUGCAUACCUUUCUCUAUGGAUUAAGCAAAGUGUUUAUAGUGGCUGUCAAUGUCCAAUGGCAGCUCGAAGCCAACCUUUGAGUCAAAUCUUUUGCCCAAUAAAGUGUCCUAAGACUAUCUUGGUGUCUUAAGACCAUCUAAUUUAUUAAACAUUUUUUUUCUUUUUUAGCUGAGAACUCUAAGCAAAAGUUAAAUUUUUUCACUGAAUGAUUGCCAUAUUUUCAUGAAAUUUUGAAAUGGCAUGAAUGGUUUAAGGGCAAAAGGAAUACUUUUUGAUGCUUUGUGUUAUAUUUGCUGUUAAGUUACAUUGGAAAAGUAUCUCAUUACAUAAACUUUACAAUGCACGUAACUGUCAAAAUCAUUUCCUAUAACCGAAGAAAGAACUUGAAAUUGCUGUUCAUGAUGAUAAUACUUAAAGAUGACAUUUCUUCUAUUUAAAAAUAUUAUGCUAUUCUCUCCCUCCCUCUCUUUCUGCCCCUCCCCUACUUGCAUUCUCCCCCUCUCUCUCAAAUACAUAAAUAAAUAAAAAUAUACUAUUUCCAUCAGAUCUCUGCUCAGUCUGCUUUAUCUGUGAGAUUACCCUUGAUUAUUUAAAAUUAACCGUAGUCUCUCCUCCCCACUCAAUUCAUUUCUCUCCUAGCACUUUCUGCCUUUACCUUUCUGCAGUUUUCUUUGUGACAUUUGUGACUAUUAGACAUAUAUGAUUCUGUGUUUAUUUACUUAUUUUCUGUCUCCCUCUACUAGUGUGUAAACUCCUUAAAGACUAAACUUUUCCUGUUCUGUUCACAUUUACAUUCCUAACACUGACAUGGUGCCUAAUGUAUAGCAGGUACAUUGAUACAUUGAAUGAAUGAAUAAGAAUGAAAGAAUGAAUAAGAAAUAUAUUGAACUUCUUGAUGUGACUAGAGAUUUAAAAACUGGACUCAUAGUUCAUAGUUACUUGUGCAAAAGGCAGGAUUGUAGAUUGGUUUAUCUUCUGAGUAUUUAUUAAUCUAUAAAAUGAAAUGGACACUUAUCCCUGUAGAAGAGGUGAUAGAUACGUGUAAAAUCUUCUCAAAGCCAAAGUGGCUAUUUAAGUAUGGUAGCAAUCCUCUGAUUUUAUUUCCUUCCUUCCCUUACAGUUCACGCAGCUCUACAGUGAACAUCCACUAUGUCUCAGAUUCCCUGCUCGGUGUCAAUGAUAUAGCCUUGAACAAGACAAAGAUACCCUGCCAUGCUACCCAAGACAGAGUGGAGAGUGCAGUCUAGGAGGUGGUAGAACAAAAUUAGGGAUGAAUAUGGUCAGAUUUUUAUAGAAGUGAGCAUCCUUUUGAAAUUGAGCACAUAUUAGGUGCUCAAUAAUUGUUAGAUUAAUGAAGAAAAUGAAACUUUAAAGAAAUUCUAAAUCAAAAUUUAAUUUAUUUCUGUAAGUGAAAAGUCAAACUUUUUUUUCCAAUAGAUUCUCAUCUCACAAUUUCUCUGUGAUUAAUAGGAUUUGGGGUAAAUUGCCCAAAACAUACAACACAGAUUCUACCUAUAAAAUACUGCCAUCUUUCCAUGAAUUACCAGAGAAAGGAAAAUUCUCAUGCAAAAUCAGGUGAGACAAUUCCUUUCAGAAGUAAAAGUUCAGGAAUGUGUUGUCCAUGACUCUGCCACCAGUGUCCAGGGAAGUGUCUGGCACAGAGAAGACAAGAAAAUGCAUUUUGUCAAAUUGAACUGAAGGAAUAUAAGGAGGGAAAAAUACUUUAACUCUGUGGCCACAAUGAUCUCUAGAAUAUCACAAUACAGGCAUCUUCAGUUAACUGUUCAUUUCUUUAGAAGACUCUCUCUCUUUGCUUCAGGGUCAGUUCUGGGCAUAAAAUUCAUAACGGCCAUAGACAGAGCCAUUUAAAAGAGCACAAUUUGAAACAACUAAAGUGUUCAUGCCACAUGAGGCCAUGAACUUAUCACUAUAAACCUCCUAGCACACUGUCUUCUAUAUUGUAGCUGUACAAUGUGUUUAUUUAAUAAGUGGCUAACUUAUAAUCCAACCACUGUCUCCAAAUCUUAGCACAAAUGAAAUUUGAGUUGAUGCACAUAAUACAGUUAAAUCACCCUUCAAUUCCUAACUUGAAAAUAAUUUCCUAGGCCACAUACUAUAAUUUGUCCAUUUUUAGAUUAAAUAGGUGAUUUCUGAAAGUAAACAUCACCUAGUAGUUUUUGCAGAGAACAGAGUUUUAAAAGAUAAAAACAAAAAUGAUACUUGACAUAUAAACUAUUAUUUGGUCCACAUCAUUUUCUCUUGAUUCUUGCAUAUUUAAGGAAUGUCUCAAGAUCAUCUCUCAAAAGAAAAGAAACUAAAAGGUCAUUCUUCAAUCAUUUUACAUAUUUCAUAUUUGAAAUAUGGAUUUUUUUAUUUCUCUAGUGAAUUAUUUAUGCACUGGGCCCCUUUUGGUAAAAUGUAAUGGAUUUUUUUCCUGCCAAUUUAUAAAAGCACAGAAAACAGACUGAAGGCACAGCUAGCAGCCUCCAGCUUUGGUAACGCUACCCAUCUGUUUCCUAUAAGGUAGUUGUUGUUUUUCCUUGUUAAAUUCUCCCUGUGAAAUGUUUUUCUUGAGAUUUCUUUUUUUGGUCUGUGACUUCUACCCAGUGAUUCUACUCACUAGUGGAUCAUGAAGGCACAAAUGGAUUCUGGGGGAGCUUUGUAACUUCUGAUCCUUGCACCAGAAUCUCACUGUACUGAUCUAAUUUGGGCUAGAUCUAUUUCCAGGGAGAUAGAUUUCUGAAAUUACCAAGGAGUCAUGCUGUUCUUAAAGUGAUUUUAAUUUAAGGGUUUUUACACCUUAAAAAAAAGAUUAUUGAGAUUUCAGAUUUGUGGUAGUUUUUAGUGGUAAAUUUUCCUUUGGGGGUGGGGGGGGUGCCAUUUAGCUUUUAUCUGUGUUGUCUUAAGGAGCAGAAAAUAUAUUCUUUUCUAACCACAGGACAUAAGGAAGGCAAGUCCCCACAUAUGCAUGAUCUUUCUAAGAAACAAUAGUUUUCUUGCUGUUUCUUCCAUUUAAAGAAAGCAGUGCAUCACUGCAGGUGCUUCCCUUAAUGACUAAAGUAAUAUACCCAAAUCUGGCAUCAAAAUACUAGAGAAGCUUUUAAAAAAUACAGAUUUCCAGUUGCAAAACAAAAUCAGAAUCACAAGAGGUAGGGUCUAGGAGAUGAUAUUUUCAAAUAAUUUCUUUGAGGGAUUUUGAUGCACAGCCAGAUUUGAGAAGCAUGAAUUUAAAACAGAAUCAAGGCUGAAAUGUAAAAUUAAAUUAAAAUAAAAAUUUUUUAAAAUUAAAAAAAACUCUUCAAUUUGAGGAAUACAUAGCAUUUAAAGUCACAAAACACAUAUAAUUUUCAUGGGACUGAUUUGGGGUGAAAUCUUUGAAUGGAGGAAGAACUGAAAGAUCAUAAAAUAUGAUCAUAAAAAUAACCUGAAGCUUUCAAUGGCUCUGAAAGAUAAUACUGGGGUUUGCCUCCCAACCCUGCAGGCUCAAUGCCACCUACUUUAUAAAAACAUAACUUGCAAGGUGUGGAUAUAUUGGCUGAAAUCACUAAAUAUUCUGUGACAGCUUAAAAAGCCUCCUGUCAAGGAUACCAUAUACUUAGUCUCAAAAACUUUCCAUCUGUGUUUAUAUUAAACACAGGUGUAUUGCUGUGGGCAGGUAGCUCAGGUAUUGUGGCAUUAACAGGUCAUACUAAUUACUACAAUGGCUUUGUCUAAUAUGCUAACUCAGAAAAAUUCCUUUGCCCUAUUUCCUCUCUUCCCUAUGUGUUAUCACUGCUGUUCUUGAAAUCUGAUCACACUCCUAUGUUGGGAUGUUAUUUAUGUGGACAGACCCAAAGCCUGGCGAUUAAAUACUUGACCUCAGGGUGUUUUGUGGGAGAAACAGGAUUCCUCCACUGUCAUCAUAGCCCUAUACAAAUGGAUUUCUGCCAAUAUAAGGCAGUGCAUGAUUUAUCUCUCCUUCACCCUACUCCAGAUUCUGAUAGGUUCCCAUAGAGGGGAGAGAAGUGAGCAUGAAUUUGUUGUUGAUAUACAUGUAAGUGGGGUUGAGGCAGGCAAGAGAAGUCUGGGACCUCUGUGCUAAAUAAUAAUGGUUGUGUUUAAAUAACACACAAAAAAUGAUUUUUUCAAAGCACUUUCACAUCUAUUUGAUUCUCAAAACAACCUUGAAGGGGGAGUAUAUCACUCCCAUUUUUAGAUGAAAAAAUUUGAGGUUCAAAAAAGUUGCCAUUUGCCAAAUGUUGUAUAACAAGGGAUUUUCAGUGCCAGGGUUAAAAAAAGCAAAAUAAAACAAAACGCUUAGGUUUCCCUGACUCCUUAAUUUCCAUUUCCCCUACAUCACUUUGCCUUUUAGGAGUUCCCCGUAGCUAGCUUAAGAGUCAAAGUACAACUGAAAGGUGUCUGAGUUAGAGCUGCACGUUUGCCCUUUCAUUCUCAUUCUUCGUUCUCUUGAUGUAAAUGAGCAAGUGCUACUUACCCUGAAGCUGAAGGCAAAGUAAGAGGCCUGAAGUGCAUCAGAAAUCUGUGCUCCAAACCCCCAAUCUGCCAUUUCUUCUAGCUCGGUCCCUUUACCCACCACUCAGUCUCUUUCCCCUGCUUUCUGUUCUCUCUCUCUCUUCCUUCUAACAGUAGUGAAUUCCAUAUAGGUCCUGGAUACAUUCUACUUCUUUCUCAAUUCUCAGUUGACCCAACACUUCCACCUACCCAAGAAUAACCUACCCCUCCUGCAAAAUGCCUUAAACAAGGCUUAUGUAUGCUCUCUUGAAAUCCUAUAUUUAUUUCCAUCAAGGUACUUACUAUGGACUUUAAUUGCUUGAUUAUCUGUUUCCUUCUUUGGGCUAUAGCUACUUGGAAAUUGAAUGCUGUCCUUUAUUUUGUUCAACUCUAGUACCCAGUGGGGAAAUGGCACAUAGUAGGGACUCAACAUCUAUUGGAUGGAUAAAGAUCAUAUUCUCCCUGUUCAUGUCCCUAGGAUUCCUUGGAGUAUUUCUGUGGAUUAUUUCUUUGGAGACUCUAAAUCAUCCCUUUACCUUGCCAAGACCUUUCCAGGCCCCUACACAGCACACUGGGUUUUAUAUAGGUCAUUUAUUAAAUGGUCACUUAAUAGGGGAAAUGAUAUUUGAUUUGCAUUAUUUUGUUUAUACAUGCUUUACUAAAAAACAUGUUAUUCCUCCCGAGUUUUAGGAUUUCUUUGACCUUUUACUAUAAUUGCCAAAGAGCUGAUUUCCUCUUUCUUGUUAAGAAAUUCUGCAGAAUGUCCGACCUAAUGUGCUGUCGCUGCCAAAUUACUUUUCUUGAAAUCCACUCUUGUAUAGCAACAUGAAAAGAAAGAAAAUUUUAUAAUUUUUUUUGAUAUUAGGAAACAGAAGUACUUUCUUUUGGUAAUAAGAUACUUUUUAAGUAUUAAUAUUCAUAAAAGUAAGAAAUAAUAAUUUAAUUUAGCAAUGAUAACCGAGAAAAUUUGCCAUAGUCUCUUUCCAUCAUACAAAAUACUACCAUUAUAAAGAAUCUACCUAUACUGACUAUUAGAUUAUAGACACGUUGCUACCUUUUUGUCACAUUGGCUUUUUUCCUUUACUGAUAUUUUAAAUUAUUUAACUAUUAAGCUGGAAAAACUGAAUGAUUAAAUUAAUCCCAAAUAAUUUUAAAUAUAAUAUAGGUCCUGUAUAAAAAUAAAAUUUUAAAGAUGCUGACAUUUUUAGCAUGUUAAAUAGUGGAGUUUGUAGUUCAUCAUAUAUGGGCUGGCACAAAUUAGCCUAAAGUCCUGUCUGGAAGAGCAUUAUCACUGUAUACUUCAUAUUCCUAUAAGCUCUUGAUAAACUGUUUACUCACUCUUAGAUAGUUAAAGGAAUGCAAAGGUGGGGAGGUCCAUCAUUUUGUGAAUGAGGUAGAAUAAUGUUGAAUAUAUGAAUUCUGGUGUACAAGCUGCUUGUUAUGCAUAUGGAGAAUGAUUUUGUCUAUUCCUAGAAUUCCUAACUCCCAGAUAAUUGGUCAAUAUAGAUAGGCAUGAAAUAAUGCUUCUAAAUUUACUGUUCUGGUUAGCAAUGUUUUAAGUUUCUUUUUAAAGUUCAUUAAGUAUCUUCCCCAUCUUGUCAUCUCAUUUGGUCAUGUGGGCCAGUCAUGAAAAGUUUAGCUGAGCUCAUGAUAAAUUCCAUUAGCUUUUAUGGUUGAUACUUAACCUAUAGAGUUGCAUUAAAUAACUCUUAAAUCACAGCUAUUCCAUUAACAUCAUAAGAAUAUCUUUUCAUCCAGUUACCUCCCAUUAAAUCAGCAUGCAAAUGAUCAGGUUAAAUUUUUUUUUUUUAGAUCACAUGCCCUAUUUUAAAACAAAAUGAGCAGUCACACUUAUUCCAUUGUUUGCUUUUAUUUCUAAUCAUUACUGCCAUUCAGAUUAAUUGUGACUGAACAGAUCAUUACUGAACAGGAGAAAAUUGCAAUUGUACCUUGGUCCUUGGAGGGAGGUUUCUAUUUUCAAAGCUCUCAAUUAACAGAAGAUUAAAUUUCAAAAAAAGAAGAAAACAGUUAAGAACUUUUGUAAAGACUAUUUUAGACUUCAGAAAAAUGAAAGGAAAGGAAAACCUGAAUAAGGUAUAGCUAGUGGUUAUUGGUUUGUUUUAAAUUGUAUUUUUCAGUGUUGAAUUUUAUUGAAUUUUUCCCAUUUGGCCUUUUCAGCAUCACCUCUUUAGUUUAAAUAAAGUAGGUAGAAUGAAGUACAAUGUUUGUUAUUAGGGGAGUCAUAUUUAUACAGUGUAAGCUGAAUUUUCUGGGGGAAAAUUUCAUUUCCUGUGUCCUAUAAAAGAGUCUGAAAGGGACUAAGUAAUAUUGGUAUGCAGUCAUUUACUAUUCAUACUCAUCAAGAUGCCUGAAGGCUUAUUUGUGUCAUGGAGAUAGUUUUUCCCCAUCAAUAUCCUGUGAAGCCUCAGGAAAGCUAGGGGAAAUUUCACAGGAUAUUAGGAUGGUAACAUUUGGUGGCUACACAGACAUAACAUCAGGAAAUGAAAUAUUGACUGUUUAGAAUUGGGAACUGAAUAGAAAGAAUGGAGUUACAUUCUUAGUAUGUUUCACUUGCUUCCCUUUGAUAAAAAAUUCAGCUUAAAAAAAACCCCAAAACAUCGUGGUCUCUCUUUUCUUAUCUCUAAGGUAAACCAUGCUUUACUCUUUUUCUCCUUUCAAGUUAAUCCAGACUCCUCUUCCUCUUCAUUCUUCGUAUGGACUCUCAGUUUAUUACUCUUACUUAUGCAAAAUCCACAUUCAGAGUGUGAAUUUUAAGUUUUAUAUAUAAAAACUUGUGUUCCCUUUAUUUUCUCUCUAUGGUAGCAGUGCAACUGUCUUACUUAGAAUGUAGUCAUUAAGAGUGUGUGGUUGUUCAAAUCUUGGCUCUGUCACUCACUGACUUUGUGAUGAUCGACUCCAAGCCUCUCCCCAAGUGGUUGUAAGGAUUAAGUAUAAACUUUCCCUAUGACAUUUAGCAUAGCUCUCACAACACAGUACCCCAUAGCUAUUAGUAUUUACACUGGGUUGUUUUUCCUUACAUAUUCAUCCUAAUAUGCCUCAAUCGAAUUUAGAAUCUUUUCCAAUCAAGCUUCCAAUUUAUCUUCCAAAAACUUUUAUUUUAUUCUAUGUCUACACCAUUCUCCUUCCUGUAGGUAUCUGUAUUAGUUUUCUAGGCUGCUGUAGAACAAAGUAUGACAAACUGGGUGGCUUAAAACAACAGAAAUCUAUUGUCUCAAUUAGGAAGGUCAGAAGUUCAAAAUCAAGAUACUGGCAGGGCCAUGGUCUCUCUGAAACCUGUAGACAGAGAAUCCUUCCUUGCCUCUUCUUAGCUGCUGGUGGUCGCCCACAGUCCUUCACUGCCUUGGUUUGCAGCUGCACUUCAGCCCCUGCCUCCAUCACAUGUGUCUGUGUCUCUUUGUGUCUUCUCUUCUUAUAAGGACACCAGGCAUAUUGGAUUAAGCGACCACCCUAUUCUAAUGUGACCUCAUCUUAAGUAAUUACAUUUUCAAAGGACUUAUUUCCAAAUAAGGUCAACCUAUCUUUUUAGGGCACAUAAUUCAACUCACAACCAUAUCCAAUAGGUGUUACUUCCUCCAUUCAUUCUUGAACCUUGAAUGUCAUUUUUAAAUUUUUUCUAAUAUCUUGUCCCACCUAUAGUCAAUCAGACCUUGCAUAUUUCAUAUCUGGUGUUUCAUGGAUUUACCCCUCUUUCUUCAUUCCCAGAAUAACUAUUUCUAACUACAGUAUAACAUUUUCAACUGGUAGCCUUUACUUAAAAAAAUUUAAGUUUAUUUAUUGAUUUGGAGAGAGACAGUGAGAGCAGGGGAAAGGCAGAGAGAGAGAGAGAGAGAGAGAGAGAGAGAGAGAGAGAGAGAGAAUACCAAGCAGGCUCCACACCGUCAGCAUAGAGCCUGAUGUGGGGCUUGAACUCACAAAACUGUGAGAUCAUAUUCUGAGCUGAAAUCAAGAAUCCAACCGCUUAACCGACUGAACCACCCAGGUGCCUUUAGUCUCAUCUGCUUCCAGCUCAUCUUCAAUUCUGUUUAUAGAUUAAUGUUCCUGAAGGUUACUUCUAUUUUCUUCUAUUCAUUCACUUAUUUACCCAUCAAGCAUUUAUUGGACAUCUUCUAUGCAUCAGGCAUUGUUCUACACUAAUGAUACAGAGGUAAAAGAAAUGUUUAUCCGGGACAAAUGUAUACUCUGGUAGAGUUUACAUGUAAGCAAACAAGUAAGUUUGAUAGAUUGUUGCAGAUAUUUUGUUAGAUGUAUGGGCAAGGUGAAAUCAGAGCACAGAGAAGAGAAAUCACAUAUAGGGAAGGGGCAAGUCAUGGAAUCCUUCUAGAGGUAGAAGCAUUACUCUUCCCAGAAUUCACAUUACUCUAGAUGGAACCAUCCUUUUCUGAUAUCACAUGUUUGCCCUCCUCUCCAUGCUUUUUUUUAGGUGGCCCCUUCUCCCUUCUCAGGCAGUCUUCCUUACCUUCACCAUCUCAAACACCUUGCAUUUUUCAAGGCCUACUUUAAACCCAUUUCUGUUCAUCCUUUCUCAGAUAAUAUCAGCUCAUAGUGAUCCCAUCUUUUAAAACUUCUUAUACAUAAUUUUUCAAAGCUAGUAUUUUACAUAAAUUAUUUGCUACCUUAAGUAAAUCUGUGAAAAUGGAUAUGAAUGGGUUUGCCAGGAAUAACAUAAAGAACUUCUAGCAUAGAUAUUUGAUACCUUAUUUUUCACUGUUUUCUAAAUUAUAAACUUGCAUUCAUCCAUGGAUGAAAUUCAGUGUCUUUCAAACUAAAUGUUAGACAAUACAGCUAUGUUUGACUUCCUAAAAUGCCAAGGCCAUAUAAUUAAGAAUUCUGUAUCUAAAUUUUAAAAGUGGUAUUAAAUUUGGCUUUGCCCAAUUUCCAAAUGGUUGUAGAAUUGGACCUGGAAAAACGCAUUUCUACUUCAUCUCAGCAUUGCCAGGCUUAGUCAUUAGGGCAACUGGAUCCUCCCAUGUUGCUGUGCGCCAGUUCCUGGCUUCUGCACAGCUGGUUGGCUCUGCGACUGAUGACCUGUGCCUCCAGUCCUCUCCAAAGCACCUAGCUGUGGAGGCGCUAGGAGGUUUAGAAACAAGAGUGCUGUUGUUUUACCCUCAGGCAAGAGAAGAGGUGGCAAAAAUAAAUGAAAAUAGGAAGCAAUGAGGGAGAGGAAGUGCUGUACUCCUUCAGAUCCAUCCUGGCCAGUUGGCAAAGAGAAGGAGUCCAUUGCCAGUUACCAGCAAUGAGCCAGGAGUGACAAUAUUAUAUGGCUCGGAAGUGAGUUUUUGGAAGGAACCACUUUGGAUCUCAGUUUUCUCACUCAAAGAAAAAGAGAGAAGAAAAACAAUGCAUAUGUAUGCAUUUCAGCAGUACAUUCUGGAAAAUUUUCUUUGUAGUUAAUUUGUUUCAUUAUUUCUGAAUUCCCAAUAUUUGACAAAGUAACAGAUAGAUAAUGAGUAUUUGUUGAAUGAAUAAAUUUAUGUUAUCAAAAUGUAUUCAUUAUGUUAUUUUUAUGUUUGCUUCUAGAGUAAGUACAUUUACUUUAUCAUUUGAAAUCACUCUUAAUGCCAAAGAUUCUGGAAACUAAAACAUACAAAGAAGGCUGAAACCCACACAGGAGAUCUCAUAACUGGCCUUGGCAUAAGACUGCUAUAUUAUGAGAACUCAUUAGGUGGUAUGCAUGUGUGGGCUUCUGCUCUUUCACUGAUAUGUAUUCAGACUGCCCUAGAAUUUGAAAUACACUUUAUUACCAAAUAGGACACCGAAGGACAGUCAAAUAAAUGAUCAGUGUAUUCCUAAGAUAAUUUAAUGCUAUUUGGAAUUCUGUAUUCUUUUUACUCCUAGCUUACUUGAAGUCUGCUUUUAUAAACAUAACUUUCCCCCUUAUAUGAUUGAAGGUUAUUUUUGCUUCAGAUUCAAAAAAAUCCUCAGGUUGAUGUUCCUGAUAAUUAGUUCUGGUUAAUGAGAAUGAAUAGCAUUAGGCAAAGACCUUGCAAAACACAGAGGAAAAUAUCCAGAAUUGAGUUUAUAAAAUUUCAAUGUGUAUGCAAAUUUUCCAGAAUGUGCUGCUGGAAUACACAUAUACGCAAACUUAUUUUUCUCCUACAAGAAAGUUUCAUUACCUUUUGUAGCUUCUGUAUAUUUUGAUUGUUUUUGGCAAGGAAGCUGGGCUCCAAAUGUCUCAUUUCAUGAUCCACAGUGUACUCUUGUACUAGACAAGUAUUCAGUAAAAUUUGCCAUAUAAAUAAAUAUUGACUAAAUGGAUUAAAUAAUGCCUCCAUUCCUUGUGCCAGAUUGACUAAUUUAUUUAGAUUAACUUUUAGCAACAGUUGAAGGCAAACAUACUUGUGAUAUCCCAGAAUAUUUCAUUUCACCUAAAAGUGAAGGCUCAUAUUUUAUUUUUCCUAUACAUUGAUAAACAGAGACACCGAGUCUCCUUUUCCAUUUACUAAAGCAAAUAACCCAGUUACUCUUUUUGUACAACCUAAAUUUUACAUUCCAUAGGUUAGCAAACGUCCCACAUUUUUCUCUGAUCUUAACUCCUGUUAGUCACUGUUAGCACAAAAUAAGCGUUCCAUGGCUAUUUGGGAUUGAAUAAAUAAUUAAAAGUUUUGAAAACUCUAAAUCUCACUACAGAUAUUUUAAGAAGGUAAUGAGUGUUCUUUUCUUUUGCAUAUAUUCAUAGCCACCAUGUUUUAAGAAGUUAACAUAUGAAUUAAACAAUAAUGAUAAAAUUCAGAGUUUUAACAGAGCCAAAAGGAAUAAUUUUGAACAAUUAUAAAUAAUUUAAAGCUUUUAAAAUUUGAUAAAGCUUGUCAUGUUCAUGUUACCUCUACAAAAGAGUGUUUUAAUUUCGUCUCCAUUCAUUUACUUAUUAAGGGAAAUAACCUCUCAAAAGCACAUACAUCUACAGAUCAAAAUAUUGGAUUCCAUUUUUUUUUAAUUUUUCUUAUUCAAUCAUAAGACAAGAUAUUCCUAGCUGAGUUCUAUGUUUUGCUAAAGAAACUUGCAAAUCUUCCUUCUCAAUGUAGUAAAAGUAUAUAGGGGGGAAAUAUUGUCUUGUUUGGUCUCAGCCUCCUUCUCCGCUCCUUCUUCCUCCUCUUCUUCUUUCUUUGCUUUUCUUGUCUAUUGUUCCCCCUACAAACACAGAAAUUUCCCAGUGGAUAUAGAAAGUUAUUAAUAUAGUUUUCAGUAAAGCAGCAGUCUCUCUUUCUUCUCCUGAAUAUUACUGUGGUAUUUGUCUGGCAUUGAGAUUUGGUGCAUAUUGGGGCUUGAUCUUCAAACUGCAGCAAAUAAGAGGGCCAGCAUACAACCAUGAAUGUGCAUUAUAGAAGGUCAGUUGAACAUGAGGACGAAGAGAUGGAUUUAGAUUCAGAAUUAAUGGUUUUAGUCUUGUUUUAAAGAAUCUGUUACCUGCUCUGGAAGUGACUUGAGUAAGGAAUGCCAGAAAUAAGGAUAAAAUCCGUUUUCGUUUAUGUUCUUCAGUGAAAUCACCUAAUAUGUAAUGGCCACAAAAUAGACAUAAAUUAAACCUAGGUAGAUCAGGACAAAAGUAGGUAUUAUUAGGAUUAAUUCAAGUCCCUAAAUAUACCCAUGUGGAUAAAAUUAGAAAUUAUGCCUUCAGGAUGAAAGUGGGGGGGGGGCUUCCCCCAGAAAUGAACUCCCGAGAGAAGAGUGCGUCAAGAUAUUUUACAAUAUUUGAUAGUCAAAUGAAUGCGAUCAAAGAGCCAUUGAGAAUGUUGGGUUGAUUGUGAACGAAAUUUCAGUUUGGUCAGGGCAAGGGCAGUGAAUAAAGAAUAAGUCAGUCAAAAAUAAAUUAGAAGACAUAACCUGGCUACAACGUCUGGAGUUUCUCUGGAGGCCUAACUAUUCUUCUGUGUUAGGGAAGACAAGGAAAGAAAGCAAAAUUCAGCUGCAAAGAAAUCAUAAGAUAAAGAGUUGAAAUCAUUCUAAAAAUGUUUCAUCAUGUAAAGUACUUAAUUUUAUAGUCUUUUUUUUUUUUUUUUAGUAUAGUGGACACACAACAUUACAUUAGUUGCAGGUGUACAGGGUCGUGAUUCAACAACUCUAUACGUUAUUCUAUGUUCACUACAAGUAUAGCUACCAUUCAUCACCCAUCUGAGUCUCCCAGAUUCUCUCAAAAUAUAAAAAUAACUCUUUUUAGUUAUAAAAAUAUAUGUUCUUUUCAGGGCAUCAUAUCUGGAAUAAAUAACAUUAACACAUGAUAUUCCCACAAUGCCAGCUAUUUUAAAUCCCUGUAGAGAGGGCCCACAUCUGAAUAGUUGUGAAAAAUGAAGCUUUUUAAAAAAUUAUGUAAUAAUCCCAGGAUCAAAGCAAAUAAAUGUUUAGAUCUUUUCCUUGGUAUUCUUACAAUUGAAUAUUCAACAAAUUAAUUCAUCAAAUACUUAUUAAGCAUCUACUUGGAUCCUGAAACUAUUAUAAGAUAUUGAGAUAUAUCAAUGAACAAGCCAGAAUAAAUUAUAUCUGUGCUAAUAAAGCUAUUAUUCUAUCAUGGGGAGGCAAAUAAUAACCACAAAUACAGUAUUAUAGUAGGCUUAAAAGUGAUAAGAAAGAACUAUAUUAAAAGAAAAAAGAAGGAGUAGGAACUAGUGGAUUGAGAGUGACAUGUGUGUGGGAAUUUUUACAUUUUUUGUAAUGUGGUCAGAGUAAGCUUCAUGGAAAAGGUGACAUUUGAGCUAAGACUUGAAGGAAAUGAUGGGAAGCUGGAAUGUGAGUACUAUAUCUUGGCCAGAAUUUGCUGCUUAUUUACUUACUUUAUCUCCAGAUUGUAUAUAUAAAAGUCACGAUACCACUCAUUUGACAGAAAAAUAGCCAAGCAGAUUUUUGGUUCCCCUCUUCAUUGUAAGCAAUAUCAUGCUGGGGAGAGAUUAAGUAGACCAAAUUGAUUCAAAGCAAUUCAAAGCUGUUUAUGCAUUUAGGUCAGCAGACACAUUUGGCAUAGCACAAAUUGUGCUUGUUCAUGAGGAUUAACAUUUGAGAAAAGGACUAGGGUUUGUGAUAGAAGUUACUACCGAAAUUUCUAGUGUAUUCAACACAAGGCAGGCCUAAUUUUCUUUGUGGUGUCUUUACAGCUAUUCAAUAGUUUGAGCCAUGUUUGUGGAGACAAAAAAAAUCCAUGUCAAAUGCAUUAGCAGACUGUAAGUUGGUUUUCCAGACAGAACUGUAGAUGAGCAUUGCAUGUGCAUUAUGCGUAAUUGUAGUUUCACAUUUUGGCCACAAUCAUUUAGAUUUCCCAAUGAUACAUGGAAAGAAACUUAAGUAGUACCUAACAUGAGAGAUUUUCCUUUUUUUAAUUUUUUUCCAUUUUAACUCAAGUGAAAACAGCAGUUUUACUAGUUAACUGAGAAGCCUUUACAUAUGAGAUUGAGGAAUGUUUACUGGCUGCACUGAAGAAACUAAUCACCUUUUAGACAGUUUAUCUAAUUUCAUUUUAUCUGUAUUCUUCAUUGAAAUCCUGUGUAUGAAUUGUCUUCUUUUUACUUUCUCAGAUUUCAAGGUAGUUUUUCAAGAUUAUUGCUUUAGAAGGUAAAAUGUGAUUAUUCUUUGUAAUAUAGAAAUUUAACUCAGCUCAAAUAAUCAUUGAAUGUCUAUUCUUGUUCAGUUGGUGCAAUAAAAGAGUGGAGGUAGGUACAACAAAAGUAAAAAUUUAGAUAAUCAUCCUAAAAGGAGAUUUAAAUUUGGAGAGCUCUUUGGAAAGUCUGUAAUGGAUUGAAGAACAAAAGAUGAAAACUCCAUAGGUCUGCUCCAUAUUCACCUACCCCCUGACCCUCUCACUGACUUCAAGGCUGAGAUUAAAAAAAANNNNNNNNNNNNNNNNNNNNNNNNNNNNNNNNNNNNNNNNNNNNNNNNNNNNNNNNNNNNNNNNNNNNNNNNNNNNNNNNNNNNNNNNNNNNNNNNNNNNNNNNNNNNNNNNNCCUGCUCGCACUCUCUCUCUCUUAAAAAUAAAUACACGUUUGGGGCGCCUGGGUGGCGCAGUCGGUUAAGCGUCCGACUUCAGCCAGGUCACGAUCUCGCGGUCCGUGAGUUCGAGCCCCGCGUCGGGGUCUGGGCUGAUGGCUCAGAGCCUGGAGCCUGUUUCCGAUUCUGUGUCUCCCUCUCUCUCUGCCCCUCCCCCGUUCAUGCUCUGUCUCUCUCUGUCCCAAAAAUAAAUGAACGUUGAAAAAAAAAAUUAAAAAAAAAAUAAAUACACGUUUAAAAAAGUAAAGAAAGAAAAAUAUUGUCCAAAUAUGAGACAAAUACCCCUCAACUAUCCCCGAUGGCUUCAUAUGUAUCUAAUUUUUUAAAUGUUGGGGAUCAGAUGAAGAAAGGAAAAUGAUGAAUGUGGGCUUGUUGGCAUUUACUUAGAAAAGUCUGAAGGAAGGUCUCGAAUACUCUAACCUCUUUGUCUCUCUCUUAUGAUAAACAAUGCCCAAGAGCAGAAGGAAGAGGGGGGAGUUCCUUGGAAGAUUCUCUGGAACCAAAGCCAGCAGCUGGGGCUGUGCCGUGCACUGGAAAAGGCAGCAUCUGUGGUUUGGUCCAGGGGGACACGUGGGACAGCCCUGCGGCUACUUCAUUUGUUGCAUAAGGCAUUCUCUGCCCAUUUAAUGAGAGCAGCAGCCAACAGUGCUGUGAUUGUAGUGUUUUAAGGACUUGCGCAGUCAGAGAAACUUUAAAUAAUGUUAGCCCAGACCUUCAUAACCCCAGAAGGGGCCGUGGCCAGCUGGGUUAGGAAAGCUGAAAGACUGCUCUCACUUUCUGAAAAUUGUUCCAAAAUAUGAGCUGUUUUGACUGACACAGUCUUCUUCCUUUCUGGUCACACAGAGGUCUAGAUAUGAGGGACACACCUGACAGGAAGCAUCAAGUGACCUGUUUCCUUUUCAUUCAAAUAGAAGUCCCAAGUGCAUAUCUUCUCUGAGAAGUUUAGGGAAGGAUGAAGGAGAGCUUCCUGUGCUAUCUUUUUAAUAAGUACAUUACUGGACACUUCCUUCUUUCCUUCAUUCACUCAUCAUUCAUUCAUGCAGCAAACAUUUAUGAAAGGUGGAUUAGAUGACAUUGGGUGUGAAGGUUACUGAGAUGAAUGUAGCUCUAGCUCCCAAGGAGCUCAUAGUCCGGUGGGGGAAAUUAUCUGAACAAACGCUUGUCUGGAAAAGAGAUUCAAAAUUUUUGUGACAUGUGAGAACUCUACGUUAUUUCUGCAAGGAACAACUUCAGUUAAUGUCUAGGAAUAUUCCGCAUAGGCUUAGGGAUUUUUAUUCCAUAUAUUUUCCAGAGUUUUUAGGUAGACCCCAAUCAUUUAAUACACAAAGAGAAUCACAUCUUUCCUGAGCAGUCAAAGGUUUCAAUAUGGCCAUUCCUAUGCAUGCUUUUUUGUACAAUUAUAUAAAGGGAUAUAGACCUGGGGCAUAGCACAGAGGUCAGCCACAGCUCUGAUAACUGAAUUUCUAAUAAUCUGUUAUAAUAAGAUGGUGGGUUUGGUCUGCCAUCUAGUGAUUAAGAACUGAAUUCUUACAGCUACAUUUAAAAGCACACAAAAGCUUUAUGAGAAGACAAAUCUAUGAGGAUGUAGGAGAAACAGAGGACAAUUGAGUUACUCUUGAAUAAAAUGUGGAUAGAUAAAGUACAUCUCUUCUCUCUAAGAUAUCAGUGCCAGGACGUUUGUGGUAAUGACUUCACAGUGGAUUGGUUCAAUUUGUUGGAACAAUUGGUAAGGGUAAAAGAACCCCAUAGCUUAGAGACAAAAUUUUUGGAAGUUACGACACCACAGAAGAUUACAAAGUAAUGGCAAAAUUAUCAGACAUCCACCAGUCCUCUUCAAUUUUAGGAAAGUUAAAGAAACAUAAAUAGCAAAAUACAAGAGUCACAAUAUUGCAGUUUUGGAAUUUUUUUUCAGAUUUUAUAAAAAAAAAUGUUUACCCACGUACUCUAAGACCAAUAAUUGUUUAAGUUCUAGGCUUUAAAUCAAGGUUAAUGUUAGCAUGGGUAAAUUUUUAUGAUUUGGGUAAAGGAGUCAAGAUAGUAUUGAAUGUCUUGGAAUGUCAUAUGAAAAUUCCUAUUUGUUUUUUUUUUUUUAUAAUAUUGUCAUUUAUAAAAUAAUUGUGUCAUGACAACUCCACUGCAAAUUGUCUACAAUUUUGCUUUCCAUUUUACUUUUCUUUUCAUUUACGUGAACGUCUAUGUAGAAAGCAAAGGGGACAAACUAAUCAUAAGGUGCACAACUACCAUGUACAAACCCGAGAGCUGCAAGACACCCUGUAUUUUCUACUCAGUGUUUCUUUGUACAUGUCUUUCAUUCAGACAUGAACAAUGAGAGUUCACUGAGUUUUUGUGCCCUCUGUAAUGCGUAUGGAUUCUUGUGCGGGGGAAGAGAAGACAGGGUUUAGCAGCAAAUGUGGUUUUUCAUCUCCUUGCCAUUUAAAAGCAUUCCAACUAACUUUCCACAUCAUCUUAAAUUUAAUUAUAAAUUCUCUGGGGAAAAGGACCAGUGAUGACUCAGAGUAUAUAACUAACUUUUAACAUUGUCAUUUAAAGAAAGUAAUAUAGUGGCUCACUUCUUUGUCCCUUGGGUUGAGGUCAUGCUGUCUUAAACUUUCAGGAAGAAAGUGAUCUUCUAUGAGUUAACACAAAAGAGAGAAUGUAUCUUUUUAUUGCAACCUCAAAGAAGCCAUAGAGAACAGGAUAACUCACCCGGAAGAGGUCUCUCACACAUUUUAAUGAUAUCUAAUUGGCAACUUUAUUGCAUGUCAUUUUGAUUUUUGUUUGUUUUUCAUAUUCUCUGUUUCCACAUAUCUAAUUGUUUCAUAGGUGCAACUGAGGUCUACUUUACAGUAAUAAUAUAUAACUUUUGAAGACAGAACAUAUAUACUUUCAGUAUUUUGCACAUGCAAUAGGAAGCACAUACCCACUUAAAUCUCUCAGUAAAUAUGUGCAAACACUUUUGUCCCCUUAGGGUGGAGAAAGGAAGAACCAAGCUACUUGAUCUUAUGGUGAAUCUCAUUUUCAGCCAAUGGCAUUUAGUGUUAUUGGAUUAUUUCAUUGUUAAUCAUAAAACUUCAUGAAUAUUAAAUUCUACUCCUGAAACCAAUAUUACACUAUACGCUAACUAACCAGAAUUUAAAGAAACAACUUGAAAAAAAACUUAACGAACAAAAUUAUUCUUAAGGUAUUUACCUAAUUGAACUUUUCAGUAGACUAUAGAAAUAAGUCCAUUUCUAUAUAGCUACAUAUAGAAAUGUAACUUCCUGAUGAAACUGCAUUAUUUCAACGUGACUUUUCACCUAAAACUUAUAAGGCUUCUGACCCUCCAGUAGCUUGCUUUCGUUUGAGGCAGGCGGCAUCCCACACUGUGUCACACACAGAUGGGAGCGUCAGGUAGUUGGUACAAAUGGUCUGCAGCCUUUGUUCACCCUCUGUUGGCCCAUCUUCCUUCCCUGACUUUUUAAACUGGACCAAAGAUAAAGGGACUUUGUACCCUCUGAUGGCUUGGGGUGGGGACACCUAUUUCUUUGAAAGUUGCCAAAUGUGUUCUGUUGUAGUAUCCAAAAGUGUUGCUAUUUCUGUGAUUAUCUCUGGGAAAUGCCUUGACUGAAAUUUUGAUCGACGUUUGUUCGACGGUCUCUUCUUGGGUUCUAACCUUGGCAAACUUGCCUCGUAGCCAUGUCGGUGACCCCACACCAUUCCCGGUAGGGUGUAUGUGUUUGCUGGGCAGUCUGAGAACUCCCCGCGUCUCUGAGCCCACCCCUUACCAUCACUGCUAUCUGCAGAGUGCCAUGUCAUGGAGAAUAAACUCUUGUUUGACCAAGAAGGGGAAGAAAGCCCUCCUUUGGGCUGGGGCCGCAGACCUUGUGUCUUGACCUUCUCCCUGAGCUCUUGAGUCUUGGUGAGCAGUCACUGAACGCAAAGGACUGGAGAAUCCUGACUUCUCCUAGUGUGGCAAACGGCCCAGGGAAGGGAAAGGUGCCUCUGGGGAACGCUCCAUCUGUAACAGCCACUUUGCACCACUCACUCCUGGUUCCCUUCACAGUGAGGUUCUUUCUGCUCUAUAGCUCAGUGCUUAAGAGGUGGGUCUGGGGCCGCAACUUUUGGGCCUGACUUACAGACAGUGCUAAAUGCCUUUUGAGUCUGUAACCUGCCCAUGCGUAGACGGCCCCUCUUCUCCAGGGUUCACACUUUGACCUUAUCUCUGUGUGUGUAGAGCAGGAUAGAAAUGUGUGUACAGGGGUGUCUGCUGGUACGUGUGUGUCUACACACCAGCGUGAGUGUGCCUGUUGACAUGGGCACCUCAGAACUCUGGCCUGUGCCCACGAUUUCCACAGCUAUAAAAUGGUAGAGGAACUGCCCCCUACAGUAAAAGCAGUCACCUUCCAAAAAGGUCACAGGCAUCCUCCUAUGAUUGUUCGGAAAACACAAGAUUUGAGUGUAUCAGGGAAAAGCUGCUCUGACCUGGGGAGGACAGAGGACUUUGGAAGACAUGCUCGUUGGCCUAUUCAAAAAAGUCAUAUGUGACUCUAACGAGGGAAAGCAGCUUCAUUUGGGGCCUUGAGCCCAAUCAGAUCUGCUUUUCCCCUGGGGAAUGCCUGGUCCUCAGACUAUGCUCCCCAGCCUGCAGGAAGGAGUGAAGUGAGGUGGCCAGAGGGCAGCUGAGGGCAGGCCCCUCAGGAAUGCAUUGUUAUUCAUGUCUCUUUUCAGAGUCCUACAGUGGAUCCUGUAGAAAGGCUGCUGAGCCCCAUGCUGGGUGCUCUGAGAAACGAACAAACGAACGCAAGUGAUGUUUCUGCUCUGCUAGAGGGCUGGUUUUCUCCAGGUCUCCCUCCUCAAGGCAACCCAGUGACGAUUGUUCCAAUGCUCCUGAAUCUGAAGAUGAUUCAGUUCUUUUGUUUUUUAAAAAUUUUUAAUGCUUAUUUUUUGAGAGAGAGAGAGAGAGAGAGAGCGCGAGCGAACAAGAGAUAGAGGGAGGACACAGAAUCCGAAGCAGGCUCCAGGCUCAGAGCUGUCAGCACAGAGCCCAACGUGGGGCUCACUCACAAAUCUUGAGAUCAUGACCUAGGCCGAAGUUGGACGCUUAACCGACUGAGCUACCCAGGUGCCCCCAUGGAUGAUUCAGUUCUUAAGGUUUCUGGAAAAGUAUCCAUCCCAGCCCUUUAUGAACCAGAUCAUCUAUUUUACUGAAAGCCUUCUCCCCUUGGGAGAGAGAAUCCGGUUGAUGACUUUGGAGGGAGGUCUGGCCAUCGGUUUGGGGGUGUCACAUGGCCAGUGACCCACAAUCUCCAGCUUCCCUGUGCUGCCAGGUGGGGGAUGUGUUCUCUCUUCUGUGCUGGGGCUGAGGCCGGGGGCAAUGCAGGCCCAGCUGGGGAAGCAGCCUGGCCUCUCCUAGGAGAUGCUGUAAUAGCACGCUUCUGUCUUUCCUCAGAACCUGCUUUCUCCUUGGCAGUGAGUGCAGCCCAACCUCUAGAGCGGCUUCGUUUCUGCAGUGUUAACUGAUCUCAGGGGUGUCAGCGAGGUGCAGGGGAGGAAGGGACAGAGAUGCUGGGGCGGUGGCCAAGAGGACACCCACACCCUCCAGCAUGGCCUUUGACUCAGAGGUUAGGGACCAUGCCUAUCACUUGUGGGUACGGUUUGUGUAUCUGAAUAAAGUCUGAAGUGCUGUGACCUUUUUUUUUUUUUUGUCAAUAAAGACAUGAAACAAACAAAAUAAACAAAAGUAACAGGGCUUAUUUGAUGUACAAAUUUCUUAUUUUGUUUCAGAAUGGUCCUGUAUUACAUGUUAAGGCAGGAAUUCUAUUUUCUCCCUGGCUUAAAAUUCGUGAAACAGCACCAGGUACACAGAGCCAAUAUUGUUUUGUUGAUUAGCUGUGUGUUCUGUGAUAAACAUCUUUUGAUGAAAAUGAAACAGAUUAGAAACUUAGUGUCUUAGAAUCUCCUUGUGAAUGACACCGAAACCAGGAUGUGGUGUCACGCUUUGAAAGCAACUUUCCAUUUGCCAUAUAGCUGUGAUGAAGGGCUAGAUGUGUGAAGCCAAGUAUUCCAUGGAGCAGUGAAAAGAAUGUUAUCCAAGGAAAGCUUUCUAAAGUUAGGAAGAUGGAUAUAUGGGCCAAUGUCUUUAUCCUACACUGAAAUUUUUAUCUGUAGUCUGCAUUAUCAUUUGAGUAUAUUUAUAUGGCAAAUGAUAAAUUCUUUCCAUUGUAAUACUUUGGAUAGUGACAGAUGGUUACAUUUAUCGUGCUGAGCAUUUUAUAGUACAUAUAAUUGUCAAAUCACUAUGUCUUACACCUGAAAAUAUAUUGUAUAUCAACUAUACUUCAUUAAAAUAAAGAAAAAUGAUAAAUUAUCUUAUAAACUAAUGCAUUUUUAAAGUUUCAGUUUUAUUUUUGUAAAGUAUACAUUAAUGCUGGUGCAAUUAAGUUAGUGAACCAUAAUUCAGAUUCACUUACUCAUUCAUUCAUAUCUAUUUUGUUGAAUGUUGGCUCCCUGCAAGGUAUGGAGUCAAGCUUUAGAAAUACCAUGAUGAAAAAGAAAAACUAGUCCUUAUUUUCAUGGCAUUUAUGGUCUAGUGAAGGAGAUAAAAAAUAAAAAGUAAAAAUGGUAAAUUAAUAUUACUUGUGAUAGGUUUUAUGAGGGCUGUGAUUUUUGCCUGUCUGUUCACAUUUUAGAAACUGGUUAAUUAGCCGGCAUAUAAAACAAAAUUAAUGAAUGGAUGGGUGGACGACUGAGUUCUUCAAAAAGUACUGAGAGUCAUACUAGUUGGAUAAAGGAGGUCUCUUUAAAAAAAUGUUUAAUGUUUAUUUAUUUUUGAGAGAGAGAGAGAGAGCACGAGUGGGGGGAGGGAGAUCUACUUCUAUAGAGUAGUCAGAGAACUGUGGGGGCAGGUGACAGUAAGCAAAAUGUAAUAGUGAACUCUGUGUGCCUUCAAGGAGGGAGGGCAAAGUUGUGUAAGGACUGGGAGAGAGGAAUCUCUGGGCUUUAGAAUUUGAGUAGUUGGGAACAUUCUACAGGAGUUAAACUAGGAUGGUAUGAUAUGAUAUGAUCCACAUUGUGUUUUAAAAUACUAUAGUUUUGUUUCUUAAAAGUCACAAAGUUAAAUAUAUAUAUAUAUAUAUCUUAUAAUAAAUAAAUUAUAUUUAUCUUAUAAUUGUAUUGUUAUUGUUAUGUGUGUAAAUGUGUGUAUAUAUUUUCUAAAUCUGCAUUAAGGUUUUAUCUAAGUGUAGAAAAGUAUUUGGCAGAUAUUAUAUAAUAACUUACCAUAUUGUCGUGGUCAGGACUCCCCUUAAUUAAUUUUUAUGCAAAGAUAAUUACUGCAUUGCCUUUUUAAGCUUUGCUAUUCCUUGAGUAAACACCUUUAGUUUAGCAAAUACAGUCCAUGAAAUGGAACGCUAUUAUUCUUUUAAUAGCGUUCAAAAUAGCGUUCUUUUAAUAGCGUUUUCAAAAAACUAAUUUUUGAAAACCCAUACACUCUUUUUAAAGUUUUUCUUCACAGUGCAAGAAUAUAUAUCAUCUUCUGUUGUUGUGGGAUUUACUAAUCUAAAAUUUCUAGGGAAUUGAAAAUCACAUAAAAGUUCACCAAACCCGGAAGUUAUAUAUUCCCUUUUGAACUAUUCUUUUCCUCCCCCUUUCAAAUGGUUUGUUUUUAUCUCUUCUUACUAAUUUUCCUAUGUUUGGUUAUCUAUACCUUCACAAAUGAAAUCUUUUGGGAAGCAUUAUCUGAUUAAAUAUAUCUCCUUUGAUCACUUUUUUUUUCUUCCCCCGUCAUGCUGGGCUAGAAGUAUAAGCAUUUCAUUGUGAAUUGCAUUUUGCUUUGUAUGUAAAUACCAAAUAAAGUAAGUUCAUCUGUAUAUUGCCUCCUUGGUAGGUUACUGCUUAGCCCAGAAUUUUUAGAACCCACAAGAUGACUCCCCUUCUUAAGUAUUUCCCAGAUUCCAAAAUUUCAGAAUAUUACUAACCUCCUUCCCCCCCCCCCCGCCCUUCUUUUUUUUCUUAUUCUAGAAGGAUAUGGUGAAGAAAUAGCCUGCACUCAGAAUGGUCAGAUGUACUUAAACAGGGACAUUUGGAAACCUGCCCCUUGCCAAAUCUGUGUGUGUGACAAUGGAGCCAUCCUUUGUGACAAGAUACAGUGCCAGGAUGUACUUGAAUGUGCUGACCCUGUAACUCCCCCUGGAGAAUGCUGUCCUGUCUGUCCACACACAACUGGAGGUGGCAAUACCAAUUUUGGUAAGAAUGCUCAAGGCCAACUCAGAGCUGGUCCAGUGACUCAUCUUUAUAGUUGCGGUGGUUUCUGCUCUCAGAAUUCAGCAACCAGAGAGAAUAA